rnacentral:lncRNA from 1 species
CUUGUCCAUCAAUGCAAGUGUUCGUAAUCCCACUUUGCCUCUGCUGUCGAAUCUUACCACAUUAAAAUUGGCUUCUUGCAAGCUCAGAACAUUACCUGAUCUUAGCACCCAGUCAGGAUUGACAUAUUUAGACCUUUCCGAUAACCAAAUUCAUGGAACCAUACCUAAUUGGAUUUGGAAGAUUGGUAAUGGAUCUCUUAUGCAUUUGAAUCUCUCUCAUAAUUUACUGGAGGAUCUGCAGGAACCUUUCUCUAAUUUUACUCCUGAUCUGUCCUCCCUUGACCUACAUUCCAACCAGCUCCAUGGCCAAAUCCCAACUCCUCCCCAAUUUUCCAGCUAUGUGGAUUACUCAAACAACAGUUUCAACUCUUCCAUCCCAGAUGAUAUUGGUAUUUACAUGUCCUUCGCUCUUUUCUUCUCUCUUUCGAAGAAUAACAUCACUGGAAGUAUUCCUAGAUCCAUCUGCAAUGCAACUUACCUGCGAGUUCUUGAUUUUUCUGACAACACUUUGAGUGGCAAAAUACCCUCAUGCUUAAUUGAGAACGGGAAUCUUGCGGUGCUGAAUCUAAGGAGAAACAAGUUUAGUGGCGCUAUACUUUGGGAAUUUCCAGGUGAGUGUCUUUUACAGACCCUAGAUCUCAAUAGAAAUCUUUUACGAGGAAAAAUUCCGGAGUCUCUGGGCAAUUGCAAAGCCUUGGAGGUUUUAAAUCUUGGGAACAAUCGGAUGAAUGAUAACUUUCCUUGCUGGUUGAAGAACAUAAGCAGUUUGCGUGUUCUUGUUCUGCGAGCCAACAAAUUCCAUGGACCCAUUGGAUGUCCCAAGAGUAAUUUUGAAGGGGAUAUACCAGAAGUAAUGGGGAACUUCACAUCACUCAAUGUUCUCAACUUAUCGCAUAAUGGUUUCACAGGCCAAAUCCCAUCGUCAAUAGGGAAUCUGCGACAACUUGAGUCAUUAGACCUCUCGCGAAACUGGCUGAGUGGAGAGAUACCUACACAACUUGCCAACCUAAAUUUCCUUUCAGUCCUGAACCUCUCCUUCAAUCAAUUGGUGGGAAGCAUCCCUACGGGCAAUCAAUUGCAAACAUUUUCAGAAAAUUCCUUCCUGGGUAACAGAGGAUUAUGCGGCUUCCCCCUAAAUGCAAGUUGCAAAGAUGGUACACCACAGACGUUUGAUGACAGGCACUCAGGUUCCAGGAUGGAGAUUAAGUGGAAAUACAUAGCUCCUGAAAUUGGAUUUGUGACAGGGUUAGGAGUCGUGAUCUGGCCUCUCGUGUUAUGUAGGAGAUGGAGGAAAUACUACUACAAACAUGUUGAUGGAAUUCUUUCAAGGAUUCUCCUUGGGCAAGACCAAGGAAGAGCAAAUGGUGGAAGAAGAGCUCACAGAAUUCGGCGGCGGAGAAUGUAGCAGUGGUGAAGAGGGAUGUGGCUACUAGUAAAAGCGUCAUUCCGUGUGUUAAAUGUAAUUCUGGCUUGCUUUUUCAUAAAACAAUCAUAGGAAUUAGAUUUUCAAAGUAAUAUUACUCUUACCUUUUAGUGAUGCAAAUAUUAAGGUCUCUAAAAUAUUAUAUAUUUUAAUAGUUUUAUUUAAAAAAUUUAUAUAUUAAAUAGAAAAUAUAUUUUCCACCCAUGUGCAGAAAAGCUUUUUAUUCACAACUCUAGUGUAUAACCAUGUUAACCCUACCCAAAUUAAAAUUCAAACUUGGGAGAUUCUGGGAGUCACUCAAGCUGGGCUGGAGCAUGGGUUAAGAUGUGUUGGCUGGAUGCGGGCCCAAGUUGGGUUAGGUUAAACUUCGUUGCCUGGAUUUCGGUCAUUCAAAAAUAUGGGCCUGAUUGUUACAAACGAAAGCCAACUGAGAUGGCUAGGUCCAUAUUCAGCCCAAUCAACACUUCCAAAGCCAUAAGGGAUUUAAGAUUGAUAAAUAAGGAGUUGGGUGGCUGCCCAUCUCCACCAUUUAUCAUUUCCAAGAAUCAUUAAACAAUGAUGAGAGUCUGAGAUUUUUUGAAGUAGACAAUGAAUCAAUAUAACCUUCUAUUUUUUAGAUCUUAAUGGAAUUUGAAAACUACUCAUAUUUUUAUGCAAACCAAAAACUUGAAAAAUAAAACCCAAAACCAUCUUCCAAUUGAUCAAAAUCCAUGCCCAAUCUUAUAAAAAUGAAAAAAUAAAUUACUAUUUUUUUUUUAUCUUAUACAUUCACAAUUUAGAUUUAUUUUCAUGUUUUCAUAUGAAAAAGACUAAGAAUGUUAGGUCCUCACAUGAUAAACCUAAUUUUAUAUUUUGUAUAAUCAAUAUAAUCCAAAUUAGACUUAUAUAUAUAUAAAAUAAAAGUUAUAAAAAAAUAAAUGAUUUUAAUGUAACAUUUUUUUAUUUUUUUUUAUAAUUUAAUUUUUAUUUUAUUAUAAGUUAUUAAGGAUAGUGUAAGAUAUUGACAUUAAAAUCAAAUACCUAUAGAUAACGAUAUAAGGUGGUUUUAUGGAAUGUAUAAGAUUAGGAAAUUAGAAUUUACUAAAAGUUUUAUAAAAAUCUUUAUAAAGGAUUAAUUUUUAAAAAUUUAAAUUUAUUGUAUUAUAUAGUUAAUAUUAGGAUUUUUUUUCUAAAAAAUAUCCAUAUGAAAUACCUAUUAAAAAAAAUUAAGUAGAUAGAUGAUUUUAUAGAAAACAUGAGAUUGCUAAAACAUUAUACGGUCAAAGUAUUAAAAAACAAUUUUUUUUUUCUUUUUAUCAACUUUAAGUGAUCUAUAAAUUUUCCUAUGUCUUUAAAAAAUCAAUUAGAAAAAAUAUGAAAAAAAAGAGAAGAAUUGAAAUAAAUAUAUUUAUAAAUUUCAUUAUCUUAUAAAUUUAUAUAUGAAUUAUAAUAAGAUAUAAUACUAUCAAAAAUUAAAGUAAAUUACUUUUAAAAGUUUGUUAUCCUUUACAAUCACAAUUUAGAUUUUAAUACGAAGAAGACUAAUAGUGCAUUUUAUUGGGGAUGAAUUAUUUUCAUCUCCAAUAUUGAGUUUUUACAACAAAACAAUUUCUUUUUCAAUAAAUUUCUUUAUUCCUCCAUCUAAUAGUAUUAGGACAAUAAUUUUGUCCCUCAUUGUGAGGUUUUUCCUCUCCAAACUAUUUAACAAUAAAAUAAUUUUUGUUGUCCAUUAUUUACCUUUUGGGACAACAUUAAGUUUUCAUCUCCCAAUAUAUUUUCUACCACAAAAUAAUUUAGGCUCAAUUCAAUUUCAAUUAAAAUUUUAGAAACAAAUUUUUGUGACAAAAUCAAAUUUUAUCUCCCAAAAUCAUCUUUGGAGAUAAAAUCAUAUUCAUGCCCAAAAAAAUUGUGCCAAAAGGUAGAAUUUCUUGUAGUGGUUUUUCCCGUGCUUUUUGUUUGUUUGUUUUUUUAUUAUCCUUUCAGUUGUGAAUCACUCUUCUUCUAUUAUAUUAUUAUUUUAAAAGAAGUGUCGGCAUCUUUUUGUUCAUAAAAUCUUUUACUUAUGUAAUAUCCUUCUAAAACAAAACAAUAUAUAAUAAAUAACAUUUCAGGUGUGCUUAUUUGGUUUUCUUUCUUAUAGAGACAUGUUGAAAGGUCUUUGUUUUACUGGCGGGUGCUUUGGUCACCUGAAUUAUGGGAAUCUCGUCUUACCUUAUCACCAAUGUAGUGCCUAGCAUCACUAGAAGCGUACGUUGUGCGAAAGACGGUACAAUUCGCUGGUAUACAUGUAAUAUUUAGAUGACUUUUAUUGGUUCAUUAAUGUGGCAAGAAAGAAAUAAUUUGUAUUAAUAUUGAUUGCAUUAGUAUUUAUGUAAUAUUUAGAUUUUUUUUUAAAUAAAAACAUAAAUUAGUAUUAUGCAUUUAUAAUUUUAAAAAAUUUCAAAAUGAUUAAGGAGUUUACCAUAUGAAUGAAUAAAAAUAUAGAAAUCAAAUAUAGUUUGAUAUCUUUACAAAUAGUCUUUAUUUAAAAAUAUUAAAACGUUAUAUAUAUAUAUAUAUAAAUUUUAAUGAAGUGUGAAUCUAAAAAUUGUUUAUAUAUUUAUAAUAUCAACUUAAUUGAAGAAAACAAUCGAUUUAUAAAAAGAAAAAAAAACAAUAACUUUCAAACAAAUUUUUUGUUUUAUUUGUUCUAAAAACUAUUUUUACUAAUUCAAUCAAAUAUGUUUUUUUAAGAACAAAAACUGUUUUUAAAAAUUCAAUUCCUAAAAGCAAUUUUAUUUUUAAAUACAUCAAAAUCUAUUCUAAAAUAAAAAAUAUUCUCAAAAAUUAUUUUCUAGAACUAUUUCCAAAAACACUUUCCAAAUAUGCCCUAAAUAUUCACAAGAUCACAUCAAUAUAGCUCACAAAAAAAUAAUGACCAAAAUAUUCAAGAAAUGAUCCACAUCAACACAUGAAAAAUAGGUACUCACUACCACGGUCUAAUAUCAAUAAAAUAUUUAAUGUCAACAACAUAUCCUUCUCUCCAUUUUUGUCCUAGAAAAGACAAAGGGCCAUUCACCAACUAAAUAUCUAAUAUUCAAACCAAAACAAGUAUGCUCAAUAAAUUCUCCAAUAUCCAAAAAUCAAGUAUUCACAUAUAAACAAGUAUUUACAUUAGCAUCCAAAAAAUUAAUAUGAAACAAGAAUCUCACUCCCACCACAUGGUUUCAACCCAGAACCUUUAGAAAGCUCUCUAUCAUCAUAUAAAUAGAUUCUAAGCUACAAAGAUCUAGCAUGGUUGAAUGCACUCAUAAUAAGCUAGAUCUAACAUAGUUAAGAAUAAAAAAAAAUGAGGAACUCCCCAAGGUAAGAAGAUAUCCUUGUUAGGAUAAAGUCCUUAAAAGAAUGACAUGAUGUAAUAAACUCUUGGAUUUUAUUAUUUAUUGAAUAAAGUUCCAGUUCACUUUUAUUUAUCCUAUUUCCAUGCAUGAUAUUUUGUAAGCACUCUCGCCUGUAUAUUUUUCAUUGUACGUGACUUGGGUGCAUUAAGAGUUGCACGGAAAAUCCAAGUCAUAGGUUUCUUGUAAAUAGAUGACUUGUUUAAAGUCGAUUGAUGGGUUUAGGCGACCCAUUAGAGGUUGUAGUGUACCAUAUCCUAAUUUGAGAGAUGACUGGUCUUGACUAUUGGGAUGAGUUUCCCAUGGUGAGUGUACUAGUGUAUAUGGUUACACAUUAAACAAGACCUAUGGUGAGUCAUGACUUAAGACUAUCAAGUAGUUAUGACUUCACAAAACUACUUCAUUGUGUUGUCUCUCAACCUUGAGAGAAUAUUGAGCUUGUGUUGAAGUUAGUAAUGGCUUUGACCUAUGAGUGAGAUCGUAAGUUGAUUAUAUAUUCCAUAUGAAUUGGGUCAUUAUUGAUGGAAGCCGGUAGUAAUAGGUAUUUUCAAUAGAGACAUUUUUUUUUAUUGAGAAUUAAACUAAUAAAUAGGAACAAUUAAACUAACAAAUUAAAACCACAAACACGUCUAAACAUAAAAGAUAGAUCAAAACUAAACUAAAUCGGAAUUAAAAACAAGAGCUUUUCUAAUAUGAAUAAUUAAACUAACAAAUUAAAAUCACAAACAAAUCUAAACAUAAAAGAUAGAUUGAAAUUGAACUAAAUUGAAAUUAAAAAUCAGAACUUUUCUUAUAGAAAUAAUUAAACUAAUGAAUUAAAAUUGUAAACACGUCUAAACAUAAAAGAUAAAUUAAAACUAAAUCAAAUUGGAAUUAAAAAAUAAACUUUAAUACUUAGAAACCAUUAGAUUAACAAACUAAAAUAAUAAAAAACACCUAAACUAAACAAAUAGAUUAAAACUAAAUUUAAGCAAAUUAAAGUUAUGAACUUGAUCACAUGAAUUAAAAAUAGAACUAAACUAAAAUCUAAACUUUCAUUAUCUUUGCAUGAAUUAAAAAAAUAAACUAAAAUUUAAGCUUUCAAUAUCUCACAUGAAUUAAAAAAAAAAAAAAAGAACCGACUAAGAUUUAAGCUUCCUUAAUUUAAUAUGAAUCAAAAUCAGGGCUAAACAAAAAAUUAAGCUUUUUUAGUUAAAUAUAAAUUAAAAGAAAAUUAACUUACCUUUUCCGAAGAUGAGUGUGAGUUGCGACGUGAUUUUUCAAAGUGCAGGCCUAUGUGUGGUGAUGCAAGAAUGGGUUGUGCAUGCUUUCUGAUGUUAAGAUGUAGCUGUUUUUUUUCUUCAAAAAAUAAAAUAAAAUUGGGUGUUGUUCUUUAAAAAAUGACAAAAUCCCAUGAUCCCCUUUGAUUCCCCCCUUGUGUAGUCUUCUAUUGCCUCCCUUUUAUCUCCUAGUGCCCACAUUUCUUUUAACUCUCCCAAACCAAAAUAUCCUUUUUUUCAAACUUCAUUUUCAAAAUUUAAAAUUUAUCCUCUCUAAUUUCAAAAAGAAAAAAAAAAAAACCAUUUUCCAAUCUAAAACUUAAUAUCCCAUUCUUAAAAAAUAUUCAAGUGUCAACCAUUUCGUUUAAAAAAUAUCUUGAUUUUCCGAUUUAAAAUUAAUCUUUUUUUUUUUUUUUGUUCUUUUUAAAUUCCGAUUUUUCAAUUUUUUUUUAAAAACUAAAUGUCAUUUAAAAAAAAUUAUGAUGUCAUUUUUAAACUUAAUUUCAAACUUAUCCCCUCUCUUUUAGAUAAACAAAUCUAUUUUCCAAUUUAAAACUUAAUCUCUCACUUUUUUUUAAAAAAAAAAAUCUGAUUUUCCAAUUUAAAAAAACUAAAUCUCCUUUUUUUUUAAAAAAAAAAAUUAUGAUGUCAACCCUUUCUUUUCCAUUGGUAAGUUUCCUUGCAAAAAAUCAAAUUUAUUAAAUGAAUAAAUAAAUUAGAAAACAAUAAAACAAUAAUAAAUAAAUAAGUUAAUUCAAAAAAUAAUAAAAAAAGAAGAUAAUAAAUAAAUAAAAAUAAACAAGUGAUUGAUAAUAAUAAUAAUAAAAAUAAAUAGAUAAAAAAUGAGCCACGCAAGGCAUGAAACCAUGCAAGUCAUACAAAUUAAGCAAAGAAUGCCUAAAAGGUGACCUAAGUGUACUUAAUAUGGGCCUAGGUGAACCUAAGUGUGCCUAGAUGAACCUAGGUGAAUCUAAGUGGGCCUAGGUGAAUCUAGAUGGGCCUAAAUGGGCCUAGGUGAGGUAGAUGAGCCAGGUGGGCCUAGGUGGGCCAAGUGAACCUAGAUGUGCCACAUAUGCCUAAGUGAACCUAAGUGGCCUAAAGGUGCUCGGGUGACCUAAAAAGGCCAAGGUGAUCUAAAUGGGCCAAAUGUGCCUAAGUGGGCCUAAGUGACCUAGGGGGCCUAAUGAGUCUCAAUGGGCCUAGGGGUGUCCAAAUGGUCCUAGGUGGGCAUGGUAUGCCUAAAAGGGUCUAGGUGAACCUAGAUGGGCCUAGGGGUGCCUAAAUAGGCUAGGACAUGCCUAAGUGGGCCUAAGUAACAUAAAUGGGCCUAGGUGAACCUAGAUGGGCCUAAAGUGGUGCUUAAUAGGGCCAAGUGUGCCUAAAUUGGCCUAGGUGAGCCUAAGUGGGCCUAGUGUCACGGACUUAGUCGUUCACUAAGCUCAUGCGGCACUUAGGCAAGUCAAGACGCUUGAUCUUGCUAAGUCAGCCUUGCUCCCAAUGCUUAGCUUGCUAGGCUAAGAUGCUCAUGACUCGAAAGCUUAAGAAGCUUAGUAGGCAACUCUUAGAGAAUGGAAGCUCUUAUUACUCAUGGAAGCUCUUAUUACUCAAGGAAGCCUUUACAAGUGCUUUGAAGACUCACUUGCUUGGUUAGAAAGUGAUUUGGGUGGUGUCUUGGCCAAAUGAGGGCCUCACCUAUUUAUAGGUACCAAUGGAACUCUCUGGAACCUUGGAGGGUUCCUUACAAAUCAAGAAUAUUCUAGAACUCCCUACACUAAUCUAUGUACAACCCUAUGUACAAGAAUAUACAAGAGAUCUCUAGAAUUCUCUAGAAAGCCUUGGACUUCUCUCAUGCCUUCCACCAUAGUGUAGAGAUGUGUAGACAUCUCUAGGCAUCUCUAGAACCUUCCACACUCUUCCAACCAAUGUCUUAGUGUAGAUGGCUCCAAGAGUCUCUAGAAGCUUUCCUCCUCCUAUAUAAGCCCAUUGGGAGGGUCAUUUGAAGCAUCUUGUGACACUAGGGUGUCUAAAUGAGCCUAGGUAGACCUAAAAGGCAUCUAAGUGACCUAAGGUGAUCAGGACAACGCCUAAGUGACCUAGAGUGAUAAGGAUAAUGCCUAAGAGACCUAGAGUGAUAAAGAUAGUGCCUAAGUGACCUAGGGUGAUCAGCACAAUUCCUAAGUUACUUAGGAAAAUUGGGAAAGUGCUAAAUGACUUAAACAUGCCUAAGUUUGCUAUCUUAAAAGUGUACUGUAGACCCUCAAUUUUGUCCCUUUAGUACAUGUCUUUAAGUUCGUUUUCAGUGCUUCAAAAUAGUUCCUUGGUGGCCCAUUACUACUCGUACGACUUACCUUUUUCUGAGUCACCUCGGAGACUUUGGUUGAGGGAUUAUUUGAUCCCAUAUUGUGACCCUUGGCAGCCCUAACUUAGACUUAGGUUUUUCUUGUUUUUUUUUUUUUAGGAUAGCUUUUAGAUACACUUGGCCCAUUAGGACACACUCUAGGUCACCUUUAGAUGUUUUUGCAUGGUUUGCAUGGUUGCAUGGCUCGUGUUUUUGCAUGGUUGCAUGACUCAUAUUCUUUUGGUGGUUACAUAGCUCGUAUGGCUUGCAUGUGGUUGAUUUUUUUUAUUUUUGUUUUUAAUUAUUUUUAUUUUUUAUUUUUAUUUAUUUAUUUUAUUUUUUAGAUGUGUGAUUUAAAUUUCUUUUGAUUUUCAAUUUCAUGAUAUUUAUUGAUUUUAAUCUUUAUUCUAUUUUGUCUUUAUUUUAUUCUUAUUUCUAUUUGUAUCUUUGUUUAUUUAUUUAUUUAUUUAUUUUUUGGGCAUGAGGAAACGGACCGCCAUUUAUUUGGAAGGAAAAUCAACAGAAUUUUGAAAAGAGGAGAUUUUAUUUUUAGAGGGACAACACAUAUACUUCUUCCAUAGGGGGAUCGGCUACAAGAAGGAAAGAAAAGAAAGAAAGGAAAGAAAGGAGAAAAGGAAGUAGGAUUUUCCUUUUCAGCAAGAUGGUUUCUUUUUGAAAAGUGGGACUGGCAGCACGCAUAGAAAAAGGGAUUUUUUUUUAAGAAAACCAGGGGCACGCAUUGGAGAAAACGGUUGAAGAGGAGAAGAAGAAGGAAGCACAAGAAAACCAGUGGAGAUUUUCUGAGGAUAGAAACCAGUGCAGAUUUUUUUUAUUUGUCAGAAGUAAGCAUUCCCAGGGGGGGGGAUUCUUUGGAUUGCUUUGGGUGAGAAGAACAGGGACUAAGGUACACGAGUUUCUAAAGGAUUUGGGAGAAGGAAUCAUAUCUAGAAGAAAGGAAUUGAGUCAAAGCUGCCGGGUAUGCUUCUUGCUACUUUUUUAUUCCCGUUUACAUUCAAUACUCCAUGAUCCUCUGACCAUUUUUGAAUAUUCAAUCUUUGCUGAUUGGUGUGGACGGUAGGUCCACAAUUAGUUCUAUUGAAAUUGGUUGUUUCUUUGUUUAUUUAAGACUUUCGUUCUUUUCAAUGUCAUUAAUUUCUUAUGAGAAUAAUAUGCAUUUGGGUCAGUCCUUGAUUCUGAUGAUGGAAAUCCUACCUUGUUCACGUUGAAAAUCUGUUUUAAAUCACUCCUCUAUUCUAAGCCAAUGGAUUGAAAUAUGAAAUUGUGGCUUUUCUUGGUUAUUUUCCUCUUCUUUCUGUGUUUCUUUUUUUUGUUAUUUUCUUCUAUUUCUGGCCCACACCUCAACCAGCCCUAUUCCCGAUCUUCAAGAUUUAUUAACGUUGAUUCAAAAAUUUUUGGAACUAUGGAAGAGAAUUUAGGAAAUAAAGAGGUUCUUGAGAACUGUUCUAGUGAGCUCGCUUUCUGCUAGCCGUCUGCAUGGGGAUGUUGUAAUUGGGGAGCUUUUGGCUAAAUGGCUUCUGAAACUUCAGCCUGUGACUACUUCUCCUUAUGUGUUAUUAUCAAACUUGUAUGCUUCAGAUAGGAAGUGGGCAAAUUUAAAGAACCUGUCAUCAGCAGGCAACAGUUUCUUUGGCCCAACUACAGACUCAACUUCGAGGUUAGAAUCAAUCCAGUCUUUAGAUUUCAGUUGCAAAUCCUUUUCUGGUGAUAUGGCAGCAUCAUUGACUGUUGAGUCUGAUAUGGAAUACAAUUGGAAUGCCAACAUUGAGAUAUUUGGAAGAAGAGGUCCUGCUCCCGGAGUUAGACUUGGUGGGGUGCUUGGCGACUCACUUACCAGAGUUGCAAGAAAGCAAGCAGAUGCACUUUUGUUUGCAGAGGCCAGGAAACAGAGUCUUGAUUCUUUGAAAAGAGAAGAUGGCAUUUUUGCUAUAGAAGGAAAAGAUUACAGCUCAAGUUACUAGAAGUGGACAGAGGCAAAAGAUAUCAGUAUAUGAUCUAAUUCCAGGUGAUAUUGUUCAUCUUUCCAUUGGAGAUCAGGUCCCAGCUGAUAGACUUUUUGUUUUAGGAUUUUUCUUUGUCGAUAAAUGAGUCCAGUUUGACAGGAGAAAGUGAGACGGUUCAUAUGAAUUCUGAGAAUCCUUUUUCUCUUGUUCGGAACUAAAAUUCAGGAUAGGUCAUGCAAAAUGCUUGUGACUACUGUUGGGAUGAGAACCCAAUGGGGUAAAUUGAUGGCAACUCUUAUGAAGGAUGAUAAGCCUACUGCAUCAAACUAUCUGUCCAUAGCUGCACUGCCAGUGGGAGAGACAAGGAAGGAGAUGGAUUUAAUACUUCAAAAACGGAGCAUUUAGAAGUUCGGAUGGAUCUUACAGAUGACUUAUUGCACAUGGUUUCCUUUUCUUGGACUAUAUUAAUCUUCGUCGAGCUGCUACAGUCUGUAAGUAGUGGCGAGCUGGUAGUUCUCAUGAAGACUUCUGGAGGUGUCUGAAUCUCGAAAAUUAGAACAUAUCUGAAGAACAGUUUGAGGAUAUGUGCCGUAGAUAUCCGAAUGCCACUGAAGUGAAUAUUUUUUUUGGUGCUCCUUCAAUUCACUCGCUGGUUAUGACAGCAAUAUCUUCUUUAAGGAAUCUGGAGAUCUUAACCUUGGGGAAAGGAACAUCAGGUGAUGCAAUUUUAUUUUAUUUUUAGCCUUGGCUGAUUGUUAUAUACUAAAGAGACUUGAAGCAGUUGAAUUCUCGAAUGCCCUGUACAAGAGCUUUUUGGACGAAGACCUGAUUUGACCAGAGAAGCUUUACUCCAGGACAUGUUUUCAAAUGCAAAAAGACCACAGCAAGACGAUUGCAUCUGGCCAAAGAGUUGCUUACUUUUCUUGUUGAAGCUCUAAAGUCUUUUGCUGAGACCAAAGAAGGGACUUCUGAAAAGGUGCUCCAGUUCUGUGGAGAAAGUGCAGAUCCUAAUGUCCAAACCUCUCAGUUUGUUUCCAUGAGAUGAAGGAAGAGGUGCAAGUCAAGAUUUAGUCUUGCUGCAAUUUCUGAUGUCGAAACUGCCAAUAAUUCUGCCAGCCUACAGAAAAUUCCAAUAUCUGUUUUGAAUAUUGAUGAAAAAUACAUUGCAUCAAGGUUUUGCUGUAAUCUGGAGAAGUCAUUAUCACCAUUAUUUAAGGAUGCAGCAUACAGAGAUUUUGACCUCAAUUUAUCACUCAAUUGGCAAGAGAUCGUAAGUGCCUUUGAUAACUGAUCAGUGGCUGUUUGAGGCGCCAAGUAUGUGACUAAUGAUUAUGUAUCAAUGACAGAACUGACUUCAUAGGCUACCUACAGAAUUUAACAAAGAAAAGAAAGUCGGGAGAGAAAUCUGAUGUUGAAUUCAAUGGCAAGUCCAAAGGAAUUCAGUGGCUGUUUAAGAUGACUUUUAUGGAUGAGUUCAGUAGAGAAUUGAAAAGAAUUCAAGUGGUUGCAUAUGUGGGUGAGACUCAAUUGCGUUAACGGGUACUCUUGAUGGCAGAAAUUCGAAGGGAAUGGGGAAAGCUCAUUAACACAUUGGGGAUCUGCACAUGUUCUGGCUGCUUAACUUGAUGAUCAGUUUUAUGGUGACAUUAUGAAGAAUCUAAUUGAAACAGUGGAGGAUCUUGUCAGAUGGGGGAUUUAUACAGGGCGUUUUGGACAUCAUAACAACAGGGGUUGCAGAUUAUGUAGUUAGAAGUGUCAUGGCCUGUGACAGUUCUGUUUUAACGCCAUGAUAGAGAAGAAGAUCCUUUUAGUUGUGAAUGUGGGAGCAUUGGAUAUGGUGAAUUCUGAAGCCAAGAUUACCAUACUUUCUCAUUUACUGAACAGAAAUAUUCAUGUACACAAUGAGCAAGUAUCUCUUAUUCGAACAUAUAUGUAAAAAGUCCAAAAGCUUCAAUGUUUUGACCAAAUCAAAUGCUUUUGUUUCUCCAUCAUCAGAGGCGUUGACUCUUAGAAGAAGGCGCACUCAUGAACAGCAGCUUGAAUUCCAUGUCACAGAGGUUUUGGAAGAGGCUCGAAUCAUUGAGGCUAAGCACAAAAGAUUGUUGGAUUAUCUGCUGGUGCAUUACUUUUGGAGUAUCACAUAAAAUCUCACUGGGAUUUUGUCCUAUGGAAAUCAUUAAACGGCGAUAACAAGUCAAGCUGGAGUUUAUCUGCGAGUUGAUGAACUCAUUGAAAUUGCCAAACUCCUUGGAUUGAAUUCUCAGGGUGAUGUAUCAGCUGCUGAAGUUGUUGUUGCUGGUGAUCUGCAAUUGGCAUUUGAUCUCUGCCUUAGUUUGGCAAAGAAAGGACAUGGUCCCAUUUGGGACUUAUGUGUUGUUAUGGCAAGGGGUCCUGCUCUUGAAAACAUGGGUAUAAACUCUCAAAAGCAGCUACUGGGUUUUGCCUUGAAUCAUUGUGACGAGGAAUCCAUUGAUGAACUGCUACACGCAUGUGAAAUCUAUGUUGUUGCACUGCUGGUGAUGUUGAACCGAGGGAAUAAAGAGUACAGGUUUAGGGAUUACUCCAACUGACUCCAUAAUCAUUUGGUGAAUGACAAGAACCAGGGCUGGAUCAAGAAUUGUUUGAUAGAUAUCAACAUUUGUAGUUGCCUCGGGAAAGAGAUAAAUGACGAUGUUGCUACAUUCCAUAGGAAGAAUUUGUUUCCAAUCCAGUCGAGUCACAACAAACCAACAGCCUAAUGUUCCUAACGUUGUGUAGAUCCCAUGGAAGAGGCACAUCCUGAAGAGCAUGAUGAGUUUACUGAGAAUGGUAAUGGUAAGGAAAAAGAUUCCAACAAUCCGGCAGAUGAAAGUUUUGAAGAGAUAGAAUCUGGACAAGUGGAUGGAAAAUUUGAGAGGGAUGAUCUGGGAAGGGUAAUGAAGACAAAGCUGACAUGGAUUUAGAGGCACCAAGGAAAGGUGUCUUGGGAUCUGAAAAUUCUAACUUCAUUAGUGAUCAUAUGUUCAAUGCAAAAUCUGUGACGCAAUCAAAGGAUGACAUGCAGGCUGCAAAUUCAAGAAACGUGACACCAGAAACCCUUUUUGCCUUCUCAAUUCUCAUGUUGGGUGCAAUUUCAAAGAGUAUUGCUACUUCUUUGACAUAUCUAGCAAUUAGGUGUAAGAUCAUGGUUCAAGCAGCAGAUCCAAAUGACGGUGAAGCCUAGAAAGCUCCACAGAAAUCCCACAAAAUAGUACAUGAUGUUCUCUAUGUUAUUUGGAAGAGAGAAGGUGGACCGGGGUUCUUUAAGAAAUUGCAAGCUUAGAUCCUGAAAACCGUACUAAACUCAGCAUUGCUUUUGAUGAUCAAGGAGAAAAUUGUAGCAGGCAUUUGAGUACUAAUACUUGCAGCCAUCCCCAACUAAGCAAGAGCCGGAAUUGUUAUUUCUUGUUAAUUUCUACUGUCACCCAUGAUCAAAUGAAGCCUUUAAGCUCUCUUCUAGCAAUGUCUUUGAUAUUAAAUACCCACCAGAAUCCCCAUUCAGUAACUGCUUCAAUUUGAGCUCAUGGAUCCGAGGAAAACAUGGAUAGGGAAAAUUGGUUAUGCCAGGGUCCGUAUUUCUCAAGAGCAAUCCAAGUUUGCUGGGAUUCUUCAUCCCUCAUUGGAAGUCACCAAAACUUUGAACNNNNNNNNNNNNNNNNNNNNNNNNNNNNNNNNNNNNNNNNNNNNNNNNNNNNNNNNNNNNNNNNNNNNNNNNNNNNNNNNNNNNNNNNNNNNNNNNNNNNNNNNNNNNNNNNNNNNNNNNNNNNNNNNNNNNNNNNNNNNNNNNNNNNNNNNNNNNNNNNNNNNNNNNNNNNNNNNNNNNNNNNNNNNNNNNNNNNNNNNNNNNNNNNNNNNNNNNNNNNNNNNNNNNNNNNNNNNNNNNNNNNNNNNNNNNNNNNNNNNNNNNNNNNNNNNNNNNNNNNNNNNNNNNNNNNNNNNNNNNNNNNNNNNNNNNNNNNNNNNNNNNNNNNNNNNNNNNNNNNNNNNNNNNNNNNNNNNNNNNNNNNNNNNNNNNNNNNNNNNNNNNNNNNNNNNNNNNNNNNNNNNNNNNNNNNNNNNNNNNNNNNNNNNNNNNNNNNNNNNNNNNNNNNNNNNNNNNNNNNNNNNNNNNNNNNNNNNNNNNNNNNNNNNNNNNNNNNNNNNNNNNNNNNNNNNNNNNNNNNNNNNNNNNNNNNNNNNNNNNNNNNNNNNNNNNNNNNNNNNNNNNNNNNNNNNNNNNNNNNNNNNNNNNNNNNNNNNNNNNNNNNNNNNNNNNNNNNNNNNNNNNNNNNNNNNNNNNNNNNNNNNNNNNNNNNNNNNNNNNNNNNNNNNNNNNNNNNNNNNNNNNNNNNNNNNNNNNNNNNNNNNNNNNNNNNNNNNNNNNNNNNNNNNNNNNNNNNNNNNNNNNNNNNNNNNNNNNNNNNNNNNNNNNNNNNNNNNNNNNNNNNNNNNNNNNNNNNNNNNNNNNNNNNNNNNNNNNNNNNNNNNNNNNNNNNNNNNNNNNNNNNNNNNNNNNNNNNNNNNNNNNNNNNNNNNNNNNNNNNNNNNNNNNNNNNNNNNNNNNNNNNNNNNNNNNNNNNNNNNNNNNNNNNNNNNNNNNNNNNNNNNNNNNNNNNNNNNNNNNNNNNNNNNNNNNNNNNNNNNNNNNNNNNNNNNNNNNNNNNNNNNNNNNNNNNNNNNNNNNNNNNNNNNNNNNNNNNNNNNNNNNNNNNNNNNNNNNNNNNNNNNNNNNNNNNNNNNNNNNNNNNNNNNNNNNNNNNNNNNNNNNNNNNNNNNNNNNNNNNNNNNNNNNNNNNNNNNNNNNNNNNNNNNNNNNNNNNNNNNNNNNNNNNNNNNNNNNNNNNNNNNNNNNNNNNNNNNNNNNNNNNNNNNNNNNNNNNNNNNNNNNNNNNNNNNNNNNNNNNNNNNNNNNNNNNNNNNNNNNNNNNNNNNNNNNNNNNNNNNNNNNNNNNNNNNNNNNNNNNNNNNNNNNNNNNNNNNNNNNNNNNNNNNNNNNNNNNNNNNNNNNNNNNNNNNNNNNNNNNNNNNNNNNNNNNNNNNNNNNNNNNNNNNNNNNNNNNNNNNNNNNNNNNNNNNNNNNNNNNNNNNNNNNNNNNNNNNNNNNNNNNNNNNNNNNNNNNNNNNNNNNNNNNNNNNNNNNNNNNNNNNNNNNNNNNNNNNNNNNNNNNNNNNNNNNNNNNNNNNNNNNNNNNNNNNNNNNNNNNNNNNNNNNNNNNNNNNNNNNNNNNNNNNNNNNNNNNNNNNNNNNNNNNNNNNNNNNNNNNNNNNNNNNNNNNNNNNNNNNNNNNNNNNNNNNNNNNNNNNNNNNNNNNNNNNNNNNNNNNNNNNNNNNNNNNNNNNNNNNNNNNNNNNNNNNNNNNNNNNNNNNNNNNNNNNNNNNNNNNNNNNNNNNNNNNNNNNNNNNNNNNNNNNNNNNNNNNNNNNNNNNNNNNNNNNNNNNNNNNNNNNNNNNNNNNNNNNNNNNNNNNNNNNNNNNNNNNNNNNNNNNNNNNNNNNNNNNNNNNNNNNNNNNNNNNNNNNNNNNNNNNNNNNNNNNNNNNNNNNNNNNNNNNNNNNNNNNNNNNNNNNNNNNNNNNNNNNNNNNNNNNNNNNNNNNNNNNNNNNNNNNNNNNNNNNNNNNNNNNNNNNNNNNNNNNNNNNNNNNNNNNNNNNNNNNNNNNNNNNNNNNNNNNNNNNNNNNNNNNNNNNNNNNNNNNNNNNNNNNNNNNNNNNNNNNNNNNNNNNNNNNNNNNNNNNNNNNNNNNNNNNNNNNNNNNNNNNNNNNNNNNNNNNNNNNNNNNNNNNNNNNNNNNNNNNNNNNNNNNNNNNNNNNNNNNNNNNNNNNNNNNNNNNNNNNNNNNNNNNNNNNNNNNNNNNNNNNNNNNNNNNNNNNNNNNNNNNNNNNNNNNNNNNNNNNNNNNNNNNNNNNNNNNNNNNNNNNNNNNNNNNNNNNNNNNNNNNNNNNNNNNNNNNNNNNNNNNNNNNNNNNNNNNNNNNNNNNNNNNNNNNNNNNNNNNNNNNNNNNNNNNNNNNNNNNNNNNNNNNNNNNNNNNNNNNNNNNNNNNNNNNNNNNNNNNNNNNNNNNNNNNNNNNNNNNNNNNNNNNNNNNNNNNNNNNNNNNNNNNNNNNNNNNNNNNNNNNNNNNNNNNNNNNNNNNNNNNNNNNNNNNNNNNNNNNNNNNNNNNNNNNNNNNNNNNNNNNNNNNNNNNNNNNNNNNNNNNNNNNNNNNNNNNNNNNNNNNNNNNNNNNNNNNNNNNNNNNNNNNNNNNNNNNNNNNNNNNNNNNNNNNNNNNNNNNNNNNNNNNNNNNNNNNNNNNNNNNNNNNNNNNNNNNNNNNNNNNNNNNNNNNNNNNNNNNNNNNNNNNNNNNNNNNNNNNNNNNNNNNNNNNNNNNNNNNNNNNNNNNNNNNNNNNNNNNNNNNNNNNNNNNNNNNNNNNNNNNNNNNNNNNNNNNNNNNNNNNNNNNNNNNNNNNNNNNNNNNNNNNNNNNNNNNNNNNNNNNNNNNNNNNNNNNNNNNNNNNNNNNNNNNNNNNNNNNNNNNNNNNNNNNNNNNNNNNNNNNNNNNNNNNNNNNNNNNNNNNNNNNNNNNNNNNNNNNNNNNNNNNNNNNNNNNNNNNNNNNNNNNNNNNNNNNNNNNNNNNNNNNNNNNNNNNNNNNNNNNNNNNNNNNNNNNNNNNNNNNNNNNNNNNNNNNNNNNNNNNNNNNNNNNNNNNNNNNNNNNNNNNNNNNNNNNNNNNNNNNNNNNNNNNNNNNNNNNNNNNNNNNNNNNNNNNNNNNNNNNNNNNNNNNNNNNNNNNNNNNNNNNNNNNNNNNNNNNNNNNNNNNNNNNNNNNNNNNNNNNNNNNNNNNNNNNNNNNNNNNNNNNNNNNNNNNNNNNNNNNNNNNNNNNNNNNNNNNNNNNNNNNNNNNNNNNNNNNNNNNNNNNNNNNNNNNNNNNNNNNNNNNNNNNNNNNNNNNNNNNNNNNNNNNNNNNNNNNNNNNNNNNNNNNNNNNNNNNNNNNNNNNNNNNNNNNNNNNNNNNNNNNNNNNNNNNNNNNNNNNNNNNNNNNNNNNNNNNNNNNNNNNNNNNNNNNNNNNNNNNNNNNNNNNNNNNNNNNNNNNNNNNNNNNNNNNNNNNNNNNNNNNNNNNNNNNNNNNNNNNNNNNNNNNNNNNNNNNNNNNNNNNNNNNNNNNNNNNNNNNNNNNNNNNNNNNNNNNNNNNNNNNNNNNNNNNNNNNNNNNNNNNNNNNNNNNNNNNNNNNNNNNNNNNNNNNNNNNNNNNNNNNNNNNNNNNNNNNNNNNNNNNNNNNNNNNNNNNNNNNNNNNNNNNNNNNNNNNNNNNNNNNNNNNNNNNNNNNNNNNNNNNNNNNNNNNNNNNNNNNNNNNNNNNNNNNNNNNNNNNNNNNNNNNNNNNNNNNNNNNNNNNNNNNNNNNNNNNNNNNNNNNNNNNNNNNNNNNNNNNNNNNNNNNNNNNNNNNNNNNNNNNNNNNNNNNNNNNNNNNNNNNNNNNNNNNNNNNNNNNNNNNNNNNNNNNNNNNNNNNNNNNNNNNNNNNNNNNNNNNNNNNNNNNNNNNNNNNNNNNNNNNNNNNNNNNNNNNNNNNNNNNNNNNNNNNNNNNNNNNNNNNNNNNNNNNNNNNNNNNNNNNNNNNNNNNNNNNNNNNNNNNNNNNNNNNNNNNNNNNNNNNNNNNNNNNNNNNNNNNNNNNNNNNNNNNNNNNNUUAUGGAAUCAAGUCAUGCGAAAUUGAUUAGGGCUUUGGUGGGGGCCCAACAUUCAUAACACUCACUUCAAUACUGUUUGCUUGAUAUGAUGAUUUUUUAUUCUUCUUGAUGAAAUACAUGAAUUCACUUUAUAUCUAUUGUUGAGAUACCCCUGUUCCCAUAGACGUGUGGAUGCCCACUAAUCAGGUACGCUCUCUUUACCUCCCAACUCUAAAAUUCUAUGAAUAUGUAUGUUAUCAUGAACCAUGACCAUGUUUGAUGUCAUAAUUGAUUGUCUUGAUGCUUGUUUGAUCAUCUUUGAUAAAAUACAUAUAAUGUGUGUUAUACUUCUAUACUAACUCUGAUGUUUUAUGAUAGCGCUUGAAGAGCGGUUCAGGUACGCACCCUAACUCUCUGUUUUUGUGAUUUGAUCUUGUUUAGCAUGCAAAUCUUUUGAAAUCACCUAGCCUACUUAGGUAUCCAUAACUAACCGAUUAAUUGCCAUAUUCCCCUUAACUUAGUCAAUAGAGACCUCUUUAGGGCUUAGAGGGGUGCUACCUCCUAGAGGUACCUUCCCAAUAAGUAACCUGAUCCCCGGACCAAGACUUGGGUUUUCAAAGACACGCUUUUCCAAAAAUUAUGGAGUCAUUUUUUUUAGGGUUUUAUUUCUUGUUUUAUUUUCCCUUCAAAAAUAAAAAAUAAAAUAAGUGGCGACUCCAACUUUUUUUAAAAUUAAUUUUUCACAAAUAAAAAGCGAGUCUCGCCGAUCGAGUGGGGACGCACGUGAAAAAUGCGGGUCCACAUGUACCUAAAUGAGCUAUCCUAAAAAAGAAAGGAAAAUCCUAGGUUUAACUCGGGGCUGCUAGAGUCACAAUGAGGGGCCAGAUAAAUUUUUCGACCAGAGUCUCCAAGGUGGCUCGAAAGCUAAGUUGUACAAGUAGUAUGGGGUAUCAGAGGACUAUUGUGAAGUACUAAAAGAGCAUCUAAUAGGGCAUGUACUAAAGGGACAAAAUGGAGGGUUUACAAUAUUACUCUAAGAAAUAACAUGUUUAGAAGAAAGUGAUUUGUUGUCCAGGUGUUGAUCAAGUUCAUGUUUAGGUAGUUUUUGAGGAAUAAAAGAGUUUCUCCUUUUAGGCAUGCAGCUUAUGGAUUUAUACAAUACCUUUCAUAUUAGUCUGUGAAACUUUUUAUGACAACUAGUUAGUUGACUAUGAUUGUGAAUCUUUGGAAUGGAAAACUCUUCCUUUUACUAGAGGAAUGGAGCUUGGUGAUGUUGUCUACAUAACCACUGACACUCAAAGGGGUUUUGAAGUGCAAAUCUUUGAAAAAAUGAAAGGAUUGGGAUUAUAGGCACUUUAAAAAAAUUCAGAAAGUAUAUUCAGUUCGCCCCACACUAAUAGCUUGGUAUUGCCUAGAAGCUCUUCAGAUAUGGCAAGCUUGAAGAAUAAAGCAUUUUUGGGUAUUGGAUAUAGUAAAAGGCAAAGAUCCAAAGUGUUUGUUUCAACGCCAAUAAGGAAAGGCCACCUUCGAUGCACAGUCCUAGACAACCCUACGGUUGUCCCUCUUCUGGUCAAGUUCAAGAUUACCUUGCUACUAGUUUUCUUUUCCAUAGGCAUGGCCACCUUCUGCCCUUCAGUGGUGCACUGCUUUACAUACAGUGCUCCUAUUCUCCGACAAAUCCGAUCCACCUUGGGGCAUACAUAUGGAAUUUUGAUAAAUGGGGCUCAGAUUAUUGCCUGAAAUGGCACAAUGAGAUGAGUUGUGGGAGUUCCUUCUACUAAGGUGAUAUUCAUUCGCUCAAAAUGGGUCAAAUCUCAUCCUUAGACUUGGUAUCUAGCACCUAUCAGUCUCUAUUCCUUCUACUCCUAUACCAACACUAAGCAAAUAUUCAAUAUACAAAAGACAAUCCUCUUCCUAGGGUCGCAAUUCUGGGAUAGAAAUACAUGUUUCCAAAAAUGAGAAACUACUGGUAGAGUUAGGCAAGAACGAGGCUUUAGUUGCAGUACUACAAGUGGAAAUUGAUGACUUGGAUAGAAGUUCCUUUAUUAUCUAGACAUGAGAGAUUGAAGUUCGAGAUACAAAAGGAGUCUUAUGAAGUUCUUAGACAAAUAGGCUGACAAUAAUUCUAUAAUUUCAGUUUUGCAAGUUAAAAGUGCCAACUUGGGUAUGAAUCAUGCAUUGUAAAGUUCAAAAUUUCCUUUUAUUUGGUGGACCAUAUCCUAUCUCAUCAGAUAUCCUUUCUUCUUAGAUGAAGUAAGAGCUUGAAUAAUCAGUAUCCAUUUGAUCUUCACGUCUUUGCUCCCCAUCCAAAUCACUGUAACAUUUUGCAUCUAUAACCAUACAACAGAAAUGCCCAUAAGAAUAGUGGAUCUUGUUGGUUCAGAUGCAAUGGGCACAUCAUGCUUAUUUAUGAGAAGAUGCUUGAAUCUGCUAGAAAAAACCUCAUCAGAAAAUAGGUCCAUCUAAUUUAGAUGGUCAUGGCUCUUAGACCAUUAAACCGGAGACAAUUCAAUGAGCAUUUAAAAUAGUUUCUACAAAGUCUAUCUAGCCUAAGGAAGCUCACCUUCAUCAGUUCAUGGACAUGAAAAUGGCAUCUAAAGACAUGAUGUGUUUCUUUUUUCACCUAAUUAAUAGUUCAGGUAAGAUUUGACAGGACUUCAAGAAUAACAAGUGUGAAAUGGGGGCUUUAGACUUGGAAUUCUGGGCAGAUAAAGAAAUCAUUGACGAGCAAGGAAACUUUUCAUUCACCAGCAUGAAAUAUCUUUCGCAUGGUUCUACUUAUGAACACCAUAUAGACCUGCAUUUUUCACGUGCAUUCCUACUCGUACGGCGAGACACGCUUUUGAUUAAGGUGAUUUUGUAUUUUUGUAUAAACUUGGAGUCGCUACUUAUUUUUAUUUAUUUUUUAAAGGGGAAUAUAAAGUAAGAAUAAAACCCCCAAAAGGACUUGAUUUUUGGAAAAGCUGUCUACAAAAAACCCAAGUCUGGGUCUAGAAAUCUGGUUAAUUGGGAAGGUACCUCCAAAGAAGUAAUAACCCUCUAAGCCCUAAUGAGGUCUUUACUAGCUGAGUUGAGGAAAAUAUGACAAUGAAUUAGUUGAUUAUGGAUACUUAAAUGGACUAAGGUGAUUUCAAAACUCUAUUAACACUAGCAUGUCAAACAAGAAUUCACAACACAAUCAUAAAGAAAAGAUUGUAUUGCAUACCUUAACCACAACUUAAGCACUAUCGCAAGACAUCAAUGGUUAGUUUGGAAAAUAAAACACACAUCAUGCAUUUUACCCUAGUCUCCUAAUCAAACAUGGUAAGUCAAACAAAUAAUAAAAAAGAUAUGCUAAAUAUGUUAAUGAUCACAUACAAAGCAAUACAUAAUAAUCACAUACAAAGCAAUACAUAAUUUAUGAAAUUAAGAUGUGAAGGUAAGAUGAGUACCUAAAUAGCAUAGAUAACUCAUAAUGUGCUUCAACAAGAUAUGGAGGGUUAAAUCAAAAUUAUAGUAAUAAAUAAUAAAAGAAAGAAAUCCUAGCAUGCUUGGUAUCUAAAUAGCAUAAAAAAAACGAUUGGAGUAUACAAAAUCAUCAAUUAUGACAUAUAUCUUGCACAUAAUUCCUAAAAAAAUUGAUGGUUAUGAUUACAACAAGUAGCAAAAGUGGACGCAAAGAUAAGUUUUGAAAACAAUCUUUUAUGUAGGGGUUCCAUCAAAUCCUCAUUCAAUAUCCAUAAGUUUAACUUGUGUAUUGCCAUUAGCUUAGGAGCACAAGUUCAAAUCUAUGUGAAUAAAAACAAAAUUUUGAGAACCAAUAAAGGUGAAUGCAACUUAGAUUGAAAUAAGUUGCAUAAUGUCCAAAGAAAAUGUGUUCUUUGCCUAAAUCUAGAAUGAAUGUUUUUCUAAAGCUUUUUAUUGAUUUAAAUACUUUUGAAAACAAUUUAGAGAGAACAAAAGAAACCAAGUGAUUUGAUAAAUCCCAAUCUACACAAAAUAGGUAUUUUUGAUUUCUUUCUUAAAAGAAAUUGAAAACAGCAAAGGUCAACUUGGAUAACUUUUUUGUCUACCUUUCAUUUGGGUUCAAGGAACCAAAUUCAUGUUGGAGAAAAAUUCAUUUUAAAACUUUUUUCAAAUAUGCAUACCAAAUAAAAUUGGUUGCAUGAAUUUUGGAAAAUUGACAUUUCUUUAAUUAAUUGAUCUAGGAUUAAUUUUAAAAUGAAGUUAGAAGAUUAAUUUGGCAAAAUAAAAAAAAAAGUUGAAAACAAUUUUUAAAAAAUAUUAAAACACAAAAUCUCAAACAUGAACUAUUAAGAAAGAGUGUAAGUGUGUAUUUGUGAAUUUUCUAGUGUGCCAAUGUGAAACUCAAGUGUCCUAAAUAUGAACCUAAGGUGCAACUGUAUUUAAAACUAUUGUGUCUUAAUUUAAGUGUUAAAUUAUGAUCCAAAACUGUCCUAAGUAUAAACAAUUAAUCGACCUCGAUAAUCAUCCACUAAUAUGCCAGUAACCAUUAAUAUUAUUCCAUUUCCUAUAUUAUCAUCCAUUGAUUUAAGAAAACACCAAGCAUCAUAAUACAUCUGUAGACAUAAAAAAAUUAGUGGAUUAAAUUACCACUAAUUUGGUCUUCUAAAAAAAAAAAAAAAAAUCUUAUGGAUAAGUCUCUCUCAUCUCCAACUAUAAAAAAAAGAUAAUAAUAAUAAUAAAAAUUAUUAUUAUUAUUAUUAUCUUCUUGGUAAAACCUCCCGGAUAAGAAAAUUUGCUAAAAUUAAGGAACUAAAUCCCUUGAAUUAAGCAACUAAAAUUGGGGAUUCUGAAAUUCAAAUUCCCUAUCUUCACCUAUAAAUAGAGGUGUCUUCCAUCAAGAUGGGGGAGAAAAAAUUCUAGAGGGAAAAAAAAGGAGAAAAAUCUAGAUAGGAAAAUCCUAAGGAGAAAAUCCAAAGGUAACUACUCCGUAUAGGGGAAGGGGCUUCACAACAAUAGGGAGCUUCAUCAAAUAUCCUUGCAAGUUCAAUAAACGGCAAAAGAACUAAUACAAUCGUUCUUUGUCAUUCAACAAGGUCAUUCGAGAAUAAGCCAUUUGUGGCCCUCGAUUGAUCUCUGAAAUAAAAAAAACGUCAUCGUCGUCUUCCGAAGUGUGAUCAAGUCAAAAGAAUCAGAGAGAAAAAUAUUCUUUUGGAAAGAAUAUUAUUUAUUUCUGAGAUUGUACCCGCACUACAUUUUUAAAUUUAAUAAAUCGUUUGUUCGCAUUAAUUUUCCUAUUUUAUUUUGUUAAUUUUUACAGGAUAAAAUUUUACGAAAUUUGUGCGUACAAAUUUCUGGCACGCCCGGUGGGACCUUUCUGUCUCUCAUCUCUUUUGUUAGAAGAUUGAUCUCUACUACGUCGAUGGCACCCAAAAGAACUCAAGUCGUGCAUGACAACAAGGGCAAUGAUAAGAUCGUCAUUGCACAAUCAACACAUGACACCGCUACGGGCCCUAUGACUCGUAGCAAAGGAAAAUCAACAUCUUCACUCUCAACAAAACAAACAAGUGAGUCUGCUUGUUUGCUAAAAGCGGUAAGGACCCAUGAUGAGCAUCAACCGCUCAUCACCUUGGCCUCUUUGGGGGCAAAGAGCCAUAGUCCUCGUAGCAGGGGAAAACUCUCUUCAACACUAAAGGACUUUGGGGAUAAAUCUCUUUGCUCUGUUACUAAAGCCAACUCCAGCACUGGCUCAUACUCCGGAUCGCCAACCAGAAUGUCAAAAGAGGAAAACUACUCCAAUCAUUUUGACUCUUUUACUUCUCCCUUCUCGAUGACCAUGCCGGUAAUGGCAACCGACACUACAUCCGUAGAGGAACAAUUAGCAGAGAUGGCUCGCGCCAUCACCAAACUCACCAAGUCGGUUGAGGAGAAUGAUAUGCAGAUAGCCUCUCUCAUAAACAAGGUUGAGACACAAGUACAAAAUGCGGGUGAGUCAAGUCACAAACUCAACCACCCUCCGAUUGUUGCAUCUCCUCUCGAUGAUGCACCACAUACGUAUAAGACAAUGCAAAGUGAAAAACAAAUGACAGAAUCUGCCUCAGUGGUGUCAUUAUCUGCCCAACAACUUCAGGACAUGAUAACUAACACCAUUAGGGCGCAGUACGGUGGACCCUCACAGAGUACGCUCAUGUACUCUAAACCUUACACUAAGAGGAUUGAUAACCUACGUAUUCCUAUGGGUUAUCAACCUCCAAAAUUUCAAUCAUUUGACGGAAAAGGCAAUCCAAAACAACAUGUUGCCCAUUUCGUUGAAACUUGUAACAAUGCAGGUACAGAUGGUGACUUAUUAGUUAAACAAUUCGUCCAUUCUCUUCAAGUGAAUGCUUUCGAUUGGUACAUAGACCUUGCACCAGAGUGUAUUGAUAGUUGGGACCAAAUGGAAUGUGAAUUCCUCAACCGUUUCUAUAGCACCAGACGAACUGUAAGUAUGAUGGAACUUACUAACACUAAGCAAUGGAAAGAUGAACCGGUUGUAGACUUUAUCAACCGUUGGCGUUCCUUAAGCCUCGACUGCAAAGAUAGAUUAUCGGAGGUAUCAGCUAUGGAGAUGUGCAUACAAGGAAUGCAUUGGGGUCUCCUAUACAUUCUCCAAGGGAUACGACCCCGUACCUUUGAAGAAUUAGCUACCCGAGCACAUGACAUGGAGCUCAGCAUUGCCAACCAUGAUGCUAAAAAUGACCUUAUCAUUGACCAGCAAAGAGAAAGACACAAUGGGAAAGCAAGUGAUAAGAUUUCAAUAAAACCCAUCUAGGAGUCAAUGAUGGUAAAUGUGACUCUUGCGCGAGAUAAAAAGAAAGAAGUAAAAGAGGUUAGACCAACCCAAGAAAUGAGAGGUGUCGGUUCACCUUUAAGGAAUUAAAGGAGAAGAGGUAUCCUUUUCCUGACUCUGAUGUGCCUAGCAUGUUGGAAGACCUGCUCCAGAAAAAAGUUAUUGAGCUACCUGAGUGCAAGCGUCUAGAAGAAAUGGGUCGUCUUAAUGAUCCGAACUAUUGUCAUUACCAUCGAAUUGUCAGUCACCCGGUGGAGAAAUGUUUCAUCUUAAAAGAUCUUAUAAUGAAACUUGCAAAACAAAGAAGAAUUCAUCUGGAUCUAGAUGAAGUAGUAGAUUGAAAUCAUGCUACAGUCACAUUUGGGUCCAUCGAUCUUGUUUUGUUACAUGUUCCACCUAAGACACUGGAGGCAUGCGCCGAUACUAUCCAAUGCGAUUCACCAAAACCAAAGCAAACGUAAGUGUCAUGUCAAGACACCAUUCGUCACUUCUAUUUUGAUAAUGAAUCAAUGUUGUAUAACGAAGAAGGUUGGACAUUGGUGACACGAAGAAGACCUCACAAGAAGCAAGAAUCUCAUCCCUACCCAAAUCUUCCUAGGAAGGAACAAUGUAUGCAAAAUAUUCAUCGAUAUGCGAAGAGGAAAGAAGAAAAGAAGCCUAAAAGAAAACAAGCGAUUGUACAGGUUGAUGAUUUCUUGGUACAAAAGCUCAUCACCCCUUUCACCUUAGGAGAAUACUUCCCUCAGGAGUUCUUUAAUAAAGGAAUGGUGACAUCAACUCAUAUGGUCUCUUAUCAUGAGAUUUCGAAAGAAGAUGAGUCAGGUAAAGAUGAAGAAAACGUUUUCGGUGCAGAGCCAAGAAAAACCAAGAAAGAUGAUGAGAUACAUAGGAAUCCAUCAUUUUAUGCCACAAAAAUAAAGGGGGCAAAACGAUUUGAAGACAAAGGCCACGAUUGUGCGACAUGUUGUGCAAACAUCACCUACACCAGUGGCGAUGAAAAUGACGUGACAUCAAAUUUUACCACAAUUGUUUUCAAACCUCAACAUUCUAGUGAUGCUCCUUAAAGCAUGAGCCUAAACUGCAUAUUGCUCCUAUCCUACAAGAGCUUAAACUGUAGUAAAAAAAAAAAUCAUUCUUGGCAAACUUCUUAAACCGAGGAACAAACCCUUUGUAUUAAAGAAGUCAAAUUCGGAGAUUCCAAACUAAAAUCUCUAAUUUCUCUACAUACAAGUGUUCUUUUCUUUCAGCAUGACGCGUUCUCAAAAGGGCGAUGCAACCUAGAACCUAAAUCCAAAAAAUGAAGCUUUAAAAGUCAAAAUCAAACUCCAAACAUUUUUCAACAAGCUCGUGGAAGAAUAUCAAACUCAAACAAAAGUGUCAUUCAUCCACCUUCAAAGCUAAAGAAGACAAGGAUGGGUUCUUCAAAACACUUGAGGAAAUUGUUGAUAAGUUUACUUGAGAGCAAGUCAUCAUUGACCCUCAAUUAAAUUUUGCUCCAAGAAUACGUGGUUACCACCCUUGGAUUAAAAUCAAGUCCAAGCUUGACACAUUCUUCAACAAGCUCGUGGAAGAAUAUCAAACACAAUACAAAAGUGUCAUUCAUCCACUUUUAAGACUAAAGAAAAUCAAGACAAAGAACUUCUUUUGUUCUCCAAAAUGCUUAAGAAAGGUCUUCAUAAGUUUGGUUGAGAAUAAGUCAUCUUUGACCCUCAAUUAAACUUUAUUCCAAGGACAUGAAUUUAUCAUCCUUCAAUCAAACUCAAGACAAGUGAUACUCUUGGCCCGCAUGAGCAUAAAUUGCGUACGGCGUAAAAAAAAUAAAAAUAAAAAUUUGCUAAGUCGAAAACCUGAAAAGGCGACUUAGGCAAAAGUUAGGACAUAUGCUCGCAAGAUUAAAUCUUUCUUUUAGUCUUGGAAAAAGUUAGAGCGUAAAAAAAAAAUGGAACUACGUUUGACUUGAUCCCCUCUCUUUGAAGGGUACGUAGGCAACUCGGGGAAACAACUCGAAUUUAGUCGCUACCACAAAAAAAAAAAAAAAAAAUUAUUACUUCAAGACUCACCCCAUCUACAUGACAAAGCAUGUACGUGAUGAGUCUUGAAGUGGGGCCAUUUGUAGACAUAAAAAAAUUAGUGGAUUAAAUUACCACUAAUUUGGUCUUCUAAAAAAAAAAAAAAAAUCAUCUUAUGGAUAAGUUUCUCAUCUUAUGGAUAAGUCUUUCUCAUCUCCAACUAUAAAAAAAGAUAAUAAUAAUAAUAAUAAAAAAUAUUAUUAUUAUUAUUAUCUUGUUGGUAAAACCUCCCGGAUAAGAAAAUUUGCUAAAAUUAAAGAACAAAAUCCCUUGAAUUAAGCAACUAAAAUUGGGGAUUCUGAAAUUCAAAUUCCCUAUCUUCACCUAUAAAUAGAGGUGUUUUCCAUCAAGAUGGGAGAGAAAAAAUUCUAGAGGGAAAAAAAAUGAGAAAAAUCUAGAGAGGAAAAUCCUAAGAAAAAAAUCCAAAGGUAACACCGUAUAGGGGAAGGGGUUUCACAACAAUAGGGAGCUUCAUCAAAUCUCCUUGCAAGUUCGGUAAACGGCAAAAGAACUAAUACAAUCGUUCUUUGUCAUUCAACAAGGUCAUUCGAGAAUAAGCCAUUUGUGGCCCUCGAUUGAUCUCUGAAAUAAAAAAAACGUCAUCGUCGUCUUCCGAAGUGUGAUCAAGUCAAAAGAAUCAGAGGGAAAAAUAUUCUUUUGGAAAGAAUAUUAUUUAUUUAUGAGAUUGUACCCGCACUAUAUUUUAAAAUUUAAUAAAUCGUUUGGUCGCAUUAAUUUUCCUAUUUUAUUUUGUUAAUUUUUAUAGGAUAAAAUUUUACGAAAUUUGUGCGUACAACAUCUCCAUUGAUUUUUUAUUUUAUGUAAACAUCAACAAUACUAACAUUGUUUCCAUUAAUUUUUUAAAAUUGAAACAAAGCCAUUAAAAUCUUUCCAUGCCGACAACAUUAUUUCAUCUAUAUAUAUUUCAUAAAAAAUAAUCAACUCAAAGGCCACUUAAUUUUUAAGCCACUAAAAUAUAUUAGAUUCCAAACAUGAGACACCUUCAAUUCAACCACUAAAAGACCUUCCAGUUUUAGUCAUGAAAUUCACUUCAGUUAUUCAUCGAAAUGCAUGAAUUAGCUCCCAAUAAUAGCCACAAAUUCAGCCUUGGGAUUCAACACUCCUAUGCCACCUUAUAUCCUCAUUUAUCCACCCAAAACUCACUCCAUUGACAUUUGAGCCACAAACUUUACACAUGUUGCCACUUUCUUUACAUUCUCUCAUUUUUCUAAUGCAUUCAACAACAUAACAUCACCCUUCAAUGAGUCUCCAAAGCUAGCUCCCACCAUCUCCAUGUUCUCUCAUUAUUAAAUUCAAGCACUAAGGCUCCUUAAGACCAUGAAUUCUCAUUGAAAAAUAAUCAUUCAUAAAAGCUCUAGACAUAACCACUUUCCACCAUUAAAAAUUAAAGCACCAAAUAUAUUUAAAUAACCAUGAACUCCAUAAAAAAAAAAAAAAAAAUCAGCAUUACUUUCUCAUUGCAUGGCCACUUAUUUGCAUUAACUUCCAUCAACAAAUCUACACUAACAGUAUCAAAUUCAGCUUUGAAUUUCAACCUUGUGACUCACAUGUAUACAUCCACAAUUCAACUCAUGCAAACCUCCAUUCAUGCAGCCACAAUUCAAUCACAUUUCUACCAAUAUUUCAGCCAUCAACACAUGCAUAUGUAGCCACAAAUCUUCAACCAUUAGCCUAUAUUACGUGGCCACAACUUUCAAUCCUUGAACUCCACUAUGUUACCAUAACUUUCAGCUAUUAAAUUCCACUAUACAAUCAUAACUUUCACAUAAGCUUUCAAGCCUUCGUACAACCAUGAAAUUCGCCUAUUUUCCAUUGCAUUUUUAGCCUUCAAAAUCACCCUAUGAAACCACCAAAAUUCGUGCUAGUUUAGCCAUGUUUCUACUUUCAAAAUUCAGCCUCCAAAUUUGAAGAAUUGACCACAAAGAUACAUGGCUGUUCCAUUAAAAAAAUUAUCCAUAUAAUUAUUGUACCUUUCAACUUUUUCAUUGAAAUAUAAAAGAGAAUCUCCCCCUAAAUCAUGUUUUCAAUCUCCGCCCAAACAUGUUUUACAAUCUCAAAUAUAAUGAAUCAAAAUUAGCACUAGACGAAAUUCAAAUUCCCAAUCUAAUAUAAUAAAUAAAACUUAAAUUUAACAAAGUUCAAACCUUCAAAACCAAAAUAAUGGAUUGAAACUAAACCUAACAUGAUUUCCAACUUUUCAAACUAAUAAUUAAAAACAAACAAAAGCUAAAGCAGAAUAAAAUUCCAACAUUUUAGACUAACGUAAUGAAUCCAAACUAUAUUAAACAAAAUUAUGAUUUUUCAAGUUAAAACAAAGAAAAGGUUUUACUUACCUUCUUCCAUGUGGUGCGCGACGUGGAGACUCAAUGGGUUGUGCAUGUUCUCCAUGUCUGUGCGAAUUGUUUUCGUAGUUCCAUAUAUUCCUAGUGAGAUGCAGGCUGGUGGGCAUUCCCUAACUGUGGUGUGGCUUGUGGAGAGAUCCUCUUUGGUGCAUGCUGUAAAAGGAUUUUUAAUGGUCGUACUACUGAAUCUCUUGUAGGAAGACCUCUCUUGGAUGCAUGGUGGAGACUCAAUCCUCUCUCCUAAAAAAUGGCAAUCUACAUAAACAACUCCUAUGCGUUUUGUCUUUUAAAAGUGGUAGUCUCUAAUGUCUCUGUGCAUGCCAAAUGAAUCCACUAUUUCUUAAAAAUAAUGGUGCGUGGUGGCCCCUUAAACCCUCUUAAUAUGUGUGUGUUGGAAGUCUCAUUAAUGAAGAAAAGAAUGCCACUACAUGGUGUCUUCUACUCUCGAUGCAUGUUUCUUCUCUGUUUUUCUACUCAAAAUCCUUUCUACCAAAACCUCUCGACCUCUCUAAAAAUCCCUAAUAUUAUCUAUUUUUUUUUUGGCUUUUUAAUCAUUCUUAUAUGAGAAUAUUUAGUCCUAAAAAUAACCCUUUUGGUUUUUUUAUUUUUCCAAAAUCCUAUAUUUUUCCCAUGCAAAAAUGCUUUGGAAAUCUAGUCUUACCCCCUUUCUUAUGCAACAACCCUUCAGAAAUCCUCCAUUUCUUCUUUUCCAAUCCUCUAUUUUCUUUUCUCUUCCCUUACCUUUCAAAUUCUGGUGGAUCAUGCCUAGUUGACUCCAUGCACAUGGAGAGGAUGACAUGUACUUAAAUGACCAUGCAAAGGUGGGACCCAAAAAAACAAACAAACUUAAGUGAUUGGUGAGGCGUAGCUGAGAUGUAGUUCCAAUAUUGACAAUGUUGCACUUUGACCUUUGCGAUACUAGUAGCUUGCCAUGGACGUUUUAUGGAAGUGGUAGUCCUCAAUUUCCAAUUUAUAGUAUUCAAGUCCCAUGCAAAAUAAAAUGAGGAUGUAAGUAGGAAUAAUGCAAUUUGAAAAUUAAACAUAAAAAUUAUGCAAUAAAAAAAAUUAAUAUGUCAAUUGCAUGUAUAUUUAAAAUCAAUGAUUAAUCACUCAUGUGCAAAAGAAAUCAAAGUGCGAAUCUCAUGCAAUAAUAAUAAUAAUAAUAAUAAUAAUAAUAAUAAUAAUAAUAAUAAUAAUAAUAAUAAUAAUAAUAAUGAAAAUAAAAUAAAUAAAUAAAAAGAUAUAAGAAAUAAAUAAAUAAAUAAAUAAAACACAGACAUAAAUAUCACGUUUGCAAUCCAAUGAAUUAAGAUGUUAAACGAACUUAAUAAACAAUAAUAAAAAAAUAAAAAUAAAAAUAAAUGAAUAGAUAAAAAUAAAAAUAUCAAACUUGUACAAAUCGAAGAUCGAAAAUUCAUCUCAUGCAAUCAAAGAUCUAAAAUCAAACCCAAGCUCACUUACACUUAAAAUCAAGUAAUCAAACUCAAAAACUAACCCAAGUAAAUUAAGCCUACAAAAGCAUCCAAGUGGAACCUAUCCUCAAAAAGAACUGAGUGAGGCCUAAACUUAGCUUGAUAGGCAACCAAGGGAUGGCUUCGAAUCAAUAGAGAAGUACAAGCAUACACCUAGUGUCAUAAGUGCUAAGUGGACAAAAUGAAGGGCUUACACACCAUUAAAGCUUUCUGGCAUUGGCAUCUAUAGCUAUCCGUGUUCACCUAUAGAAGUUUAGGCUGAUAGUUGAUAUUUAAUAUCAUAGAUCCUAACUAGACAAAUCAAUGAGACAUCAACUUCUAGUCAUAUCACCAGUUCCCUUCACAACUUGGGUCUGCAAUAUUCAAGUAAUGAGGAUUUAGCAACAACUACAACCACCAGCAGUACAGUCUCAAGUACACUCCUAGGCUUUAUUCUUACAUAGGCAUUUUGGUACACAUUACCUUUCUCCUAAUCAUUUUUGUUUUCCCUGUGAUCUUACACCUUUAAAAUUUGGAUUUCAACGAACCUUUUUCAUUAAAUAAUUCCAAUUUUCUUUAAAAAUUCCAUAAUUAGGAAUUUCUAAGCAUAAAAUCCAUAUUUCAACAAAUCUUUUGUUGCCACUUUCCUUUGUGGGUGCAUUUUCACUAUUUUAUUUUGUUUUCAACUAUUUUCAUGGUUUUGUUGAUUUUUAACAAGCAUGAAUAAACUUCUUGAUUCCAAACAAUGGAAUUCAUAGAAUUAACUCAUGCAAAAUUAAUUUGGGCUUUGGUGGGGCUUGACAUUCUUAACAUCUUCUUUGAUAAUGGUUCAAAUGAGGUAUUUGUUUGAUAUUUGAUUGAUUUUGAUUUAUUUCUGUGAUACAUGUGAUUGUUUUGCACAUGUUAUUGAGCUAACCCUGUUUCUAUAGAAGUGUUGAUGCUUGCUACCCAAGUACACUCUCUAUCACCUAUGUUCAGAAUUCUAUGAACAUAUAUGUUAUUAUGCGUUAUGUCCAUGUUUUAUAUUAUCUUUAGAUGUCUUGAUGUUUAUUUGAUUUGCUCGGAUAAAAAGCAUGUCGUGUAUCAUAUUUCUAAACUAACUUUGAUGUCUUGUGAUAGCGCUUGAGAAGCAGUCCAGGUACACAUCCUAACUCUUCUUUAUGUUUGUGAUUGACUUCCUUCUUUGGCAUGCUAACUUUGAAAUCAUCUUAGUCUAACUAGGUACCUUUAAUUAAAUGAUUAAUAGUCAUAUUCCCCUUAACUUAGCCAGUAGAGGCCUUUUUAGGGCUUAAAAGGGUACUACAUCAUUGAGGUACCUUCCCAAUAGGUAACCUGAUCCCUAAACCUCAUCACGGGUUUUUCAAAAACAUAUUUUUUCAAAACUAUGGAGUCACUUUUUUUAGCUGCAUGGAAAUUUAGAACUCAAAAAUCUGAUGACAUUAUAUACUCUGACUUUGAGGACAAAUUUGGAGCACUUUCUGGAGUCUAUUAUAUACAUACUAUAUAUCGUUUCGAAGCUCGGGAAGUCAGGAGUCCAACGCUUCAAACGGUUUGCAAAUCGAAGCUAAAAUGAAGAAGUUAUGGCCAUUUGAAGACAACUGCACCAAGCUGGAGGGUCAUUUCGAAAUGAUUUCGAAAUUCAACUUAUGAUUUCGAAAUUCAACUUAUGAAUUCGAAAUCCACUUCGAAAUGACACCAAUUUCGAAUUCACCCACUGCCACUUUGAUGUUCCGCCUCCUCUACCUCGGGAAUUGCAUCUAAAGCACUCCAUCCGCCCUAGGUGGACCCCACACGACUAGAAAUCACCAUUUCAUUAUUUUUUAAUCAUUUUUAGGAAAUUAUUUUGUAAUAAGUGGCCAAUGAGAGUGUGCCACAUGUUAGGUAAUUGAGGAUAUUAUAUAAACUCUCUCAAUUCUAGGUUUUGGGGAUCUUGGAUUUUUUCUGGAGAGUUUGACAUUGAAGGUGGAAGAAGACGAGAACUUUGGUUUGUUUUCUUUUUCUUCUUUAUUAAAUAUAUUGUUUUUAGUUUCUUUUGAUUCAAAUUAUGGAUUUUUACCCUAUUAUGGAUUGUGAAUGUGACAUCACCCCCAUGAGAGGCUAAGAGCCGACUUGGGGCUUGAAGCAUGAAAACCUAAGGGCUAGGAAACCUAUAGGGACAAUGGGUAAAUUAUUAUAACAAUGAGAUUAAUUAUUGGUUGAGUGACAAUUUAUCAAUUUUUUUUAUCCUAUCCUUGUGAGUUCGUUUAGGGAAUGAUACGGUAGGUUAUUACUUGAUACUAGUGAUUCUUGGUAAAUCUUGAUCAUUAGUUAUCCUCAUCUUACCUACCGUUAUUUACCCCUAAACAAAGCUAUAAGGAGUGGGAAUAGUUAAAAAUCCAAAUCUUAAAUUGAUAAUCAAUCUCAUUCAUUUGAUGGUUUUAGGAAUCUGUUUUAAAAAUGAAAAAUUAGGUUUCGGAUGCAAUUUUGAGUUAUAGAACUCAACUUGAUCGCGAGUGGUCAAGGAUCCCAAAACCCUAAGAUCAUAUUACUUAAAAUACCCUUGUUUUCUAUAAUUUCUACACCUUAGGUUGGAUUGUGGAAAACCCCAAACUUGAAUCAAUUGAAUUUAAAAUCAAUAUUCAUUUUCUCUUAUUAAUUUAAUUUCUUUUACUUAGUUUCACAUUAUUCACAUAUUGUUUUUCACUUAAGGAUUUAAACAAAAACAAUUCAUUUAUUCUAGUAUUGACAAUUUUCAUAAGCCAGUCCUUGAGAACGAUACCCGGAAUACUACAAAAGCCGUAGUGACUCUUUCUCUAGUUUUUCUUGACCAGAGUUACUACGUAAAAAGGCUAAGUAUUUUGGUACAAUAGAGAAAUUUCGGUCACCCGCCCCAAUUAGGAUGGGUAUGAGAGCAUAGUAAUCGGGGAUGGGACAGGUUUGGACUUAAUUUUUAAAACUCAAAUCGAGUUCAGGGCGGGUUCGGGUUUUGUAAUAAUCUGCCCUGCCCCGGAUAUAAAAUUACAAGUUUACCCUUUAUAUCUUACAAAAUACUAAAAAAACUCCACCUAUAAAUAUUUGUUUCUUGUCUCUUCCUUAGGGUUACUCACCUUUAACACAAAAAUCUCUCAUUCUCAUUGUUUUCAAACGUCUAGCUCUCAGAUUGAUUUUCCCAACUCAAAAAAUUUCUAUCUCACAUUUUGAGCCGUUAGGGGAGAAAAGAGAUAGGGCUCACAGCUUGUGGAGAAGACAAUCCCUCUAGCUUCAUUUUAUGCCUUCUUGAAACACGAAGAAAAUGAAGUCGAAGCUCACCUAGAGUACCAAAAUCCGAGGUCUAAAGGCUUUGGUUUUUGUUUGGAUUUCUUGUUUUUAGGUUAAAAAAAACCCUUAAAUUUCUAGGUUUUAUUUGCUCGAAUUCCUUUUUCUUGUUCUUGCCUAAAAUAUCCAUGUAAUUUGUUAUUGUCAAAGCCAAACCGAUUUGAUUUAGUGGCUUCACAUGCAUGAAAACAAUGAAUGAUUUUAAGAUUUUUAUCUCCCUUUUAUCAACUCAUUAAUUGUAAAAAAAAAAAAAAAUUCUUUGCUUUAACCCUAGUUUGAAAUUUGUAAUCAAUAUUUCUGAUAAUUUUUAUUUUUGUAUUUAUUUUCAAAUUUUCCAUUUCACAUAGAUUUCGUUUAAGUGCUAUUUAGAAUUUAACAACUCCAUAAUCCGUAAUCAUUUUUUUUUUCAUUUUUUUCUCUAUGUUCUGUUUGAUUUCCAAGAAAGUGUGGGAAAAGAAUAGAAAUGAAUUGAAAAUUAGAAUCAUAGAUUUUUAUUUUAUAUUUUUAUGGUCUAUUUUUGUGGUAAUAGAGGCUUAUUUAUAUAGGGUUUACUUGGGUUGGUUUGAAUGUAAAUAGGAUCCUCUUAUUUGUUUGAAUGUUUUAAUUAUAGGAUUUAUUUCAUUAUAAGAAAAAUGACAUCAGAAAAAUGGGAAAACUUUUCCAUACCAAGUGCGGGUUCAAAUCCAAUUACGGUUAGUACUUCAACUACUGAUAGAACAUUGGGAUCUAAAAGAAGAAAACUGACUUUGGUUGUUUGUAAUGAUUUUGAUAAAGUCAUAGAAGAUGGACAAGAUUAUGCUAUUUGUAAGCAUUGUAAAGGAAAACUCAAGGCCAAUAGCAAGAAUGGAACAAAACAUUUACAUGUACACAUAGAUAGGUGCAUGAAAUGAAGAAAUGUUGAUAUUAGGCAACAAUUAUUAGCAGUAGAGAGAAAAGGUCAUGGAAAAGUUCAAAUUGGUGGUUUUACUUUUGAUCAAGAUAUUUCAAGAGAGAAGCUUGCACGUGUAAUUAUAUUGCAUGAGUACCCGCUUUCAAUAGUUGACCAUGUGGGGUUUAGAGAUUUUGCUACUAGUCUCCAACCUUUGUUUAAGAUGGUUUCCUGUAAUACAAUUAAGGAUGACAUAAUGAAGAUUUAUGAGGUUGAGAAAGAGAAAAUGAUUAGCUACUUGGAGAUACUUAAAAGUAGAAUUGCAAUCACAACUGAUAUGUGGACAUCAAAUAAAAACAAAGGCUACAUGGCUAUCACCGUACAUUACACGUAUGAGUCUUGCUUAUUGCAACAUCAUAUUGUAAGGUUAGCUAUGUUUUUUUUUCUUUUUUUAACUUCCUAAGUUUUUUUUAUUUGAUCAUUUAGUGAUAUCACUUUGUAUUAAUUAUAUGUUUUUUUAUAUAUAUUUUUAAUGUAGGUUUGUUUAUAUGCCUCCUCCACACACAAAAAAAGUUCUUUUAGAUGUGUUAAUGGAUUUCUUGUUAGAUUGGAAUAUGGAUAGAAAAAUAUCUACAAUUACUGUGGAUAAUUGCUCAAGUAAUGACAUAAUGAUUGAUAUUCUUAUAGAGAAAUUGUCUUUGAGGGGUUCAUUUUUGCUGAAUGGAAAAAAUUUUCAUAUGCGAUGUGCGACACAUGUCUUGAACUUAAUUGUGAAGGAAGGUUUGGACGUCAUCGAAAAAAAAUUGAAAAUAUUCGUGAUAGUGUUGCAUAUUGGUCGACAACACCAUCAAGAGUUGAAAAGUUUGAAGAUGCAGAUCACCAAUUACCUAUUCCAUGUAAUAAGAAGUUAACUCUUGAUUGUAGAACAAGAUGGAAUUCUACAUACUUGAUGUUAUCAAUAACUAUAACAUAUACAUAUGUGUUCCCACGUUUGAAGCAACAUGAAAAACACUAUAUGGUUGUGCCAUUAGAAGAAAGAAUGGAAUAUGGCAAAAGAAAUAUGUGGAAGAUUGAAAUUGUUUUACAACAUAACGGAGUUUUCUCAAGGCAAAAUUAUCCUAUUGCAAAUAUUUUCUUCAUCAAAGUUUGUGAGAUUAAAAAGGCAUUGUAUUAUUGGUUGAUCUGCGUAAAUGAUGUUGUGAAAACGAUGACAUCAAGUAUGUUGCAAAAGUUUGGCAAGUAUUAGAGUGGGUGUCAUAUUGUGAUGGCAAUAGCAACUAUAUUUGACCUAAGCUACAAAAUGAAGAUUUUAGAGUUUUACUUCCCAAUAAUGUACAGGUGCUUCAAAUGAGAUAGAAAAAAAUUCGUGGAAUGUGUUAUGAGUUGCUUUCUGAGUACCAAUCAAAGUCUAAGUUGGGGUAAGAAACUGCAUCCUAUGGUACUUCAUGAGGUUCAACUCUUUCAGUGUUCAACUAUGAUGAACAAGAUCCUCUUUCAAAGUUUGACUUAUUUGUUCAUAGUACUAUAGAGAAAGUCAUGCAAAGUCGGAGUUGGAUUAUUACUUAAAAGAGUCUAUUCUGCUAAGGACUUUAGAUUUUGAUGUUUUAAGUUGGUGGAAGAAAAAUGAUAUAAAGUAUCCAACUUUGUAAAUGAUUGUUCGAGAUAUCUAUGCUAUUCCGGUAUCUACAGUUGCAUCAGAGUCGACCUUUAGCACUUGUGGUAGGAUGGUAUCAAAACAUCGCAGUAGGCUUCAUCCAGAUACUUUGGAGGCCUUAAUGUGUGCUCAAAGUUGGUUAUGGAAAGAAAUGGAAGGUAACCAAUUUACAAAAUUAUUAAUUUUAUGAAUGGUUUUGUAUUAAAAUAUUUAGUAAAGUGACUUGUAUGUUUUUGGGUGUUUAUUUUUUUUUAUUAGGUGAUUCUUCGAUUCAUAGUCACAGCUCCAACUCACAAUUAUAGAUGAAGAUGAUGAUUCACUCGUGCUUUAGGUUUUUUACUUGAGAUUAUGUUAGAGACAUAUUUUGGGAUGUUAACAUUAUCUUUGUAAUGUCUUUUUUUUUUUCUUCAUUUUCAAUGUUGUUAAGUUUAUGGAUAUCUUUUAAUUUUGGAUGUUGUAUUUUAGGAUGUCCUAUAUGUUGAAUUGUUAAUCACUACCAAUAUUAAUUAGACUAGUUUUAUAAGUGCAAUGGUUGCAAAUGUUGCUUUUACCUACAAAAGUUUAUAUUUAAAAAGCAAUGGUAAGAUAUUUCUUGAAGAAUGCAAUGAUAAGAAUGUAUACAAUCUUUUUAAACUGAAUUCUUUCUAAGAAUGUAGCCUUAAUUUAGUCUUGUUUAUGCAAUAGGUACCAUGGAAUCUGGCACUGGUUUAGCUCCAUGAAGUACCUUGAUGUUUCAUUUAUGGCUCUUUCUACUGCUGGUCAAUCUUAUUCACGUUAAUCCUAUACCAUACUGGUAAGUUUUUUCUCUACUUUUUGUUCGCUUUAUUGGGAUGAUUAUGGAAAUGCAUAUCAUGUCAUGAGAUAUUGGGGAGUAUAUUCUGACUGUUGGUUAACUACAUGUCACUGCAGAUUUUUAAGAAGAACCCAACCAUAGUAAAGAAUUAUGGGAUUUGACACUACUUUGAAUGGUGUUGUUGAGCAAAUGCACACUGAGAUGACUUCAUUUUUCAUGCUUAUAAUCUGCACAUCAGCAUUGUUUAGGUCCAGUUCAAUCUUUGUUGUCCUGUUUAGGCCACAUAUAUUACAAUGAUAAUAAGAAGAACAAAAUGACAUGGGGUUGUGAAAAAACUCAUGAGUUUUAUGAACUUUUCUUUUCUUUUCCAAAUUUAUAAGUAUUUAAAUUUUGCAAGUAUGACAAGUCUAUGAAGCCAAAGGCGUGAAAUCCAAAUGUGAAGCCAAAGGUGUGGAAUUGGACACCGGUAAAAAUGUUGGAUUGCAAUGUUGGAUAUUAUAUGAUACUGCCCAUAUUCUGAUGUUGGAUUGCAAUGUUGAUGUUUUUGUUUUUGUUUGAGCUAAAGAAAAGAAAAAGAUGGCUACUAAUAGAGCUAUUAGCUUAGAAGAAACCAAGAAUGAGACAAUUGAUUUUAUAAGUGCUUUCUUUUAUUUUCUUCUUUUGUUUUCUUUUAUUCUUUUAUAAUUUUUUUUCCUGGGUUCUGAAAUAAAAAAUGUUGGUUUAGUUGAAAAUUGCUUCAUUGAAUUGAUCACAUAAUUCUUAUAUUUUUUCUAUUUGAAAUGUGUUUUUUUUUUUAUAAAUAAACACAUGAUUUUCUUUAUAUUUUCUAAAUUGUGGUAGUUUCAAAGUUGGUGGUGAAUGACCACAUUUGUUCAUGAACACUAAAACUGUUUCUCAAUUUUAUUUUACUUUGUUUGGCUCAUGCUGGUCAUGGUUUUGUGACUUAUAGCUUGCUGGUAUAUGGUCUAGUUAUUGAUAUUUGUAGAGUGAAAAUGAUUCUUUGUGGCCAUUUCUAUAAUUCAAAACUGUUGCAAGCUAAUGGGUACAUAAAACUUUUUAGAAAAUUCCAUGUCAUUCCAUUUCCCCCAUUUUCAUUUCCUGCUGUUAACCAUUUGCAUAAUUAUUUCCCUUACCUUUUAACAAGUUAGAUAUGCUUGUUUCCAGCUUGAAGAUGAUGUCAUACCAAAGAGCUUUCCAGUAAGUUUCUAAUAGUUAAGCUAGAAGCAGCACUAGUACUAUCCGCUUAUUCAAAUAGAAACAUUUUGACUUGUUUAAUUUUGCUUCUUAUAUUCAAUUUUCUUUUAUUAAUGGUGUCAUGUUUUCUGCUUUUGAUUUUGAAGGUUUGUGAUGAUCGCCAUUUUGAAUUAAUUCCCUGUCUAGAUAGCAAUCACUUUGAUGACUGGUUGUCAACUUAUGAGUUGGAAAGUGUCGAUGAUUACCCUUUCAAUUGACAUUUGGUUCUGCAAACUUAAGUUUGAUUUUGGAAAUCUUGGUUUUGUACAAGAGUUCCUUUUUAUGAACCUGGGAUCUAUGGAAUUUAUAUUUGAUUCCAAACCCAUUGGUACCUUAUGGCAACUAACAAUGAAAUAGGAAUUACAACUCCAAAGGUCUUGUUCUAUUAAUCAAACACGGGUUAAUUGUCACAGACUUAUUAUGAUGGCCCCUUGUCUUUAGUCCCUACAGAGUCAUUUGAGACAAACUCAAAACUCUAUUUCAAUAAUGUCAUACAACACUUUAUGUAGGAUCGUUAGCUUUGUAUAGAUGCUUACUUACAGAAGCAAUUAGGCAUUAGACUGGAAUAUAUUUGUCAUGUUAAUUAGAAAUUGUUUUUUAUUUCUUUUAUUUGAUAGAAAAAUUGGGUAAAAAUAUUAAUAUUUGUUAAAGAUUUUUCGUAUGUAUACUAUAUUUUUGCUAUUCCUUUGUGGCCUGGUUAGAUUGGAAUUGACUAUAUUUUUCCUCUUAUUAUAUUUCCUGUGUGGUUGGAAGAAUACAAUAUUUCCCUUAAUUUUGUGGUUAUGAUGCAACAACAAUUGAUUGCAAGACACUAUAUGAUUUCUUUGUGGAAGGAUUUUAAUUUGGUUAGAUUUCAUGGGUUACCCAACAUGCAUAAAAAAAUCAUUUGGAUGUUUUGCUGAAAAUGCAUAUUCAAGAGCUUGUUUUACUAUUGCUUAUAAUGCUUGUAUGCUUUGCAAAUUUCUUUGAUAGUUUUUGGGUUGAAUUUUUUUAGGGUUUGGUUUUGAUACAUCUUAAAGGUAUUCAUACUUUUAUCUAUUGGAACUGAUACCUUGUAAAAGCAUGAUAUACAGGCUUAUUUUGGAUUGUGAAUUUGACAUUAAAAAAAAAAAAAAAAAAUCUUAUUGGUUUUUACUAUUGGCAAUUUCAGCUAUGGGACCCUCAUUCUAAUCCCCAUUUGUUGACUUGAAAGUGAGAAGUUUUAUUUGGGAAGUUUUUAAACUGAACAAUGAGAGAAAGAUCAGAUGGAUCACAAAGAAGACUGUGUGCAUGGUGGCAAUUUUUCUUGUGUUCCUAUAUGUGUAUCAUGGAUCCAUUUCUGGCUCUUAAAAGACUUUAGAGUAUGACAACAUAUCUUUGAGAAAACUUAGUCUAACUGGGGAUGAAGAUGCUGAUCUUGGCAACAAUCUAGUAGGGGAUAAAAUGCCAUUUCUUAAUGUUAUCUGAAAUAUGUAUUAUAAUAAAUAUGUGAAAAAUGAAUUUAAUAGAAUUGUCAGAAUUUGAGUUUCUUUUAGAGCAACCCAACCCAACAUUUCUCUGGACAUCAUUUUCUUAUACAACAACCCAGCCCAACCUCGCCUCAUUUCGGCCCAGCCUAGGCUGGCCUACCCCAAAAACACAUACACGGGUCAGGACGGGCUGGGGAUAGGAUUUCAAUGGUUAUUUGAAAACGGGAACGGAACCACGAACCCCAUCCCGUCCUAGGUUUGGGACGAGGAUGGAAAAUAGUUAUAUAUUUUGGGACGAGAAUGGGAUAGAGGGAGCCCAUCCCAAACCCGCCCUAUCACCAUCUCUAGGUGAUGACCACCUUGCAUGGAAGCACCCCGUUUUCCCGGAGGCUUGUAGACAGUUGCGUAUCGCCGAAGGGUAUGAUCACUUCUGUUAGGGAUUCUUUAACCCACCUGAUUUGUCUUAUAGAGCCACUUUGGUCUUGUAGGCUACCUUAGACCCAAUUAAGAUUUCACUCCUACACGUGGGUGCAUCUAUGGACCUUCAAAGCUGCCUUAGUCACAAUUGGGUUUAGCUACCCUUUCCAUAAUCUCUUUUUGUUGUGCUCAAAGAUUGCUACAUGUUUGAGUUUCAUUUGGGCCACCUAUUUGCAUCGUGAUUAGUGCAUUUCCAUAUCUUCGGAGCUCCCUUCAUGUUAUUUCUCUUGUACCUUAUAGGAGUGUUAUUUGUUUUGGUGUGGGUUUGAUUUUUUAGAUUAGAGUUAGAGAUAGAUUGAUCAAGGUUUUAGAGUAAUCAGAUAUGAUUCCUCAGCAUGUUACAGUUGCCAUGAUUUCUAUUCAGGAUGUACUGUUAGGUUUAAGCCAGAGGAUUGAUGGAUAGCAAGAUAGAUAGCCAGAGUUCAGGAUAAGAUGUUGUAUGAUUCAUUGGCGCCCACCCUCACCACGUAGCCAAUCAAUGAUAUUGUUGAAGAUGACAUUGUACGUAUGAUGAGAUUAGUGGAUAUUGAGCCAAAGCCUGUUAUAUCAAAUGAGAGUUCUUGUGGAGGAUGUUAGUUUUCUCUCUAAGAUGGCAGAUUUGAUUGACAUGGUUUUCUUCAUCAUGAGCCUGAGAUGGAUGUAUGGGAUGACAUUUAAAUGGUCAACAAAAAUUAGCCAGAGAUAGUUCAUUCUCUUGAUAUGUUUGAGGUCAUUGUUAUCGAGAGUUUAGAGAAGUUUAGUUUGUUUCUGCUUUAGAGUUGCUAGGGCAUCCUGCCUAUGUUGAUGAUAUGUUUAAGGGCGAUGUGAGCCCAAUUAUGGUCAUGGAGAUUCAUCUAUUCUAGGAGGUCUUAGAGGCCUACUUGCAAUACAACACAUGUCAUUAGAGAGUUGAUCCUAGAAAGGAAUUAUGAUUGACAUAUCUAGAUGGAGACCAGUUCAUAGACCCAACUAGCGUAGGUCAGUUGAAGAAGUAUUACAUUUGAGAAUACGUUCGUAGGAUGGGUGGCCAUCAUUUUAGUUAGCCUUAUAUUUUAUUAUCCUUAUUGAUAUUUAGACCAUUGUUAGCCCAUUGAGCCUCGUCUGGUACAUUAUGACCUUUUAUUUCUUAUAGCCUUGCUUACCUUCUCUAUACCAGGGUUAGGGCCCUUUGAUGUAUAUGUAUGCUUUGCUAGGAAAGUCUCAUAAGCUUUGGACUUAUAGGCCUAUUUUCUCAUCCUUAUUACCAUCUCUUUGUCACCUCAUUUGUUGUAUUGUACUAUUAUCGUGUUUUCAUUUUCUUCCUCACUCUUAUCAUUAUUUGCUUCAUUUUAUCUCUUAUCUUUCUUGGAUUGAUGAUUCUUCACAUCUUGGUAUAAAAAGGGUAGUCAUAUCACUCCCUUUAUCGCAUCAUUUGGCAUUGAUUAAGAGAUGUUAACUAGAGAGGUUAUCUCAUAGGUGGGGGUUCACAUUCUCAUUAGUGAUUGGGGAGAGUUUGCCCAUUCCUUGUAUAUUUUAUCAUUAGGGUAUGAUUCAUUGAUGGUUAGAGUAUGCACAUUCAUUCACUCAUUCAAAAAAAAAAAAAAACAAAAGACAAAAAAGAAAGAAAGAAAGAAAGAAAGUGCAUUGAUAUGUUUAUAUAUGAUCUCUUAUUCAUUUGGGCACUUAUAUCACUUUUUGAGGACCGUUUAUUGGGUAUAUUUAUCAUUGAGGGUUCUUAUGAGAUUUCUAUGAGAGUUGUUGCUUCUUGCUUCUUGAGAUUUCUAUGCAUUUGGAGUGUUCGGAUAUCAUGUGAGAGUUCUUUGAGAUCCUUCUCUUUUUGGAUCAUGGUUGAGAUGUAUUAUGGGUGGGAGAGAUGAGUGACUUCUUACUAAGGUCUCUAGAUCAUUGUUUUCUCUACCAUUAGUGAUAUGACUCUUCCUUCAUUGCAUUGAUAUGGGUUGAUCAUCAUUCAUUUUUAUUUCUCUAUGGCUUUCUAUGUUUUUCCAUGACUUUUUUUCUUGAUAUUGAUCCUGCCUUUUAUUCAUUUCUUAUAUCGAUACACAUUUUUGAUUCGAUACCUUGUUCACAUUAUUCUCAUACUUUAUUGAUAGUUUAACCACCUCUCAUUUUUCUUUUUUUACCAUCGACAUUUCCUUUGGUUACUUUUAGGUUUAUGGCUCAUGAGAUUUUUUCCACACAUUACAUCUUAUACACGAGGGUAUAAGUUUGAUUAUUGGGUAUUUGAGCCUAGUUUCCCUUUAUUUCUUUACCUUAUCACCCUGGCCUACGUUAUGUCUUGUGUCUUAAGACCACCCUAAGGCCAUGAGAUCAGGCGUUAUAUUUGGCAGCCUUUACUUAAGCUGGUGUUUGGGAUUUGGUUGAUAUGUAGACGUCGUCUUGUUUCUUCUUCUGGGAUAUGCUUCUUUGAUGCUUGGAGGUGAUUUAGUGAUGGAUGUAGACGAUCGCUUCAUGUUAUGGAGGAUAUUUGAUGUUUUCUGAUUUCCCUCUACUAUGCAUUAGCUAUCAUACUGGGGCAUAUCCCUCAUUUGAUGAGAUUGACAGAUUGUUAUUGGUUCACAUGGUCACUUUGUUUAUGAUGAUAGAUGUAGAUUUGAUAGUGUGGUUUCGUUAUGAUUCUCUAGUGGAGUUUCUCCCGAGUCAUUGAUCACACUCAUACUUUUCGAUAUCCUCAUUAUUCUUAAUGGAUCUAACUUAGUGAGACAUGUUUUCAUCCAUAUUCUUAAUGGAGUAGAUUAGUAUGAUGAUUUUUUAUUCUUGGCGGGCUUUGCUUUUGAGCUAGCAUGGUGGGUCAUUUCACAUAUACCUUUUGAGUUGGUUGUCUCAUCCUCGAAUAUAGAGAUGAUGGGUUAGUGUCAUUUGAGGUACCUUAUGACCUUGCAUCAUUUGCUAUACUAGGACAUAUUCCUCUUUCAUUUGGUUGAGAUGAGCCCCUAGUGGAGCACUUUCUUUGAGCUUGGGCAUUUUCACCGAUUAGAGAUUCCUAUUGGAGUAUGUUGAGAUGAUAUUAGUUAUAAUGGAGCAUUGCUGAGCUCAUUGAUAGUUUUCAUGAUUCUGGGUUCCAUUUAUGAAGUACUUCUGAGAUAGACUAGUGGAUUAUUACUGAGUUGGAGAAAGUUUUUAGUGCAGUGUAUAUAUCCUGUAUAUUGGGGCAUAUUUCCCCAUUUCGAGGUUACCGGAUUCUUGUUAGAUUCAGUUAGGGAUUCAUUACAGAAGUGUUUCUACUCUUGAGAUUAUCACAUCCCUCAUCAUUUUGGUUAUUCAUUUGAGAUUAGAUUUAGAGUGUCUCCCUUGAGACAUUGGCAGAUACUUCAUUCUGACUUCAUAGUGGAUUAUUAUUGAGUUGGAGAUAGUUGAUUGAUGAUGUUGGAUUCAUCAUUUUGUUGUGCAUCAAAUAUCCACACUAGGGCAUAUUUUCCCCUUUCUCUGAGAUUCCUAGUUACUGAUUGGGUUGUAUGGCUAUCCUUACUCAUGGUUACAGAGAUGUUUGAUUGAUGUUGACAGGUUCUUUAUCGUGCAUCAGAUAUCCAUAUCGAGGCAUAUUCCCCUCUCCUUGAUGAGUUUUGUUUGGGAAGUGGUACGAGGAUGGAUGAUUAGUGUUAGUUGUUUACCUCAUGACUUUGACAUCAGAUCUUAUACUGGGACAUAUUUCCCCAUUUUCUUUUAGUAUCUUUGAGAUUGAGAUAGUGGCUUGUUUGGUUUCAGAUUGAGUGCUAGCUUUGGACUUUCGAUGAUUUAUGAUAUCAGGGCUUUCUCACAUGGUUUUAUUGAGAUAGAGAUAGAUUGCAUCGGGUUUUAUCCACUGGACUGAUGGAUUCUUCUGUGGAGUGUUUAUGAGAUAGAUUGUUAUUGCUAUAAUUGUUCCACAGAUUGGGUUAUCCAAAUGAGCAGUAUUUUGUGCACUUUGAGCUUCCUUUUUAGAUGAGUUGUGGUGUACACACUUCGAGAUUUAUCUUUUGAGAUUCGUCGAUAGAGUAGCUUUUGAGACACAAAGAGUUCUUUUAGUUCAGAUUUUUCAGAGGUUUUUGUCAUGAUGCAUCGAUUUUUGACCCAUUAAUUUCAGUAGAUGAUUGAUUUACUGGUUGUUUCAGCAAUGUGAGUACCUCGGAUACUAGGGCAUAUUCCUCCUCUCAAGCCCAAUAGUGAAAUCCUUGGCAUUUAGAGUCUACAACUUUGACCCCUUUUAUUCCCUAUUAAUUUUUGAGUUAGCCUUCUUUAUCAGUUUCUUUUAAGUCUUAAGCCUUGUCGCUUUGAGCCAUCAUUUCCUUCUAGGCCUUGAGCCUCGUAGCCCUAAGCUAUCUUCUUCUCUUAGGCCUUAAGCCACGCUGCCUUGAGCCAUCAUUUCGUUUUAAGCCCUAAGCCUCGUAGCUUUCAGAUAUCUUUCUUCUCUUAGACCCCAAGUCUCGUAACCCUAAGCUAUCCAUUCUUUCUAAGCCCUGAGCUUGGUAGCCCUAAGUUAUUCUCCUUCCCUUAAGCCUUGAGCCUUGUCGCCUCGAGCUAUCAUUUCUUUAGGCCCAAAGCCUUUCCAACCUGAGUUGAGCCUUUAUCAUUUGGUUGUCCAUGAGUGGUUUGACCUAGAGUUUACGUAUCACACUCUCCUUCUAGUUGAUUAGUCAUAAAGCUCGGAACUCAUAGCCCCAAGUUGUUCACAGAGCCCUAAGUAAUUCAUGGCAUUUUGGAGUCCUGAGCUCACAACCCGAAGUUGUUCAUAUCCUUUACAUUCCUAAGAUGUUUUGUUUUCAUCAUUCUAGCCACUCAUGAGUGGUCUUGACUCAACACAUGAGUCGGAAAGCAUCUUGAUCAACUAUCUAUUUAAAGCCUCGAGCUUGCAACCUAGUAUCGUUCUUCUCAUUCGUGACCUUGAGUUAUUCAUAGCAUUUAGAGCCUUGAGCUCAUGACCUAGUGUCAUUCACCUAUUUCAUGACUCGGAGUCAUUCAUCUUGUCUUUGACCCAGAGUCAUUCAUCUCGUCCUUAACCCAAAGUAAUUCAUCUCGUCCUUAACCCAGAGUCUUUCAUCUCGUCCUUGACCUAGAGUCAUUCAUAGCAUUUAAAGCCCUGAGUUCCCGACCUAGAGUCAUUUAUCUCACCUUUGACCCAAAGUCAUUCAUAACAUUUAGAGUUUAGAGCUUCUGAACUGAAGUCAUUUGUAGCAUGUCAACCCAGAGUUGUUUAUCCUAUUUCUGACCCAAAGUUGUACAUCUUAUCCGUGACCCAGAGUUGUCCGUUUUCAUUUAUGACUUAGAGUUGUUCUUUCCACCUUUUUCUAUCCUGUGCUACUCAUCACGUACUUUUCCCCUUUUAUUGUCAUUUUUUCCCAUAGAGUUGUUCCAUCUUUGUUGUUGCAACCUCGUGGUCCGAGCUUACCCUUGUCAUGUGUUAGGAUAAAAUUUUUGGUCAUUUUUAGUUCUUCGCUAUAGUUCACUUCGUUCCACUUAUUACUCAUAUUUCUACUCAUAUUCCUUACACUUGUGAUUUCUACUGAGUAGGGGCAUAUUUGUAGACCCUCCAUUUUGUCUCUUUAACACAUGUCUUUAAGUGCUCUUUUAGUACUUACAGUAGUUCCUUGGUGGCCUGUUGCUACUCAUACAACUUACCUUUUUUGAGCCACCUUGGAGACUUUGGUUAAAGGAUUUAUUUAGGCCCCCAUUGUGACCUUGGUAGCCCUUCGAGUUUAAGUUAGGCUUCACUUGAGUGCACUUUAGGUUAGAUUCCACUUAGUUCACCCUAGGACACUUAGACACACCUUAGGUCACCUUUAGGCGUUUUUACAUGGUUGCAUGGCUCGUAUUUUUGCAUGGCUCUUAUGGUUUGAAUGUGGUUGAUUUUUAUUUUUUUAGUUGCAUGAUUUUAAUUUCUUUUGAUUUUCAAUUUCAUGAUAUUUAUUGAUUUUAAUCUUUAUUUUAUUUCUUGCAUGAGGAAAAAAACUACUAGUUAUUUGGAAAGAGGAUCACCAAAAUUUUUGACAAAGAAAAGUCCACAACUGCAAAUGGAGUGCAAUAUUGAGGAUAUUCACGCACUAAAGGGAUCCUGGUUUUAGAAGGAAAAAGAUUUGGAUGGGAAGGUGGAAUUCUCCAGACCUGUGGCUGCCAUGUGAAGUAUUCUCUUUAAGAAAGAAAGGCAUGACUGAAGCACAAGAAGAAGAGAUUCUUGAAAGAUACAAUAGACUUAUCAUAUGGGAUUCAUGCACCUUUAAAAGAAGGAUAGCAGGCUGGCAAGGGUUCUUUCUUCAACAGAGAGGGUCAAUAACAAGUGAAAAAGGAAUGGAUUCUCUUUAUCCGAAUAAAAAAGAGAUUCAGAUUUUUUUUUAGGGCAAAGCAGACGACAUACAUCCUUGGGGGAGAAGAUAGAAUUGAAGAGCAGAGGUUUUGGAAGAGAACAAGGGAGAGGAGCAGAAGGUUUUGGUUUUCGUGAGAAGAAGGCUAGGGUAGGGAAAAAAACGAGAAAAGAGGAAUAAAAGGCAUGAAAUUUUGAAGAUGAGUAAAUCUUGCUCGAGAGGAAAGACCCCAGGUAUGACCAUUGUGAUAUGCAUAUUAUUAUUUAUUAUUUAUUAUUAUUAUUAUUAUUUCUUCACACUAUUUCGCUUGAUUUCUAGGAUUGGUUUUCAUAUGCCUAUGCUGUCAGUUCUACUCUUGUCUUACUUAGUUUGACUUGAGAGGGGCGAGACUAUAUCAUAUUCAUUGUAGGUGUGUCUAGAGAUAUUGACUACAUUUUCUUUGCUUUGUUUAUGUCUGGUUUUUUUUCACUAGGCCAAGCCCAUUGAUCUCAGCAUGAGAUGGGACUUGGUUGAUAGUUCUUAGUUGGUUUUAUCCUCUGUUUCUAUUUUACUCUUCUCUGUUUAUUGCUUAGUUUUUGGCGGGCAGUGGUGAUAUUGUUAAUGUCCAAAUUUCCAGGACUGAAUAAGUGAGGUUGUGGAGGAAAAUGAACUCGAUGUGAGGUUCCUAUUUUUGCAUCUAUGCUCCAAUCUAUUAGUUCAAAACAUGGGUCACAAAAUUGCGUUGGAGUCUUGCAUUUGGGAUUGCUUUGUAUCUGGGUUUAAUAAGCUAUAUAUUGUAGAAAAGAUGAGACUCUGAGCAUUUAGGUUGGUCAAUCUGGUCAAUACAUUGGUAUGAUUAAUCUUGGUGGAAGAAGUUGGCUUUGAGAUAGAGCUAGAAAAAGAAACCAGAAUAGAGAAGAAGCAGAGGAAGUUGAGGUAUUUUCUUGAUGGUCUUUAUCGGAUAAGAAUCUCGCAGGUUGAUGAUAUGAUCAGAGAAUAAAAACCGCUGUUGGAAUGGAGUUAAUUUCGUUUGAAGGCGAUACACUUCAGGAACCAUGUGAAGGUAGGCUAUUUGCACAGAAUGAGCAAGUCUUUCUUCUUGAUGAGUGCUUUUUCGAGAUCUUUAGACGGUUGGCCUGAAAGCUAAGAUGAUAUACUUUGUUUUCCUGACACUUGAAGACAUUUUACCUUUAAUAUGCCUGAAUCUGGGGUUAUGAGUAAUCGAUGAUCAUUAGAAGGAGCAUUAGUGCUUGUUACGGGAAUUUCUAGAACUGACCCCGAUAGUUGUUGGAUUUUUUGCUUAUGAGUUGGCUCUGAACAAAAUCUCAUUCCAAUAGUUUGGAUAACAGAUUCUAAAGCACUAAUUUUUCUAGUUCUCGAAAACCAUUGAAAUGUUCAUAGUAAGAACCGUGAUUUUGGAGAGAAAAUGUAGAGAAGACCAUGAAAGCGUCUAACUUCACUUAUGAUGAACCAAAGAAGAAGAUUGUCGAUUGAUCUUGUUUUCUCCAAAACCCAUUACCCAGUUUGAGGUUGUUGCAAUUAAGCUUUGGAAAGUUUGCAAAAGAUUUGGAACUAGAAGUAACCUUGCAGAUUAUGCAAUUGUAGUUGAAAAAGCUCUUGGAUAGAUUGGGAAUUCCUACUACAGAUGCACCUGUGGAACAUUCCAUUCUCCAAGAUAGCAUGUUUUGCAAGGUCUCAACACAGAUGGGUCACUGUAUGGGGGAUUUCUAGAACAGAAAAGUUAGAAGCACCAUAAUCACUUGCAAUGGACGCUGUAAUUAAGGUAUUCAAGCGUGUUGCUAGGUUAUCCGAAUGCAAAAGAGGAAGAUAAAGACUCAAAGUUGCUUCCAAAGAUUGGUUUUGCUCAUUCUGAUCGAUCAAAUAGGAAAUUCGGUUCUCCAGAUUUUGCUUCAUGUUUAGAUUGAAAGCCAUUUAUGUUUUGAAGCUCCAUGGUCAACCUAUUGCUCGACGAAGCUUUCUCUCACGUUCAAUUAUAUAAUUGAUUUGAAAUUAUGGCCCUGAAUUUGCUUUGGAGAUUGGUACCUCACAACUCUAAAAUAAGGUUGGGGAUGUGGGACCCACUCUUAACAUGAUACCUAUGAUUUGUAGCUUGUAGUGCACCGAGAAAGCAACUCGUUGAAGGUUCAUGUGUGGUCAUUCAAAAGGGAAGUUGGUGCUUCCAUGUGCAUAUUCAUUGGUCAUAAUGGUGAAUGUUACACAAUUGCAUACAGACCCAGAUGGAUAGUAGGGUGUAUGCAAAUGAUUUCAUGUACCCGAUUCUUUUAAACGAUGUGUUCGAUGAAUGCUUGGGUAUAUGUAGUGGAAUUGAUCCAUGCUCAAGUGGAAAAACUAGGGCUUUGUUGAGGUACUUUCAAGGUUCAUAUCAAAUCAUAAUUGGCUAUGAUGAAGGAAGUGUUAUGGAAAUGACAAUAGUGGAAAAAUAAUAUGGGCCAAUUAUAACUAAAUUCAGAUUCUGAAUAUAAGGAGUGUGGGAGCAAAUUUUGAGUUUGAAGAGGAUUCUUUUGCUAAUUCAAUUUAUGAAGCUUUUAUUCUUGAAGGAGCCACAAAGCUUAGAACUAGUUCCAACCAGGAGGAUCGAGUGAGAUUCAUCAAGAAAAAAAUACGAGUUUCAAGAUUUUUUGAAGCCUAGCUUGUGAAUUACUAUAAUUUCUUUUGGAAAGAGCUCUCUCUCCAAUAAGCUUUUCCUAGAAAGUCCAUUGAGAUUUUUUGGAAUUCUAACUCAUAGAAAUUGGAAACUAUGGUAGAUGACAAAGACGAGAGGUGAUAGUAAAGUUCACAAAAUUAUUGAAGAAACCUAUGUGGAUCAAUAUCUUGGUAUCAUUGGUUAGCAUGCUGAUAUCUUAUGUACGUGAUUGUCCACUUAAGAGCCAUUCUGCCUACUAUGUGUUUCCUUCUAGGCAUUACAAGGUUUUUAAUGACUGGCUUCCACCUACUUCUCCAUAAGAAUACACAGAUGAAGAAAUUGCACCCCAUGUUGUAUUAAAGAAAUCCUAAGUGUGCCUUCAACUCAAUCAAGGGACCCGACAACUCUGCUAAGAAGGGUAAGCUGUAGAGGAUUCCAGUAAAUCAGUUCUUGAUUUACGGCAUCCUCCUUGAUUGUAGGACUGUAGAGGAUUCCAGUAAAUCAGUUCUUGAUUUACGGCAUCCUCUUUGAUUGUAGGAGAUACAUUUUCCAUUUGUAAUUAUCUUUUCUAAUUUAUCUCUGUAUUCAAACUUCUUGUAUACGUAUAUAUAAAUGGAAAACUCAACCCCAUAGAAGUGUGGUGGUUUUAUAAACAUUGUUAUGGUAUCAGAGCAUUUUUGGAUUAACCUCCUCGAUCCUCCCAUGGCCGAUUCUUCCUUCUCCUUCAACACCAUGAUCCACAUGAUCACUAUUAAACUCUCCUCCACAAAUUAUCUUCUCUGGCGAAAUCAACUUCUCCCUCUUCUUCAAUGUCAGAAUCUCCUUAGCCAUGUCGAUGGUUCCGUUGCGCCGUCUCCAAUCACUAUAGCUGUUGAUUCUUCUUCUUCUCAACCGAAUCCUCAAUAUGUGGCAUGGCAACUCCAAGACCAACGUCUUCUCAGUCUCCUCUUCUCCUCCUUGACUGAAGAAGCCAUGGCCGAAGUUCUUGGUCUCACCAUCGCUCGUGAUGUUUGGCUUGCCUUGGAAAAUUCCUUCAGCCAUAUUUCCAAGACUCGUGAGCUUCGCAUCAAAGAUGAUUUGCAGCUCAUCAAACGUGGCACCCGAAGUGUCACUGAAUAUUCUCGUUCAUUCAAGGCUUUAUGCGAUCAGCUCACUGCAAUGGGCCGCUCAGUUGAUGACACCGACAAAGUCCACUGGUAUCUCAGAGGAUUGGGCGCUGAUUUUGCUAAUUUUUCCACUGCCCAAAUGUCUCUCACCCCAUUACCGGUUUUCAAAGACUUGGUUCCUAAAGCUAAAAGCUUUGAGAUUUUCCAGAAGUCACUCGGGUCCUCCUUCCCUGUUUCCUUUGUUUCCUUUGCUGCUUUUACUGCCACCAAUGGAUCGUUUUCUUCAUCUCGGGGUGGUAGUUCCUCCAAGUCCCGUCGUUCUCGCGGUGGCUACCAUGGAGGCCAUGGACGUGGUAAAUGUGGUUCCUAUAUUCCUCGGUGUCAAAUCUGCAAGACUGAAGGUCACACUGCUAAUCGAUGCAGGAGCUGUUACGAUCGUGCUGAACCUACAACACAACUUGCUGAAGCCUUCACCACAGCCUGUUCUCUCUCUAAUGGCUUGGAAUCUGAUUGGUUCACCGAUACCGGAGCAUCCGCUCACAUGACCCCUGAUCCUUCUCAGUUGGACAAGGUUGAGCCUUAUCAUGGUAAGGACUGUGUAAUAGUAGGAAAUGGUGCUUCUCUUCCUAUUACACACACUGGCACGCUCUCUUCCUCUUCCAAUUUUCAACUUUUAGAUGUUCUUGUUGUUCCCCGUCUUACCAAAAACUUGUUGUCCAUAAGCAAACUGACGUCUGAUUUUCCUCUCUUUGUCACAUUUUCUCAUGAUAAUUUUGUUGUCCUGAAUCGAAUAACAGGAAUGGCAGUGGCAAAAGGUAAACACGCAGGUGGUUUGUAUGUGAUGGAACGUGGUCACUCUGCAUUUGUUUCUGUCCUUAGAAAUAAGAAUUUACAUGCGUCCUUUGAAUUAUGGCAUGCUUGUCUUGGUCAUGUAAAUCACUCUAUUUUAUCUUUUUUGAAUAAAAAAGGACAAUUAUUUCUCACUUCUUUAUUGCCUACUCCCUCUCUUUGCUCCACUUGUCAACUCGCUAAGAGCCAUCGCUUGCCUUUUUCCUCGAAUACUACUCGAUCUAAUGUUGUUUUAGGUCUCGUCCAUUGCGAUAUUUGGGGUCCCGCUCCCGUCAAAUCUAAUUUGGGAUUUAACUAUUAUGUGUUAUUUAUCGAUGAUUAUUCUCAAUUUACUUGGCUUUAUCCACUAAAAUUAAAAUCCGAUUUCUUUGAUAUUUUCCUCCAAUUUCAAAAAUUGGUUGAAAAUCAAUACUCCACCAAAAUCAAGAUUUUUCAAAGCGAUGGCGGUGCCGAAUUUACAAGCAACCGUUUUCAAUCUCAUCUUCAACAAUUUGGCAUCCACCACCAAAUGUCUUGCCCAUACACUCCUUCCCAAAAUGGUCGAGCUGAGCGCAAACAUCGUCAUGUCACGGAAACUGGCCUUGCUCUCCUUUUUCAUUCCCACGUUCCUCCUCGGUAUUGGGUUGACGCUUUCAGCACAGCAACCUACAUUAUCAACCGGCUGCCUCUGCCUGUUCUUGGUGGUCUUUCACCUUUUGAAGUUUUAUUUGGUAAGUCUCCUAAUUAUGAGAAUUUCCAUCCUUUUGGUUGUCGUGUUUACCCAUGCUUACGGGAUUACGCACCUCACAAAUUUUCUCCCCGUAGCUUACCGUGUAUUUUUCUUGGUUAUAGUUCCUCACAUAAAGGUUUUCGUUGUUUUGACACCACAACUUCUCGCACAUAUAUUACACGGCAUGCUCGCUUUGAUGAACAUUUUUUCCCUUUUUCAAAUACUUCCAGUGCCACUUCUAUUGCUGACAUCAGUCUCUCAAAUUUUUUUGAACCCUGCGCCCUUGAACCAUCUCCUAGCACAUCAUCUCCUACUACUACACGGGUCCCUCCUUCUCCUCCUUGCCAAUUUUGUGCGGAUGAUUUUGCUGUUGAGCCCUUGCAGGUUUCCUCUUCUGCUACGGAGUCCACAUCUUCUUCAGCUGCGGUCUCGCCCGUAUCUGCCUCUACGACGACCUUGGUUCCUUUUGCUGCUGAAGUUUUAUGGCUCACUCAUCUCUUCCGUGACCUUCGGGUUACUUUAACUCACCGACCUCUCCUUCUUUGUGACAACAAGAGUGCACUUUUCUUGAGCUCUAAUCCCGUGUCCCAUAAGCGCGCCAAGCACAUCGACCUUGAUUAUCAUUUCCUACGUGAGCUCAUUGUUGCUGGCACUCUUCGUCUUCAACAUAUCCCGUCUCACUUACAAUUAGCGGACGUCUUCACCAAGAGUGUCUCACGGGAUCUUUAUGUCUUCUUUCGCUCCAAGCUCCGAGUUUGUGUUAAUCCCACUCUUCGCUUGCGGGGGGCUGUAGAGGAUUCCAGUAAAUCAGUUCUUGAUUUACGACAUCCUCCUUGAUUGUAGGAGAUACAUUUUCCAUUUGUAAUUAUCUUUUCUAAUUUAUCUCUGUAUUCAAACUUCUUGUAUACGUAUAUAUAAAUGGAAAACUCAACCCCAUAGAAGUGUGGUGGUUUUACAAACAUUGUUAUAAGCAAUAACCAAAUGAAACAGAUUCCACCCAAGAACUUAAUGGUGAAAUUUCUCCUACUUCUUCUACCCUAGAAAAAGCUUUUAGAGAGGCUAGACAAAGGAGCGCAUAAUAGAAAUCACCUGCAGCCAAUAGAAAAUCAGAUCCACAGUCCAAAGAAGCAAGAAUUUCAGUUCCAUUGGAACAAUGGAUAUUUUGGAAAAGACAAUAUGACAAACUUGAAUGGGAGUUCAUCUAGGCUACCCUAGAAUCAAAAUGGCCCACGUCUUAGCCUCUAUGCUAAUCCCACCAAUCACCAACCAUACCACAAUGUAUGGCUUGCUUACAACCCAUCACUAGAAGUCAUGACAAUGGAUGUUUGCAUGUACUAUCGACCAAUCUUGCAAAGUUCUAUGAUGAAAUCUGGAGCAUGUGACUGCUGAAAAUAUGGUUUUGUAGCAUUAAUCAUGAGUGAUUGAACCAUCCGUGGAUGAAACCAUGUGAAUUUUGAAAGAGCGUCAGGAGAGGAAUGAGAUCUAUCACAAUCCUGAUAAGGCAACUGACUUGAUUAUUGAAACUAGUUCUCAGGUUCGACUUCGUCACACAUAGUUUCCUGAGGAAGCAAGAGAGCUUAAGAAAGUGCUCAAAUAGAACACCAAAGAGAAGAACAAAGCAAUAUGAAGCCAAGAUUCUGAGAAGGCAGGUGAAUUACGUGAUAGAGAACUUGAUCUAAAGGCAUAGAUCUCAAGUCUCAUAGACAAAGGCAAGGAAAUGACCAAGGUAGAGUAUCCAAAUCUUUAAAGACUCUACAUAAGCUAUUAUUGAACAAAAAUAUUUACUUCCUGAACCUCCUCCAUUGGGUUUGGUCUAAGUAUCAGGAUUCAUGAGUUCAAAUGGGGAACCAAAAUUUCUCCUCAUCAAUGACUGAAAAAAAAAACAUGAAAAUGGUAGAGAUCAACAACUUUGAACUUCUGGGAUUGGAUAAGGUCAUUGACGAAGACUGAGGUAACCAGAUUGUUUGGUAAUGGGGGUGAAGUUGCAACCAUUGGAAGUGGGUGAUGGAACAUCCUCAAAGAAACUAUUGAAAGUAGAACUGAAGAACUGUUUGUGGUUUCUACAAGUUUACUCCCAAAGAAGAAAUCCAUUUUGGCACUACUGUCUUAGGAUCCCCAACAACUCAAAGUCAUAAGAUGUAGAAUUGUCAAACUGGAAUAUCAACAAUCAAGCCAGUUCCGAAAAGCAUUGCCGUCAUCUCUAAUGCCGAGAUGUAGGAGUUAAUGGCUCAACAUGGCAUUGGAAAUCAAUAAAACUUUGAACAACAGGGAGCCUUGGAAAGUGCCAAAAGAGAGCAUAAUGCAGUUAGGGAUUCAACACCAGCAAGGCAGUCUCAGUCAAGUCUCAGGCUCCACCCAUACAGUUGCCACCUUGGUGCACACCGUCCUCCUCUUAUUACUUCUUCUCUUUCUUGUGAACAUACACAUUUUAAAUCUGGAUUUCAAAAUCUUUUCCAUUAAAUAACUCCAGUUAUCUUUAAAAUUCCAUCCUUAGGAGUUCAUAGACAUUAAAAUCUAGAUUUCAACAAACUUUUAGCUGCCAAUUUUUCUUCUAGCAUGCAUUUUCACUAUUUUAUUUAAUUUUCAACUAUUCACUUGAUGUUCUCAAUUUUCAAUAGGCAUGAAUAAAUUUGAUAGUUCCAAACAAUGGAACUCAUGGCAUUAAUUCAUGCAAAAAUAAAUUGGGUCUUAGUGGGGGCCCAACAUCCAUGACGUUUUCUUUGAUAUUGAUUCAAGUGAGGUGUUUGUUUGAUGUUUGAUUGAUAUCGAUCCCCUUUGUGAUACAUGAGAUUAUUUUGCACCUGUUAUUGAGCUAACCUUGUUUCUAUAGAAGUGCUGACGUUUGCUACCCAGGUAUGCUCUCUAUCACCCACUCUUCAAAAUCCAUGAAUAUGCAGAAUAUUAUGAGCAAUACCCAUGUUCGAUGUCAUACUUGAUUAUCUUUGAUAAAAAUGCAUGUUGUGUGUCAUAUUUCUGAGCUAACUUUGAUGUCUUAUGAUAGCGUUUGAGAAGCAGUCUAAGUACACACCCUAACUCUUCUUUAUGAUUGUGAUUUGAUUUGAUUUGAUUUUUUUUCAUUUGGCAUGCUAGUGAUAAUAGAAAUUUGAAAUCACCUUAGUCUACCUAGAUAACUUCAAUCAAUCGAUUAAUUGCCACAUUUCCCUCGACUUAGGCAAUAGAGACCUCUUUAGGGCUUAGAGGGGUACUACCUCUUUGAGGUACCUUCCCAAUAAGUAACCUGAUCCUUGGACCUAGACUCGGGUUUUUCAAAGACACACUUUUUUCAAAACUAUGAAGUCAUUUUUUUAAGGUUUUCUUUCUUGUUUUAUUUUCCAUUUUAAAAUAAAAUAAAAUAAGUGGUGACUCUGACUUUUCCAAAACUAAUUUUUCACCAUUGGAAAGUGAGUCUUGUUGAUUGAGUUGGAACACACAUGAAGAUUGCGGGUCCACAAUUAUUUUUUUGUUAGGCUAGAGAAAUAACCUUUUCUCAGGGGCUUCAAGCAUGUCUAAAGAUUUAUAACGUGUUCUUUUUUAUUGGUCAAGAUUUAAAAAGGUUUAUAUACAUUUAUUCUACAUGACCAUGAACUUCAUGUCAAUCAACUUUCAAAGAUUUCAAACAUCAUCAAGUGUACCUUAAUAUAUGUUGGGAUGUAGCCUUAGAAAACAUGAUAUGAUGUAAUAGAUUGAAAUACAUUUAUAAAUUUUAUUUAUUCAUAUUUCUUGGAUUUCCUUUAUCCUGUUUGUAUUAAUUGCAUAUAUGAGCAUACACACCCAAAUCUUUUACAUUGUUCACGACUUGGGUGCAUUAGUUGUUGCAUAGAAAAUACAAGUCAUAGGAUCUUUAUAAGUAGAUAAGUUGUCCAUAGUCAGUUCAUAGAUCUGGGCAAUCUUGUAGAGAUUGUAAUGCACUAGCUCCUAAUUGGAGGGAUAACUUGUCUUGGCCGUCGGAAUGACUUUUUCAUGAUGAUUGCACUAAUGUGUAUGGUUACAUAUUGGACAGGAUCUAUGGUGAAUCAUGAUGUAAGCUAUCGAUUUUCAUGAUUCACUAAACUACUAUAUUACAUGGACUCUCAACCUUGAAAGGAUAUUGAGUUUGUGCCAAAGUUAACAGGAGGCUAUAACUUAUGGGGGAGACCCUUAGGUGGUCACAUAUCCUUGUAGAUUGAGUCAUUAUUGAUGAAGAUUGGUAACAAUAGGUAUUCUCAAUAGAGGCACCAUGAUAUCUCAUAGGAAUGAAAUAGUGUGUCCCAUUGGGUAAUCUAAAGACAUAUGAUCUAGAAGACUGACCGUAACAUUUCCUUUAAUAGAAAUUUGACAUAUGCUAUUUGAAGAGAUAAUCUUCAAAUAGAGUAUGCCAAUUGAUCACAUAAUAAGUGAGAUAUGUAAUUCAAGGAUUGAAGAGAUAAUCUUGAUAGAUGAUAACAUUACCCUGUUAGAUUACAAACACUAGUUCAUUGGAAGUAUGCAUGGAAUGUAUAGUAAGUCACGAACCCAAGUUUUGUCUUAUUGUUAUUUACAUAAUGUAUAUAGUGUUGUUGAUUCUCUGUAUCAAGAUGUUGAAUCAAUUUCAGAAUUGGAUUUUGAGGGAAUUGAUAAUCCUAUAGGUCUUAAUGGUCUCCACUUUAAGCUCGUAUAUCCUAAUGACACGAGUUAUGAAGGUUAGAUUGAUUCUAGGUUCACUCUUGUGUAUAAGGACAUUUUGGUAAUUACAUAAGAUUGCAUAGGGGAUAGCAAACAAGGAUUUGGGAUUAGGUUAAUUAAUUAAUUAAUUAAAUAACCCUAUAUGGUUAUUUAAUCAAUUAAAACCUAUUUUGGUUUAGAUUAAGUGAUCCAAACCCAUGUGGGCUUAAGUCACUUUAAGCCCGAUAGGGGAAUUCUAUAAAUACCCCUUUAGGGGUUAAGGUUUCCAAGGUUUUUGAUCAUCAUCUUCCAUUGACCGGCGUGUUGUUUGGGCUAUAGAAAAGUUGGCAAAGAAAGACGAAAUUAAUGGGAUGGAGACCGUUUGUUUCAUGAUCGUGGAACCCUCAAUAGAAUUCCAAAUUUCCAAGUGACAUGAAUUAUCUUGUUGAAACUUGAAUCCAAAUUAAUAAAUUCUAUCAUUAUACAUAUUUUGAUAUUUUUGUUAAUGGAAUGAAAUUGCGUGGAUACUAAAUUCAUCUAAUAUCAUUUUCUUUCUAUAGUUUAUUGCAUCAAUUAUCCAUGUUUCAAUAAUCGAAUACAAUCGAAUUUACUUAAAUGUUGAAUGCUACAGAAUUUGUAGUUUCAAAUUAUUUUAUCAAAAUAAUACAAAAAUUGUAGUUCACAUGUUUUUUAAGAAGAAAAGUUGGAAAAAAAAUUUUCCACACAACCUUCAGAAAAUAAUAAAUUGUUAUACGACUUAGAAUGGCAUGAAUAAGGAAAAAAACCAUCCAUAAAAGUAAUGUUUACGCAUGUUUAGGAUUAGCAGUAUCUCCAAGCUAUUUCCAAUGGGAAUUCUACUCUUUUCAUGGAUUUUCUUCAUGCCCUUAUGCUCAAGCUUUUUUCUUAUGCAUGUUGCUUUGGUGUCCGACGAGUGUCUGAGUAAUGAGAGGGUAUGCUUGGAAGAUGAGAGGAUGUUGUUGUUGCAACUGAAGAGUACCCUCAAAUUCAAUGUUGCUGCAUCUAAUAAACUAGUUUCCUAGAGUCAAAGUGCCGAUUGUUAUUCUUGGGGCGGUGUAACCUGGGAUGCCACUGGUCAUGUUGUGUCUCUUGAUCUCAGUAGCGAAUUCAUUUCUGGUGAAUUCAAUAGCUCCAGUAGAAUUUUCAGUCUACAGUAUUUGUAGAGCUUGGAUUUAGCUAGCAACACCUUCUACUAUUCUCAAAUUCCAUUUGGAUUCGAUAAGCUUGACCGUUUGAUAUACCUGAAUUUGUCUAGCGCUGGGUUUUUUAGGUAGAUUCCAAUUGAGAUCUCACACUUGAGGAAAUUGGUUACUAUUGAUUUCUCCAUGUCUUAAUUACCUAGAGUUCCUACGUUGAAACUUGAGAAGCCAAAUCUGAGAAUGCUAGUUCAAAACCUAACAGAGCUUAGAGAACUCUAUCUUAAUGGUGUAGACAUAUCAGCCCCGGGGAAUGAGUGGUGUCAGGCAUUAUCAUCAUCUGUACCUAAUCUUUGAGUUCUGAGCUUGUCCUGGUGUUUUCUUUCAGGCCCUAUUGAUUCUUCCAUGGUGAAGCUUCACUCCCUGUCAGUUAUUCAUCUUAAUUAUAAAAUUUUCACAACUCCAAUUUAUGAUUUUUUGGCAAAUUUCUCAAAUUUGACUUCUUUAAGCCUCAGUUGUUGAGGACUAUAUGGAGCAUUCCAAAAAAUAUCUUUUAGGUACCAACCUUGCAAAUUCUUGACUUGUCUAACAAUCAGUUACUCUGGGGUGCUUUGCUAGAGUUUCCUUAGGGUGGGUCUCUACGGACUCUAGUGCUUUCGGAUACAAAAUUUUUUGGGCAUAUGCCAGAUUCCAUAGGUAAACUUGAGAUGUUGUCCUGGAUAGAACUAGCACGUUGCAAUUUCAGUGGACUAAUCCCCAGCUUUAUAGAAAAUCUUACUCGAUUGUUUUACCUGGACUUAUCGUCAAAUGGCUUUGCUAGUUCAAUUCCAUCCUUUCGUUCUUCAAAGAAUCUGACCCAUAUAAACCUUUCUCGUAACUAAUUUACUGUUCAGAUUAUUUUCCACCACUGGGAAGGUCUUUUGAAUCUUGUGAAUCUGGACUUGCAUCACAAUUUGCUGCAUGGUGGUCUUCCACUGUCCAUAUUUUCUCACUUAUCACUGCAGAAUAUAUGGCUUAGCAAUAACCAAUUUUCUAGUCAACUCAAUGAAUUUUCAGCUGUGUCUUAUGUACUGGAGGCCCUUGAUUUGGGUAGCAACAAUCUACAAGGGCCAAUACCCAAGUUUGUCUUGUUAAUAAAACCAUUAUGAAUCCAAAUUCUACAUAGAAAUCUCAUGUAAAUCAUAUAAAGAAAUUUUGCUUGAACAUUUUACGGAAUGCAAACAUACAAAAUCCGAACUAACCUGAGUCCAUUGUGGGUGUUGAAGAAGUAUGGAUCUUCUAAGGCGAUAGAGAGGAAACCACCUUUUGCUUAAUCUCUCUGGUUAUGGGAUGCAGGAGAGCGAGCGUUCUUUCUUUUCAAAAAAUAUAUAUAUCUUGAACGAACACCAACCUGAUGAAUUCCUUAUAUCCUCUAUGCCUUAGGGACCAUACCCUUUGGAUAUUGGGCCAUAUGUGUCUUUGGCCCAUCAUUUGAGACACAUAUGGUAUUGGGCUCUACACAUAAGGUGGCCUAUACUUUAUAACAAAUAUAAAUUAAAUAUAUACAUGCGAAUAGCUUAAUCAUAAACUAUGCUUCAUAUCUGUGAGUCCAUAGUUAUUCUAACAAUCUCCCACUUGUACCACAUAUAUUACCGAACAAUGUUUAUGAUAGUACUUUAUUGAGCUCAUCUUUGCUAUCCCAUCUAAUUGGUCCUACUUUAUGACUAAAAAUAGUCAAAUUUCACUUUCAACACUUGAUGCUAAACUGCUUCUACAAGUCAUCAUUUCAAUUCAGAGUAUUCAAACAUAAUAAUCUUUAAAACCAAAGUCUAUACAGAUAACACAAACAUAACAAUACAUCAAGAAAACAAACAUAAAACCUAAAUACAAACUCCCACUAUACUAGCACAUCAUUAAUAUGUACAACAUCCAUAUGUGUGACAUACUCAUGAUAUACUUUGGGUGGCAAACCCUUAGUGAGUGGAUCCGCAAUCAUGGAGUUUGUGCUUAUGUGGUCAAUUGAUACUUGAAGACUCUGAACUCUUUCUUUCACAACCAAGAACUUGAUGUCAAUGUGUUCGAACUUUGACAAACUUUGAUUGUUCUUAGAAUACAAUUCUGCGACCUUAUUAUCACAAUUGAUUCUCAAUGGUUUCUCAAUCCCAUUAACAAUUUGCAAUUCUGUGAUAAAAUUCCGUAGCCAUAUCCCAUGGUUUGAUGCCUCAUAGCAGGCUAUGACAUCUGCCUCCAUAGUGGAAGAAGCAAUAAGUGUUUUUUUAACACUUUUCCAAGAAACUACUCCUCCAGCCAACAUGAAGAUGUAGCCUGAAGUGGAUCUCCUAUUGUUAAGACAUCCCGCGAAAUCGGAGUCCGAAUAUCCCACGAUCUCUAAAUGAUUGGAUCUUCGAUAUGUGAGCAUCUAAUCUUUAGUUCUUUGUAAAUACCGCAUAACUCGUUUUUCCUUUUUCCAGUGAUCCAUACCUGGGUUACUCAAAUAUCUGCCCAACAUUCCAACAAUGUACACAAUAUCCGGACGCAUACAAACUUGUGCAUACAUGAGACUUCCUAUUGUCGAGGCAUAGGGAAACCUCUCCAUAUUCUUCAUCUCAAGUUCAUUUUUCAAACAUUGGUGCAAGCUAAAUUUAUCGCCUUUUGCCACAAGCAUGUCUCUUGGUGCAUAAUUGCUCAUGCCAAACCUACUUAACACAUUAUCGAUGUAGGACUUUUAUGAUAGCCCAAGUAUACCUCUUGAACGAUCCCUAUAUAUUCUUAUACCCAGCACAAAAGAUGCAUUAUCAAGAUCCUUCAUGUAAAAUUUACGGAAUAGAAAUCGCUUGGUUUCAUGCAAAAGUUCCACAUCACUACUUGGAAGUAGAAUAUCAUCUACAUAUAGCACCAAGAUAAUGAAUUUGCUCCCACUGAACUUGAGAUAUAUGCAGUGAUCAACGAUGUUCUCCUUAAAAUUAAAUGAAGUAAUCACUUGAUCAAACUUUCGGUACCAUUGUCGAGAAGCUUGUUUUAAACCAUAUAUGGACCUUUUUAAUGUGCAUACAAGUUGCUUUGACUCAUUAGACUCAAAUUUCUCCGGUUGCACCAUGUAUAUUGUCUCAUCAAUGUUACCAUUAAGAAACGCAGUUUUAACGUCCAUUUGAUGCAACUCUAAAUCAUAAUGAGCCACAAAUGCCAUGAUGAUUCUAAAGGAGUCCUUUGACGAAACCGGUUAAAAGGUCUCCUUGUAAUCAAUACCUUCUUUUUGAGUAAAACCUUUUGCGACUAGGCGUGCCUUAUACCUAACAAUGUUGCCUUUUGAAUCCUUCUUGGUCUUAAAAAUCCAUUUACAACUAAUCGGUUUUACAUCUUUAGGCAACUCUACUAGGUCCCAAACACCAUUGUGUUUCAUUGAUUUCAUCUCAUCCUUCAUGGCUUCUAUCCACUUUUCAGAGUCAGAACAUUGUUUGACUUGACUAACUAAAAUUGGAUCAUCUUUUAAACCCAUGUCAAACUCAUGUUCCUGGAGAUAUACAACAUAAUCAUCUGAAAUUGUACUUCUCCUUUCUCUAGUGGAUCUUCUCAAUGGUACUUGUACUUGAGGUUGUUGAAGUUGUUGAGUUACCUUUUCAUGAACUUGAAUUGGUUCCACAACUUGAGUAGGAGGAAUUUCAGGUGUGUCUACAAUCUCUGUUAUUGGUUGUACAUUCUGGAUAGUGUCAUCAAACAUAAUAUGACCAUGUCUAGUUGCAAUAAUAGGAAUACUAACAGAUUCUUCUUCAAAGACCACCUUUCUUAAUGGCUCUCUCCCACUUAACUCAACAUUCUCAAUGAACUUAACAUUGCCCGUUUCAAAGAAAGACUUAGUUGAGGGGUUAUAAAACUUGAAACCUCUCGACCUUUCAGAAUACCCUACAAAGUAGCAGCUCACUAUUCUAGAGGCCAAUUUCUUUUCAUUUGGCUUAUAAGGCCUAGCCUCAGUUGGACAACCCCAAACAUGCAAAUGCCUAAUACUAGGUUUCUUGUUAGUCCAUAACUCAUAUGGGGUUUUGGCUACUGCUUUGCUUGGGACUCUGUUCAAAAUGUAAACUGCAGUUUUGAUAGCUUCACCCCAAAGUGAUUCUGGUAAGGUGGAAUGACUGAUCAUACUUCUUACCAUAUCCUUAAGAGUACGGUUUCGCCUCUAUGCUACACUAUUUUGGCUUGGAUUCCCCGACAUGGUGUACUGAGGAAUGAUACCACACUCCAUAAAAUAUUUAGCGAAUGGCCUUGGACGUUGUUCACCGGAUCCGUCAUAUCUACCAUAAUAUUCAUCUCCACGGUCAAAUCUAACAACCUUUAUUUUCUUGCUUAGUUGGUUCUCAACUUCAGCUUUAAAAUUCUUGAACACAUCCAAUGAUUGAGACUUCUCAUGAAUCAAAUAAAGAUAGCCAUAGCAUGAGUAAUCUUUAAUGAAAGUGAUAAAAUGUUGUUGCCCAUUCCAAGAAGGGGUAGGAAAUGGACCACAAAUGUUCGUAUGUAUCAAUUCCAAGAUGUCACCCUCACCUAUUGGCAUCCUUUUUCUUCACAUUUUUUUGUUUACCCUUAAUACACUCUAUACAAACUUGAAAGUUUGACAAAUUAAGUGGAUCAAGAAUUCCUUCUAACACAAGCCUUUGAAUACGUUGAUUUGAAAUAUGACCUAAACGCUUAUUCCAUAGCAUUGAUGAAUUCUCAUUUGUUAAUUUUUCACUUAAUGCCAUAAUUGCUUGAAUGCAAGGUUUCAUUACCAUUAGAGACCUUUAUGUUCAAUUUGUAUAACUUAUCUUUUAGACUACCGGUACCAAUAACACUUGAAUUUAAAUAAAAACUAACCAUUCCAUUUCUAAAUGAACAAUAAUAUCCACAUUUGUCCAAACAUGAUACAGCAAUUAAAUUUCGUCUAAACGAUUGUACCACAAAAGUCUCUUUUAAAUCCAAAGUAAAACCAGAAUUUAACUGUAAUCUAAAAAGACCAAUAGCCUUCACUGCAACCUUAUUUUCAUUUCCCACAUAGAUGUAUUUUUCAUCAUCAGUUGGAAUUCGGCUCCUUAGGCAACCCUGCAUCGUGACACUAAUGUGAGUAGUUGCACUGUAUCUAUCCACCAAGUGUCAAUAGGCACUAUAGCUAAAUUAAUUUUUGAACAAACAAAGUUGAGAAGUGUACCUUUCCUUUCACGCCAAGCGGCAUAUUUGGUACAUGUCUUCUUCAUAUGACCAGCCUUCUUGCAAAAGAAACAAGUGAUCUCCUUAUCUUGUUUUUUCUGCACCUUUUGCUUAGAUGUCCCAGAAAAUGCAGUUUGUUUUCCUUUAUUGUCCAUUUUUCUUGUCUUGUUGGUACCAAAUCCCUGAGAUGUGGAAGCCAAGUGAGCACUUUCUAUCUUUUCUUGUUUCAAUCUCUCCUCUUCUUGUACACAUUGAGCAAUAAGCUCAUUCAUAGUCCAUUUUUCCUUUAGUGUGUUGUAACUGAUCUUGAAUAGACUAAAUUGUGUAGGUAGAGAGAUCAAGACCAAGUGCACAAGUAUGUCUUCUAACAACUCUAACUUUAGUGCCUUGAGUCUAGUCAUAAGAUUGGACAUUUCCAUUAUGUACUCCCUUAUAUUCUCUUUCCCUUUGUACCGCAUGGAGACAAGCUUACUAAGAAUAACGCUUGUGUCAACCUUUUCGUUUGCAGCGAAUUGGUUUGCUAUCUGGUCCAAGAAUGUCUUGGCUCGGGUCUUCUCAGGUAUUGCACCCCUUAUAGCUUUUGGAAUUGAGUGCUUCAUUAUCAUUAGACUCAUGCGAUUGGAUCGCUUCCAUUUUUCCAUAGCAGCCCUUUGCUCAGCAGUACUGGCACUAGUGAGGUCUGUAGGGCGAUCCUCUCUUAAUGCAUAGUCCAAAUCCAUGCACCCGAGCACAAUUACAAUGUCGUCCUUCCAUUUCUUGAAGUUUGUGCCAUUAAGCAUAGGAAUGUUAUUAACAUUAGCAAAUAUAGAAGAUGCUGAAUCCAUAACAUUAAAUCUCACAAUCAGUCACAAAAAAUAUCAUAAUAAAUAAAAAAUUUAACAUAUAUAUAUAUAUAUAUAUAUAUUUAUAUAUAUAUGCAUGUGGGCUUAUUACAAGAUACCUAGCACAAACAUUAAUAUUCAGUCUUUGGACAAAAAUAUCAACUUGUAAUUGGUAUCCUUUUACAAAAUUAGUUCAUAAAUAUUGACAAUAAAACCAAAGCAAUAUGCCUAUCUUUGGACUGACAUACAGCAUGCAAGGUAAACUUUAUAUGUCACAUAUUUAUGACUACUUUAUUUAUUAUUAUAUUAAAAUAAUCUUCCUUUGGGCCAAUUAUUUUAUACAAUAAUAACAUGUUUACAUAUUUCAAAAUAAAUAAAAUUAUAUAAUAUAAGUCACUUUGGCAACAAAUAUACAUAACUCAUUUAUUUUAAAAAUAUUAAACACAAAUGCAACAAGAAAUGGUAAAUUCGUAUAUUUAAUGUGGUACAGAAAAGAGAAUACAGAAAUUUAUCAAAAUCAUAAUUUUUUAUGGUACAAAAUCAUAAACAAGCAUAAGGGUUCUGUAGCUCAAUUGGUAGAGUGCAAGACUCUCAACCUUGUGGUCGUGGGUUCAAACUUAAUUAGGCUUUAACAUGUUUUGUGCUCUGGAUAACUUUUCUCCUAUUUUUAUAUCCUUGUUUUUGUUAAUUGUUUUAGGAAUUCUGUACUUACAAAAUUGCACAAUUUAUUGAGCUUAUAUGUGUCGUGCAGUUAAUUUGGUUUUGGCAUGAACUUUGACUUUGCUUAUUUUGUGUGCCCAUUUUUUUUUAAAAAAUCGGCAGUAAGUACCUUUUGAAAAUAGAAUUGUUGUCAUGUUUAAACAUUUCAUGUUUAAAUGGGCAAUAAUUACUUUAUUGGGCUUGAAGUUGCUUUUCUAUUUGCAAUACUUAAAGGCUUACUAUAUGAUUGAUUGGGUGGUGUUUUGUAGAAAUGAAGCUCCAAACGAUGCCGACAUUGGCGCCUUAAAGCCAAAGGACACCAACAAAAGAAGGACCCAUGGCGACGCCGAAUACCCCAGUAGUGGGGCCAAAUGAGGCCACAACGUCUUUCCGAUCGCCUAAAACGGCGCCAACAACCCUCUCUAGGCGGCAUCGCGGGGAACGCCUACAACGGCACCAAAACGACACUAGAACAAUGCUUUUUCGAUCCCCUAACGACACCAAAAUGGUGUCAUUGACUGGCGGAAUGGCAUCCAGCGCUGCUCCGAUUGCCAAAACAGCGCUUGCAGUGCUCCUCAAGGCGGCGGGGUAGUGGAAGCAGUGUCACCACUAUCACCGGUAGAGGCACCAAACGACGCCACAACGCUUCUCUGAGCGCCAUUCUUUGCUCUCUAGAAACCCGAAUCACCACCCUCCCUAAUGGCCUCCGAAUCGCCACCGAAUCAAGUCUCCCAAGCUGUGUUGCGGUUGUUGGUGUCUGGAUCUACUUCGGGAGUCGCUUUGAGAGCAACGCCACCAACGGUGUGGCUCAUUUUCUAAAACGCAUGGUGUUCAGGGGCACGGAAAAGAGGCCUGUUGAGGGUUUUGGUGAAGGAAAUUGAGAGCAUGGCGAUCACUUGAUGAUUUAAAAAAUGGCAAUUUCUUAAUGAUUUAACAUGCUGCUCUAAUACCAAUUGUUAAUAAAACCAUUAUGAAUCCAAAUUCUACAUAGGAAUCUCAUGUAAAUCAUAUAAAUAAAUUGUGCCUGAACAUUUUACGGAAUGCGAACAUACAGAAUCCGAACUAACCUGAGUCCAUUGUGGGUGUUGAAGAAGUAUGGAUCUUCUAAGGCAAUAGAGAGGAAACCACCUUUUGCUUAAUCUCUCUAGUGAUGGGAUGCAGGAGAGCGAACGUUCUUUCUUUUCAAAAAAUAUAUAUAUCUUGAACAGACACCAACCUGAUGAAUUCCUUAUAUCCUCUAUGCCUUAGGAACCAUGCCCUUUGGAUAUUGGGCCAUAUGUGUCUUAGGCCCAUCAUUUGAGACACAUAUGGUAUUGGGUUCUACACAUAAAGUGGCCCAUACUUUAUAACAAAUAUAAAUUAAAUAUAUAUAUGCAAAUAGCUUAAUCAUAAACUAUGCUUCAUAUCUGUGAGUCCAUAGUUAUUCUAACAUGUCUUUGAUCUUUGGGGUCUUCACAUCCUUGAACUUUCUUUCAACAAACUCAAUGGCACCCUUGAACUAAGCAAAUUUCAAAAACUAGAGAACCUUACUAUUCUGAGUCUUUCACACUAUAGGUUGUCAAUCAAUGUGGAUGGUUUCAAUUCCACCUUUUCUAAACCCCCGCAUUUCACCACAUUAAAAUUGGCUUCUUGCAACCUGAGAAAAUUCCCUGAUCUAAGGAACCACUCAAAGUUUUUGACAUAUUUAGACCUUUCACAAAACCAAAUUCAAGGGGAAAUACCUAAUUGGGUUUGGAUGAUCAGCAGUAGCUUCCUUAUGCUUUUGAAUCUCUCACAAUUUGCUGGUGGGUCUGCAACAACUUUUCUCCAAUUUUGCUCCUUAUCUCUGUCUACACUUGACCUACAUUCCAACCUGCUCCAUGGACGAAUCCCCACCCCACCCCAAUUUUCCAACUAUGUGGAUUACUCAAACAACAACUUCUUCUCUUCCAUCCCAGAUGAUAUUGGUACUUACAUGUCCUUCACUGUUUUCUUCUCUGUUUCAAAGAAUAAAAUCUCGGGAAUCAUGCCUGCAUCCAUCUGCAGUGCAACUUACCUCCAAGUUCUUGACUUUUCUAACAAUGCUUUGAGUGGUGGAAUACCUUCAUGUUUGAUUGAGAAUGAGGCUCUUGCGGUUCUGAAUCUACGGAGAAACAUGUUUAGCGACACUUUAUCUGGGAAUUUUCCUGGAAACUGUAAUUUACAGACUCUAGAUCUCAAUGGCAAUCUUUUAGAAGGGACAAUUCCAGAAUCCGUAGCCAAUUGCAAAGAGCUAGAGGUUUUAAACCUUGGAAAUAAUCACAUAGAUGACAACUUCCCUUGCUGGUUGAAGAACAUGAGAAGUUUGCGUGUGCUUGUUCUGUGAGCCAACAGAUUCCAUGGACCCAUUGGAUGUCCAAAUAGCAAUUCCACCUGGGCAAAGCUUCAGAUUGUAGACCUAUCUUACAACAAUUUUAGUGGGAAAUUCCCGGCAAAAGGCUUUUUGACCUGGAAAGCAAUGAUGGCUAGUGAAGAUGGAGUCCAAUCAAAGCUAAAUCACAUGCAAUUUAAGGUCCUAGAAAUGAGUGAAUUGUAUUAUCAGGAUGCUGUAAGUCACCAGCAAAGGUCAAGAAAUGGAGCUUGUGAAGGUCCUGACUCUCUUCACUUCCAUCGACUUCUCCUUCAACAACUUUGAAGGCCAGAUACCAGAAGAGAUGGGAAACUUCACAUCACUAUAUGUCCUCAACUUAUCCGGUAAUGGUUUCACAGGCCAAAUCCCAUCAUCAAUAGGGCAGCUGAGACAGCUCGAGUCAUUAGACCUCUCACGCAACCACCUGAGAGGGAAGAUCCCCAGAGAGUUUGUGAGCCUAACUUUCCUUUCAGUCCUGGACCUCUCCUUCAAUCAGUUAGUGGGGGCAAUCCCAAGCGAUAAUCAAUUUCAAACAUUUUCAGAAGCUACUUUCCAAGGGAACAAAGGAUUGUGUGGCAACCUUUGAGUGUAAAUUGCGAAGAGGAAACACCAUCACCGACGUUUGAUGACAGGCACUCAGCUUCCCGAAUGGAGAUUAAGUGGGAAUACAUAGCUCCUGAAAUAGGAUUUGUGACAGGGUUGGGAAUCGUGAUUUGGCCUCUAGUGUUGUGCAGGAGAUGGGAGGAAAAGCUACUACAAACAUGUUGAUAGAAUUCUUUCAAGGAUUCUCCAUAACCAAGACCAAAGAAGAGCGAGUGAUGGAAGAAGAGCUCACAGGGAGGCGGAGAAUGUAGCAGUGGUGCAGAGGGAUGUAGUUGCUAGUCAUAGUCUAUUUCCAUUAAUGAAAAAAUUGUAUAUUUAGGUUUGAUUUCUAUAAAUUUCUGGUGAAUGCAUAACUUUAUAUUUGGACGGUAUAAUGGUGAAGAUUUUUGAGGAUCAUAAGAAUUUGAUUUUCCGAAUAACUUUACUCCCAGCUUUUAUUAAACAUAUAUUUUUUUAAUUUAUUAAAGAAUUUAAAUUCUGAAACCACCCCAUCAAAAGCUUUUCUACAAAAGUAUCAAAUCUUAAAUUCGGGGGAAAAAAAAAACAAAAAAUAACCUUGAAAGUUCUUUGGCUUCAUAAUAUUUUAGUCAUAAAAUCCUUUUCAAUCAUUGUAUAAAACUCUAUUUUUUUUUUUCAAAAAAAAAAAAUCAAAGCUAUGGAAAAGUUUGAACAUGAGAUCCAACUAUAUAUAUAUAUAUAUAUAUAAAUAAUAUUUAAUAAAAAAAUCUGUUCUACCCAUGUGCAGACAAGCUUCUUAUUCAAAGCCAAAACUAUAGUCUAUAACGUUGUUAAACGUGCCCAAAAUAAAAUUCUAAUUUUGGGCUGGAUGUGGGCUUGAGUUGGGUCAAACUUGGUUGGCUGGAUUUGGGUCAUUCAAAAAAUAUGGGCCUGAUUGGUACAUCAUAUGACCAACUGAGGUAGCUAGGCCCAUAUUCAGCCCAAUUAACACAUCUGAAGCCAUAAGGGAUUCAAGAUUCAAAAACACGUAAUUACCAGACUAGGUUGUAAUUUUGAGUCGCUACAGAUAAAAGAUCUUCCUAUGUUAUACUAUCCAAUUUUCAAGAAUAAACAAUUUGAUAGCUUAGAUAUUGUUAUUCGUGAUAUUGAUAUGAUUUAAUAUCAUCGAGAUGUAAUUCAUACCAUUGAAUUUACAUUAUAGUUGAAAGAUUUAUCAUCUUUAUGAGAUUAAAUCUCGAGUUAUUACCAAAAAUAAAAAUAAAAAUGAUAUUAUGGAAGUAAAUACUCUCGCAUUUGUUGCUAUUGCAAUCUCCAUUCUAGGUCCUAAUAUUUUACUUAUCAAUUAUGUAAAAUCAAUUAGCCAAAACAACUAAUUUGAAUGAAAUUGAACUUCUUAGUUCUUAUCAUUAAUUAAAGAAAUAAAAUGAAUAUCAAUAAUUGAAUAAAUAAAAUGAAAAGGGUUCCAAUUUAGUGUCUUAAAUGAAAUGUAAUAUAUUUAGGUAUUUUUAUUUCAUACCGAACUUUUGACAUAUGAGUUUGACUACUAAUCCAAGAAAAAAGGAUAUUUAAAAAAAAAAUCAAACAACAAUCCUGCCACUCUUACCAAGGUAAUGAAUAAUCCUUUUUAAGGGGUCCAUAAAAAAAGAACAAACUCUAAAAUAGUGAAUUAGUUUUAUGGAAUAUUAUAUUUUUAUAUUAUGACUUGGUUUUAUCACUUUGCUUUGUCUUUCAAUAAAAUUAGAUCAUUAAAAAAAUAGAAUUUAGAACUGAAACCCUAUUUCCUUUUUCCAUUUCACUUCUAUUAUUUUUUUGGGUUUAUAAUAAAUGGAUAAUACUUAACUUAAGGGGAAGAAAGUCUAACAUUACAAGUGGCUGCUAUAAAAAAUUCUAUAGAAUUUAUCAUUUAUCAUUUUUAAUUUUAAUAAUAUAUAAAUGAUAUAUUUAUGAUAUUAUUAGUUUGACCAUAGUAGUUUGAUCAUUGCAUCGUGAACUAAUAACUUUUCCAAUUCGAGGAUUGAUCAAAUUUUGAAUACAUGGAGCAUGACAAAUGGAAAAGCAAAUUAAUUUUUUUUUAAAAAAAACAAAAAACAAAAACAUGAUUUCUACAUCAAAAUCUUUAUAAUCGCUCAUUAUGGAUGGAUUUACAUGCUCCUUCUAAGAUAUCUAAUCUUGGUGGAAAGUAUUAUGCAUUUGUUAUUAUGAAUGACUUAGGUACAUAUGAGUUCUAUUUUUAAGUCACAAAAAUGAACAUUUUAUUUUUAUUUUUUCAAAAUUUUGUAAAAAGGUUAAAAAUGAAAAAUGUUUCACAAUCACAUACAUGAGAAAGUAAUCGCAAGGGAGAAAUUGAAAAUUUUGAUUUUGCAACCUUUCGUAGUGAUCAUGUAUUGAACAUAAUUUUUUAGCUCUUAAAAUACCUCAACAAAGAGUUGUUAAAGAGAGAAGUAGAACUUUAUAAGAAAUGACAAAAACUUAGCUUAAUGAAAAUAAUCCGCAAAAUUAUUUUGGGUGAAAGCAACUAAUAUUACUUGUUAUAUUUUAAAUAAAAUUUUAAUGUAAUCCAUUUUGAUUUCUAUGAGUUUUGAAAAAAUAAAAAAUUCAAUAUUAAUUAUUUUAAAAUUUUUUGGUGCAAAUGUUUUAUCUUAAACUAAAAAGAUAAGGGAUUCAAAAUUAGAUAUUAGGAUUUUCCUUGGUUAUUCUUGUGUAAGUAAAAGUUGUAUAGUUCUCAACAAAAAGACCUUUAAAGUAGAAAGUUUAUGCAUGUUGUAUUUGAUGAAUAUAUAAUCCUUUCUCUCAAGAUAGCAUCAAGCUUAAUGAUGAGAUAAGUCAUUAAGAAAGGCUAAGCAAACUCAACUUGGAUAAAACUCAACCUUGACAUGAAGUAGAAAAUCUAAAGCCUAUAAAAAGGAGCAACUUUCACUUGUGUUUCCACCAUAAGAAGGGACAAGUACUCUAGAGAUCUUCCAAAAGAGUGAAAGUUUGUCAUCCAUCAUCCUCAAGAAUGAAUUAUAGGUAAUCCAUUUAGAACGAAAAAAACUAAAUCAUCUCUUAAAAAUAUUUGCAACAUUCUUGUUUCCUUGUCUCAAAUUGAACAAAAGAAAAAAAAAAAUUCAUGAGAUUGAAAAUGAUGAAAUUGGAUAAAUGUUAUGCUAGAAGAGCUAAAUAAAUUUAAAAGGAAUGAACGACAAGAACUAGCUUAUGGACCUUCUAAUCAAUCUAUAAUAGGCACAAAUGGGCAUUUAUAAAUAAAAUAAAUGAAGAUGUUGUAAGGGUAAGAAACAAGGGUAGGUUAGUAAUUGGAGGUUUUCAUCAAGAAAAAGGUAUAAAUUAUGAGAACACGUCUACUUUCUUUCUAGAUUAAAGGCUAUUAUGAACAUGUUGAUUGCAUUUACAUGUUAUAAAAAAAUUAUUUGAUAUUAAAUGGAUGCCAAAUGUGCAUUUUCAAAUGGUUAAAUAAUAGGAGUGUAUGUAUGGCAAUCUCUUGGUUUUACAAAUUAGCUAGCAACAAUUUAUUCAUCUUUUGUUAUAUAUGUGGAUAAUGCAACUAAAUUUUACCUUUUGUUAAACCAAGAAACUAGUGAGGUCCCAAGGAGUGUUUCACUAGUGUGUUUCUUAUAUAUAUAAUUAAGUCAAAGUUAGUACUCUUACAAUGUCUUAAACCAAAAUAAAUAAUUAUUCUUUUUGAAUAUCUAAAAAGUCUAUUUAUAACAUUAGAAUGAGAUUUCUUAGGACAUGAUUAAAAUCUUGUACACAAGCAUACACAAAGCAUGAUAUCUGACUUAUUAAUGGUAAGGUAGUACAUUGAACCAAUCAUGUCACUAUAAGAGAGUAUGGUUAUCUAAAAAUUCUAUAUAUGACAUCAGAAUGAGAUUUCUUAGGACAUGAAUAAAAUCUUGCAUGUAAGCAAAUGCUAAGCAUGAUAUCCAACUUAUUAAUGGUAAGUAGUACAAUGAAUCAAUCAUGUUACUAUAAAAGAGUAUGGUUAAUAGAUUGUCCUUGUUCAUCUUUGUUAAGCUUGAUAAAUAAACUCAUUAAAGUUUCCAUAGUCUUUAUAUCUUCCAUCUUGGACUUUUUAAGAUCUUUAAUAUAUUUUAUUUUAUUAAUAAUGUAUUUUUUUGAUAGCUCAACUUGUAGAUCAAGAAAGUAAUUGAGCUCUUUUAUCAUAUACUCAUUUCAAAUUCAUUUUGUAUACACUUAUAGAAUCCUUGACGAAGAGAGAUGUUAGAAGCACUAAAUAUUAUGUUAUUAACAUGAAUUUGAACUAUGAGCAAAUCAUUACCUUUGGUGCUGAUAAAAAAUUUAAUGUUUAUUUUGCCCAUUUUAAAACUAUUAUCAAGUAGAAAUUUGUCCUAUAUUUUAUACCAUGCCUUAAAUUUAUAAACAUGUCUAUUUCAAAAAUAAAAAUAAAAAACUUAAAUACAUUAUCCAUACUUUCAUAUUAAACUUUUUUUAAAAAAUAAAAAUAAAUUACCUAAAUAAGUUCAAGAGAAUUCACCUUCUUAAAAAUAUGUUAAAAAAACAAAAAAAAAACAAAACUUAAAUAUAGAGGAAUAAUAGAUGGGAAAUUAUGACAUAUAAUUCUCAUUGAUGAUGAUGGAUAUUUAUAUACAAAUACAGUUGAGUUAUAUUAUAAUUGAAACUUUAUCUUCUAUUAUAAUUCAAACUAAUGGUAAACUUCUACUCUAAUUCAAAUUGUAUAUUCUACUCUAAUUCAAACUAAUAUAUAAUAAAUAGAUAAAUACUAAUAUUUAAAUUACAAAUAACAUUAACUUUCUUUGAUAUGCCCUUGCAAGAUGUAGCAUUGAUUGGAGAUUCAAAUCUUGGUCUUGAGAGAAAUAAAUAAAUAAAUAGACUGCGAUGUAUUCAAAUUUUUUUGGGGAGGGUGGUUUCCCCGAGUCUAGGCGAUGAGUGGAUUCAACUUCGUGGCUAAAAGAUUAGGCAAAAGUAGUGGGAUCUUCCUAAGUCGAAUUUCUAAAAUCUUUGAGGAACUUAUAGAAAAAAAAAAUGUUUGUUAAAGGAAGAGUAGGAUUAAGAGCUUUAUUUGGCAUUAAACUAGAUAAUGUUUUAGAAGUUAAUGCAAUAAAUGACAUAGGAGUUAAAAGGGAAGGAAUAGUAUAAGGCAAAUCUCAAGUAGAGGUAGAGGAACAUGACCAUGUUUGUUUUUCGAAGACAUGCUAGAAAACAAUCAAAUAUUUGAGGAAGCUUUUAGAGAAAGAGAGAGAGGCAAAGUUGAAGAUAAUAAAUAAGUAUAUGUUUAAUUAAGGGAACCAAUAUUGGUAGGAAGCAAAGAAGAAGAAAAUUGUGGAAGGUUUGAAACAAGAAAAUUUGAAGCUCUUGAUGUCAAGAGGUAUUGAAAUCAAGAUACUGCAUUAGAGAUUGUAGGGAAAGAGACAUUGAAACCAAGAUAUUACAUAGGAGUCUAUAAGGAAUGAGGCAUUGACAAUAAAUAGACAUAGUAAGGUCUCUAACAUUUGUGGUAGGGGUUGAGGAAGGUGAUGUAGGGCCUAAGCCUACACCCUAAAUUUACUCCAAGUUGAGACUAGGGUUUAGGAUUCAAAGGCUUUGAUACCAUAUAGAGGAAUAUUUUUAUAGAAAUACAUUUGAGUUCUACUAUAAUUCAAACUAAUAGUAGACUUCUCAUCUAAUUCAAAUUCUAUAUUCUACUCUAAUUCAAACUAAUAUAUAAUAAAUAGAUAAAUACUAAUAUUUAAAUUAAGAAUAACAUUAACUUUCUUUUAUAUUAAAUACAUUAUCCAUGUAACUCAAAAAGAAAAAAGAAAAAGAAAUCUUAAAUGCAUUAUCCAUGCUUUCAUAUUAAUUUUUUUUAAUGAAAUUAACAAAAUAAUUUCAAUAGUAUUUGCCUUCUAAGGAACCAAAAAAUAAAAAAUUUGUUCAUGCUUUUAGAUUUAUAUAGCGGAAAAUACUCUUAUCAAUAUAUUGACUUGCAAGAUUCUUUUGAUUCAACUUGAAGAAUAAGGUAGCCUUACUGCAAAGCUAACCUAUGAAUUAUAUUUUGACCCACAAUUUUAUAGCCCCUUCUAUAUCUUUUUCUCAAAUUUCAACAAACCAAAAAAUUGUUUCAUUGAAAGAGCAAUGUCUGUUUUUUUUUUAAUAUGGUUAAUUUGAAUGUAUAGAAAAUAAAAAUUUUUAAACUAAAUUCUUUAUAUAACCACAUAUAAAUAAUUUUCAAUUAUUUCAUCAAAUUUAAUCAAUUUGCAUGUUAUAUACAUAAAAAUAAUCAUGAUAUUCCUAUCAAUAAAUUUUUUAAAUCUCUUUCAUGUAGUAAUUGAGUUCAAGUUAAGUAUAACAUGAAAACAAAAGUACAAAAUUUUUGAAAAUGUAUUAAAAAAACAUAAAAAUGAUAGCCAUAGAAUAGUAUUUAUAUAUUAAAUAUAUUUUAAUGUGUUUUCAUGUAUUGGAAUUCAAUGAAAUACAAAUUUUAUUUCCACAUUAAUAUUUAUUAUUAAUUUUUGAAGUCUUGUUUGUUAUUGAUAGACAUUUUAUUUUGAACUAAUGACACACAAUUUACUAUAGAUAUAUUAUUUUUGUAAAAAAAUAAUUUAAUAUGUGCAUUAUUAAUUGUUUUAUUAUUUUCAUAAUUUCAUUUAAAGUUUAUAUUGUCAAAUUUCAAGAUUUUUUAAUCAAAGUUUUCAUUGUUAUUAAUAUUUUCAUUGAUGUAAACUACCAACAUUUUCAUGGAUAUUAAUUUUUUUUAUUAUGUAGGUUGUAUCAUAUGGUGUAUCACUCAUUUAUGUCUUAAAUAUAAUUUUCAAAAUUUAUUCAUUUAUCCUAAUUUGAAACUUUAUUAUUAUUAUUGUUGUUAUUAUUAUUCUAAUAAUAUUUUGCUUUUAUUUAUCCAUAACAAAAUAAAAAAUAAUUUAAUACAAAUUUGAUUUUUUUUUUCAAAUUUUUCUCACAUUCUUUUAUAAAAAAUUAAGAAGAAAAUCUUUAACCACUUUUUUUUUCUUUUUUUAAAAUUUUUUAUUUAUCAAGAACUAUCUUUCUUCAUAAGUAUUUUUUUUUUCCUUUUUCUUAAUAAUUUCCAAAAGUUUUUUGAGCCAUUAAGACUAUGUUUGAUUCCUAAAAUAUUUGAGGGAAAAUGCAAGAGAGCUAAAAAAAAAAAAAGUGGAAAAGUAGAAGGAAAUAAAAAAUGAAGAAAAAUAAAAAAUAGAUUUGAAGUUAAUAAAUUGUUUUUAUAUACAACUUCAAACUCAUUUUAUUGAUUUUAACUCUUUCAUAUGAAGAUUAAAUAAUUUGAAAUUGUAUCAUUUUCUAACUAGUUUUAAUAUAUAUUUGAUUUUCUUUAGUAUUUUUCACAUGACAAUCAAAUAUGAUAAAAUCAAUUUUUUUUAAUAUUUUUUUCUUUCAUUAUUGCUUUCCGGGAAUCAAACAUAAUCUAAAUUUCUUGUUCUUUUUUCCACAAUAGAUCAACCAAGAGAAUAGAUAAGGGUCGUUGAACUUGACUUGAUGUAGAGAACCUUGAAUUUCUCUCUUUUCUUCCUCCAAUUACCUUGCCAAUUCAAAACGCCUUUAGUAGCAAGACUUUGAGGUCUACAACUAUGUACAAGUCAUGCACUCAAUUAUGCCAAAAACAUCACAUUCACAAGUCUUUUUCUUUCACUCUCCCAACUAACUUAAAUACUUCCUAUUAGAGAAACUACUAUAUAAAUAGUUAUAAAAUGUAUACUUAUUUAUAUUUAUUCAUGAUAAUAGGUAACAAUUAUAAUUAAAACAUGGAUUUUUGAGAUGAUAGCUACAAUAAAUUGAAACCUCAUCCAAUUAUUUUAGGAGAGGCAAAAUAAUGUUUGAUUGACAUAUAAACUAAACUGAGUAAAUUACAAGAAAAAUGUUAUGCUUGUUAAAGAAUUUGAGCAUUGACUAGUGUGUUGUUUGUGAUUCGUCCCUAGCAGCGGCAGUGGCAAUGGCACCAUUUGAUUCGAGGUUCAAUCCCCGGCAACGGCACCAUUUGGUUCGUGCCCAAUUGGUGUCUCAACUGAUUCGUGUCCAGCUGGUGCUCCUUGAUUGAGGGAGUAAUCAACAAAAUUUAUAACCUAUUAUACCAUGAACUAGGGUAGCAAAGACAAAGCUACUAUAGCAUAGUGGCUCUAGGAUCGUUCACUGGGAUGGGUUUUCACUUUGUAAAUGAUAUUAAUUCAAAGCUGAAUUGGUGCCUUUUCAUUUCAAGGUUAGCUUUAAAAGAAAACAUAAAGAUGUUUAAAUGAAAAAGGUUUGAUUUUAAACUAACAAAGAAUAGUAACUGAUUUUACUUACAAAGAAAAGUGUUUCUUGGAGUUCGGAUCACUAGGCUCAGAUUCCUCAUACAAAAAGGGAGUUCCGGUCACUUGUUUCUUUCCCUCGCAUUAGAGAAUUAACAUAUAGUUCCUUCUCCAACCGGUGUUGUACAGAUGCUUCCCAUUAAUGGGUUCAAACACUAAAUCCCUCUCACUGAUGCACCUUGCAAUGACUCAUACCUCUCACCUAGCACUUGCCAUUCAAGAUGAUCUUUAAUCUUGGACUUCCCUUCAAAAGCUCGCAAGAGAUAACUAAUGGAUGUCUCCUUGGAGUCCAAAAGCUUACCAAGUGUUGGCUAUUCUAGAAAAUCCUACCUUCAAGUCACCUCCCAAAGGCUCGCAAGGGGUAAACUAGUGCAUCUCCAUGGACGGAGAUCACUUGCCUUACCAAGUGUUGGCCCAAGUGAUUUAAAGGCGUUUUAAGUUAACUAAAAAGAUAAAAACCAUUAACGGGUCACACUUUCUCUUCAUUAAAAACUAAAACAACAAAACUUCCAAUUUAUGCAUGUGGAAACUUACCCGACUUUCCUUACUCCAAGAGACAAAGAGCCUAGCCUCUCAUCUUCUGAGGAAAAAUCCUCAGAGUUUGAUUAGCUAGAAAGAAAACUAAAGAGAAAACAAGAAUAUAUAAGAAAAACAGAGCAAGUGCUUUGUUCGUUGAUUCUAUAUAUGAUAUAUCUAUAUAUUGAUCGAUUACAUCCUUUUUCUUACAGUGGAUGCAAGGGAAUAUAUAUAGAGACGUUUUUCCAACCUUCCUAACUAAGAAAUCUUAUGGUUGGUGGAUUACAAGGAGAAGAAUGGAAAUUCAUACAAAAAUAUCUGAAGAAAAAUAUCCCAAAGUGUCGGUCGCAAAUAUCGGGAAGCACUAAGGACCAUUUCGCAAGUGAAAACGAGGUCUGCGAGAUUUCGCAGACAUCCAAAAAGGGCUGCGAAAUCACUUCGCAGCAAAAGGUUAUUCUCGUAGGGCUGCGAAGUUGGCUUUCAUCUUGAGGUGCUCAGCUUCCAACUUGCGGCUUAUAUCGGGCAACUUCAGGAGGAAUUUCACAGCACUGUACAAAAAGGCUGCGAAAUCAUUUCGCAAGAAAAGGGUGAUUCCGCAACACUUUGCAAAAUGCUUUCUUCAGCUUAGAGUGAUUGACUUGCAGUGGCUGUAACUUCUUCGUUUCAAAUCCAAAUUGAACCCGUUUGAAGCAUUGGAUUCUUGACUUCCUGAGCUUUGAAAUGGUAUAUAGUAUGUAGAAAAUGGACUUCGGGAAGUGCUCCAAAAGUGGCUGACAUGACUGUCAUCAAGAAUGCUUCAUGGCAGAUUUCUCUUUACUUUCCCUCCUUGCAUUCCGGAUUUGCUUAUGGCAAAGGACUUCAAAGCUUUGGUUCUUCAUGAAUUUGAGCUUCUAAAAGCUUUGCCAUAACUUGUUCAAGUAGCUCCUCCAUCAUUUGGCAUGCUUGAAUUGAUUCAUAAGCUGAUAAAAACAUGUAAACUUGCCACAAAAUGGUUAAAACCAAUUACUAAGGACCUUAAUGAAUUAAUUGGGUUAAAUGAAUAUGAUUACUACUCAAAUUAAGGUGCUUAAAACCAUUAUAAUUAGGUCUACAAAAUAGCACUUUUUGGUAGUAAUCAGUUUGGGCUAGAGAAAAGGUGGCAAAGAAAAAAAAAUAUGGAAGGGAGACUUCCAUUUUCACAUUGGUGGGAAUAUUGAGUUGAAUCUAAUUUCUCAAGUGACAAUGAUUUAUCCCAUUGAAUUCAAAUUAAUAAAUUUUAUCAUUAUAGAUAUUUUGAUAUUUUUAGUAAUGGAAUGAAAUAAUGUGGAUAUUGGAUUCAUUUAGUAUCACUUUCUAAAGUUAAUUCAAUAUGUAUGCGUGCAAAACUCUAUAAAAUUGAAUUUAUUAUUUAUGUUGUAUGCCACAAAAUUUGUAUAGACUCCAUUUUUUAUUUAUUAAAAUGAUAUAAAAGUUAUAGUAAACAUGUUUUUUUUUAUAAAAAAAAAAAGAAGAAGAAAAGUACGUACAAAAAAAAUUCUCAUAAAAUCUUGAAAAACUAAUAAAUUGUUAUGUGACUUGAAAUGACAUGAAUAGGGGUUUGAGUUUAUGUCUUGAUAUAUGAAACUAUCUUAAAAGGGGCAAAUAGGUAAUCUAAGCUUGUAGUUCCUAAUUUUAAAAUUAAUUUAAUUUGUGGAAAUCAAUAGCAUUCAAUCACAAGACAAUUACAAGUGUAGCAAUUCUAAAGUUAUAUUCCAAAAUCAAAGAUAUUACCUCAUACUUGAAAUCUUCAAUUUAUCAACCUUCAUUACUUCAAUAAGUUAAUCCAAGUUCACUCAAACUAAAUAUUUAUAAUUAAUGUAUUAAAGCCUAAAUACAUGGUAACCCAUAUGAAGAAAAACUAAAGAUGAGAUCACCAUGACUUGUAGUAUCUGGGUUGUCAUCCCUAGGAUCCAUNNNNNNNNNNNNNNNNNNNNNNNNNNNNNNNNNNNNNNNNNNNNNNNNNNNNNNNNNNNNNNNNNNNNNNNNNNNNNNNNNNNNNNNNNNNNNNNNNNNNUCAUCCCUAGGAUCCAUAUGCUAGACUNUCAACAAAAAGCAAAUCGUCUAUCUACAUUGAAAAGGUCUAAAAGCAAAGUUUUUUUUAUGAAACUAAUUUUUUAUCACAUUGCUAUGGUGAAAAUAAUAAAAUCUAUAGUAAAAACUUUUGAAGAGUUCAAAAAUCUAAUUUUAGAUUCAUAGAUAGAGAUAGUAACUUUUAACCCUAAGACAAAGAUCAAAGUUCACCAGGAUUGAAUUAGAUCUUAAGAUCAAUCUACAUCUAGCAUUGAUAUUUAAAUUUAAGGCACUAUUCUCUUAAACAAAUUUAACAUGUCAUUAUUUCAAUUUUGAGUUUAUAUGCUUUCAUUACUGACAUCCAUCAUGUAUGUUUGAUUGCUAGAGUUUCUCUCAGUGGAUCAAAUCAAGUUGAGUAGUGAUCAAUGUAUCCCUAAACAUCACUAGCAUCAUAGUAAGAAUCCCUUAUACUUAACCUAUGCCAAAGCACGUAGAGGAUUAUUCUAAUUAAUUUAAACACAAAAUAUUUAUAAACAAACCAAAUGAAAUUUAACGUUCUAUUGCACAUCAUUCCUAUGAAUCAUCUAUCUUUAUGUUACUAUUAGAAAAACAACCCCUAGAUCUAGAUUAAAGAGUGCAUGCAACUAAAAUCCCAAGUGUAGUGGAAGAUGCCUAAUUUUUCAAAAACUUAUUUUAAGGUGUUCUUAAUAAACAUACUGUAGACCCUCCAUUUUGUCAUCAUAGCACAUAUCCUAUUACGUGUUCGUUUGGUACUUUACAAUAAUUCCUUGGUGGCCCAUUAGACACCACUUUGAAGACUUUGGUUGAGGGACUCAUCUGACCCCAUUGUGAUUCUAGGCCACCUUAGGCCCACUUAACCACUUUAGGCCCACUUAGACACCCUAGGCUCAUUUAGAUGCAUUCAGCCCAUUAGGAACAGCCUUAGGCCCACUUAGGCACCCUAGGCCCAUUUACUAUACUUGGCCCAUUAGGCACCACCUUAGGCCCACUUAGGCAUCCUAGGCCCAUUUAGAUACACUUGCCCCAUUAGGCACCGCCUUAGAUCCACUUAAGCACCCUAGGCCCAUUUAGACGCACUUGGCCCAUUAGGCACCCCUUUAGGCCCACUUAGGCACCCUAGGCCCAUUUAGACGCAUUUGGCCCAUUAGGCACCGCAUUAGUCCCACUUAGGCAUCCUAGGCCCAUUUAGAUACACUUGCCCCAUUAGGCACCGUCUUAGGCCCACUUAAGCACCCUAGGCCCAUUUAGAUGCACUUGGCCCAUUAGGCACCCCUUUAGGCCCACUUAGGCACCCUAGGCCCAUUAAGGCACCGCAUUAGUCCCACUUAGGCCCACUUAGGCAUCCUAGGCCCAUUUAGAUACACUUGCCCCAUUAGGCACUGCCUUAAGCCCACUUAGGCACCCUAGGCCCAUUUAGAUGCACUUGACCCAUUAGGCACCACUUUAGGCCCACUUAGGCACCCUAGGCCCAUUUAGAUGCACUCGGCCCAUUAAGCACCACCUUAGGCCCACUUAGGCACCCUAGGCCCAUUUAGAUACACUUGACCCAUUAGGCACCGCCUUAGGCCCACUUAGGUCACCUUUCAGGGAAUUUUUGCAUGUUUGCAUGGCUAGUAUGGAUUGCAUUUUUUGUAUGGCUUGCAUGACUUGCAUGACUCGUUUAUUAUAAAGUUGCAUGACUUGACUUUUUGUUAUUUUAUUUUUAUUUAUUUUAUUUACCGUCUUGUUUAUUUCUUCUUUUAUUUUAUUUUCCUAUUAUUUUGUCACUUUUUCGUAAUAUUUGUCCUUAUAUAUUUUAAUUUAAUAAGUUUGUUUAAAUGUUUUAUUAUUAUUAUUAUUGUUAUUAUUAUCAUUAUCAUUAUUAUUAUUAUUAUUAUUGUUCUUACUAUUAUUAUUACUUUUACUCAUUUUUUUUAUCAUGAUUAUUAUUAUUACUUUAUUUUAUCUAUUGCCUUUAAAAUUUUCCAAGGAAGUACACCAAUGGAAAGAUUUAAGAGAGUAGCAGUUGUUGGAAUUUUUAUGUGUGGGCUUAUAUAAUCAAUUUGAUAAUGUCAUAAAUUAGUGUUAAUUUAAUUUUUGCAUUGUGGUCCAUAAUAAGGCUGGAUACAUUGUUGUUUGAUUUUUUAUGGGCUCACCCUAAUUCACUUGACUGGCCCAUUAAGUCAAGUAGUCCAAAUAAUGUGUAAUAUAUAUAUAUAUAUAUAUAUAUAUAUAUAUAUGUGCAUUUGGAAGGGGUCUCAUUUCUUCUUCUUGGAGAGCACGCACUGCACGCACACACACACUUGGACUGAAUUUUAGGAGAAAAGGGAAAAGCUCAUUGAACCCUAAUUCUCGUACCAUCACGCACCUGGAGCAACUUCUUGGAUACCAGUGGAGGAAGAAAUGGCUUUUCAUGGCAUAAACCAAGGUAACCAGCUCAUUUUUUGUCGUUCAAUGCAUGCUUAAAUGUUAACAUGUGAUCCUAUGCUAUUUCAAUUCUCUUCAAUUGGUAUCAGAGCUAGCAUGGAUGACAUUUGAGCUACAAUUUUGGGUUUUUUUUUUUUUUUUUUGGUUUCUCGUUUUCUGGUUAUGGAAGCCAUUUUUUUUUGGGCUUCUUUUCGUUUGGUGUUUAUUCUUGGUUUUCAAGCCCGAUUAAGGUUGGAGACUUGUAUAGAAUAUUGUUUGGAUCAAAACCCAUCAUUUUUGUGGUUUUUGGAGCUCAUUUGAUGAGAUUUCGAAAAUCAGGGCUUAUUUUGGUUCUUCCUAUUAUGCGUUUUUUUGUGCAUUUUUGGGUUUAGAUUGAAGGAUUGAUAUUUGAGGAUGGAAAUCUAUGUGUUUUUGUCAAAAAAAAAUGCGCAAAAUUUUGGGCAAUUUUUUUUUUCUUUCUUCUCCAAAACUAGGGCAUGUUCAGUUGGAGAAAAAAAUGAACAGGCCCCUACUGAUGUCAUGAUGACGUCAUUAAAAAAAAAACAAAAUCUUUUUUGGUUGCCUUGGUAUUCUUGGAUUGAUUAUGCAUAUGUUAGAAUUAUUAUGCAUUUGUUAAAUUUGACUUUAUUGGAACAAUUAUUGUUAUUAUUGUUUUUUUUGGUAUAAUUUUUAUCUUUAUAUCUUAUACCAAUAAUGUUGUCCAAGGUCAUUUUUGCUAAAUAUUUAAAUUUAUUAUGGCAAUAAAUAACACUUGUGUGAUUGCCUAUCACAAUUCCAAGUGUGUCAAGUUGCGCAAAUCAAAUAUUUGAGUUUAUAAUGACAAUAGUGAACAUAUAUGUGGUUGCCUAUCGUGAUCCUAUAUGUGUCAAAUUGUCUUUGUUGAGAUAUUUUAACUCCCACUUUUAGUUUCUUUAUUAUUGUGAUUACUAAGAUCCAUAUGGGUAUUGUAAUUGUCCUAUCGAUGAUAAUAAUACUUAGUAGGAUGCUUAGAUUGGUGAAGGAAAUUAAUUGUAUAUUAUGAACCGUACUAAUUUUAUUUGCCCUUUCGGUAAUAAAAUUAGUACAUCUUGGUUGUGAUAUUUAAUUAAUUAUUCUUACUGCCGUGGAAUUUUAAAAAUUCCAAGCUAUUGCUAAAUUAAGAAAUUCUGGAAACUAGCAAAUGCAUGAUAUUGUAAUAACAUGCAUAUUGCUGAAUUUUGCUACUUUCUAGCUACUAGCAAUCCUGGUAUUACUCUUUAAUUGUCUGCCAUCAAACUUCUUACUGGAAAUAAUUUUGAAGAACGCUUUGAGUCUUUCAAUGUGCAUAUGACUCUACAUAAUCUUGACUUGACUUUGAGGGUUGAUGAGCCAAGUAGGCCCACUGAUGUGAGCUCUGUAGAUGAAAGAUCAUUUUAUGAAAGAUGGGAGCACUCCAAUAGGAGUUGUUUGAUGGUGAUGAAAUACACUAUGGAUAAAUCUAUCAAAGAAUGCGUGCUAAAGACGAAAAGGGCCAAAGACUUCUUGGAAUAUGUGAAGGCCAAUUAUACGAAAAUUGAUAAGGCAUAAAUGACAACUUAUUUGAAGCUUCUCACAACCACUGUGUAUGAUGGAGUAGGUGGGGUUAGAGAUCACAUCAUCAAGUUAAAGCACUACUUCAACAAGGCAAAUGAUAUGAAAGUGGAGUUGGGUGAAAAAUUCUUGAAAUGGUUGAUACUUGAGUCUUUUCCUGUUUCCUUUGAUGCAGUGAAGUUGACUUACAAUGCCUUGAAGGAAGAAUGGACUCUAGAGGAGUUGAUGUCCCAUUGUGGUGCAACAUGAAGUAUCACUGAAGAAAAAUGAGACUCACUCCCUUGCUCCUGUUAUUGAGCAAGUCAGUAAUAUGAAGAAAAAACCUUCACACAAGAAUUUUGGAGGCUUUAAGCAGUUCAAGAGGGAAGGGAAUUCAAAUCAAGGAACCUCUAAUGCAUCUGUUUCUUCUAAUACUGCAAAGAGUGAUUAAUUCAAGGGGAAGUGCAACUUUUGCCACAAGAUUGGCCACAAGCAGGCUGAUUGCUUCAAGUUUAAAAAUUGGCUAGAGAAGAAAAAGAAAUAUGAAAUUUCAGUUAUGGUUAAUUUGAAUGCAAACAUGAUUGAGACUGAUAUUGUUGAUGUUCAUACCAAUUCUUGGUGGUUAGAUACCGGUGCCACUAUUCAUGUCACUAAUUCUUUGCAGGAGAUGACAAACAAAAGGAGGUCAUCAAAGCAUGAAGAAAGUGUGUAUAUGGGUGAUGGAAGCAAAGUGAAAGUGGAAUUUUUUGACAUGAUAAAGCUAAGGUUGAUCACAUAAAGUUUUUUGUUGUUACACAAUGUGACUUUCAUACCCUCACUUCGAAGGAAUCUGAUUUCUUUAUCUAUUUUGGAUAGACAUGGUUAUUUUUUUCACUUUGGAGGUGGAAAAGUGGAUAUUUUUAGCAACUCAGUCUUAAUUGACAAUGAUGUUUUGUUUGGAAAUCUUUAUAGUCUCAGUUUUCAUCAUGGUUCUUUAUGUGAUUCAUCUUCUGUUAAUUAUGAUGUUGGCUGCAAGCAUGCUAUAAUGAAUUUGAGUUCUUCCAUGUUGUGGCACAAACGCCUGGGUCAUAUUUCUAGGCAAAGAUUAGAGAGAUUGGUUAAAGAUGGUGUGCUUUCUAAUCUUGAUUUCUCAGACUUCGAGACUUGUGUUGUUUGCUUAAAAGGGAAGAUGACAACAAAGACUAGAAAUGAGAAGAUUGAUAGGUGUGGAGGCACUUUAGAUUUGAUCCACACAGAUAUAUGUGGUCCUUUGACACCAAUUGCUUUAGGGGGUUAUAAAUAUUUCAUCACUUUUAUUGAUGAUUUCUCUAGAUAUGGUUAUGUUGAACUAAUCCAUGAGAAAUCUGACUCCCUAAAUGUGUUUAAAGCCUUUAAGUCUAAGGUGGAGUUGCAGUUGGGAAAGCCCAUUAAAGCUGUGAAGUUUGAUAGAAGUGGUGAGUAUUAUGGGAGAUAUGAUGAGACUGGACGGAAUCAUGAACCAUUCGCUAAGUUUUUGUUGGAAUGCGACAUUGAUGCUAGAUAUACAAUGCCAGGCACUCCUCAACAAAAUGGAGUUGCAGAAAGGAGGAAUCACACAUUAUUAGAUAUGGUGAGGUGCAUGUUGUCUAAUUCCUCAUUGCCAUAAUUUUUGUGGGGUGAAGCCUUAAAUAUUGCGGCAUAUAUUUUGAAUCAAGUGCCCAGUAAGUCUGUGCCUAAGACACCUUAUGAGCUAUGGUCAGGGAAGAACCCAAGUCUUCAUUAUUUCCAUGUUUGGGGAUGUAAGGCUGAGGUUAGGCCCUAUAACCCACAAUCAAAGAAACUUGAUCUAAAACCAUUAGUGGUUUCUUUGUUGGCUAUUACAUUGGAUCAAGGGGUUUCAGAUUUUAUUGUCCAUCUCAUACCACCAGGAUCAUUAAGUCAGAUAGGGUUGUAUACUUUGAGGAUGAAGUUAAUGCUGAUCCAAAUUUUAUGCCUCGUGAGAUACCUUUUGGAGAAGAGCAUGUUGUGAUUCCUUUUCCUACGUCUCAUGUUCCAAAUGUGGAUGUUCCUAUUGUCCAAUAGCCAGCCACUAAUCAAGGAGAGCAUGGUGAUCAAGUGGAACCUGACAUUCCUGUUGAUGAUAAUGUUGUUGAUGGGGUUCCUUUGAGAAGAUCAUAAAGGGUUCGUAGGCUGGCUAUUUCAAAUGAUUACAUGAUUUAUUUGCAGGAGCAUGAGUAUGAUGGUUAUGAUGCUUCUGAUCCAGUCACUUAUCAAGAAACAAUUCAUUGUCCUCAAUUCACUUCUUGGAAAAAAGUCAUGGAUGAUGAAAUGAACUCUAUGUAUAUGAAUGGUGUUUGGGAUUUGGUGGAAUUGCCACAUGGUUGUAAACUAGUUGGAUGCAGUGGGUAUUUAAGACCAAACGUGAUUCUAGCAGGCAAAUAGAGAGAUAUAAAGCUAGACUUAUGGUUAAAGGUUAUAGUCAAAGAGAAAGAAUUGAUUUCAAAGAAACCUUCUCACCUGUGUCGACCAAGGACUCUUUUAGAGUGAUUAUGGCCAUAGUACCUCAUUUUGAUUUGGAGGUACAUCAGAUGGAUGUCAAGACACCUUUCUUGAAUGGUGAUUUGGAUGAGGACGUGUAUAUGGAGCAACCUACUGGUUUUGCAGAAGUUGGAAAGAAAGAUUUAGUUUGCAAGCUUAAUAAGUCCAUUUAUGGUCUUAAACAGGCUUCGAGGCAGUGGUAUCUGAAGUUUGAUAGGAUUAUCACCCAAAAUAGUUUUAAAGAGAAUACUAUUGAUAGAUGCAUAUGUUUGAGGGUCAGUGGGAGUAGUUGCAUAUUUCUUGUUUUAUAUGUUGAUGAUAUACUACUCGCAUCAAAUGAUUCUGACUUGUUGAUUGAGACAAAGCACAUGUUGUCAACCCAUUUUGACAUGAAGGAUCUUGGUGAGGCUUCUUAUGUUUUGGGCAUAAAGAUUCUUUGUGAUAGGGCUAAUGGAGUGCUUAAAUUGUCUCAAAGAACCUAUAUUGAGAAGAUAUUGAAGAGGUUCAAUAUGCACAACUGUAGAUCUUCUAAAGUGCCAAUUGUGAAGGGUGAUAAGUUUUCAAAGGCUCAGUGUCCUCAAAAUGAUGAUGAGCGAGAGGAAAUGAGAACCAUUCCUUAUUCAUCUAUGGUUGGUAGCCUUAUGUAUGAUCAAGUAUGUACACGCCCUGAUAUUGCUUUUGUUAUGGGCAUGUUGGGAAGGUACUUGAGCAAUCCUGGGUGUCAACAUUGGAAAGCCGCUAAGAAGGUCCUUAGGUAUUUGCAAGGAACUAAGGACUUAAUGUUGACAUAUCGGCACACCAGUUUACUUGAUGUAGUUGGGUUUUGUGAUGCUGGUUUUGCUGGCUGCAUAGAUGAUAAGAAAUCCACUAUGAGCUAUAUUUUUAUGAUGGCAGGAGGAGAUGUAUCUUGGAAAAGUGUCAAGAAAACACUUACAACAUCCUCAACUAUGGAGGCGGAGUGUGUGGCAUGUUAUGAGGCUUGUUGUCAUGUUAUAUGGAUGCGGAAUUUUAUUUCAACUUUGGGAGUUGUUGACUCCAUUUCUAAACCGUUGAAAUUAUUUGUGAUAAUUUCACAGAUGUUGCUUUCUCUAAGAACACUCUAAGUAUUUCUUGUUCCAAACAAAUUGAUGUAAAGUUAUAUUUUGUUAAGGAGAAAGUGCCAAAGUUUCUUAUUGAUAUUGAACACAUGUUCAUAAAAAGUAUAUUGGCGGAUCCAUUAACAAAACGCUUACCCAUAAUUGUGUUUCAGGAACAUGUAUCUCAAAUGGGGUUGUUGGAAGCCUAGGUUGUAUUAAGUUAGUGGGAGCCACUUUUGGUAUUGUAAUAUUAUGCUAUUGUUGGAAGGAUUGCUAUUAUUGUAUAUUUCCCUAUGAAUCAAGUAAUGAAGCAUAUAUGAUUGCUUUUGAUUAUUUGUUUUUGAUGAGAUUCUAUGGGACAUUGAUUUAUGAUUAUGUAUAUGUUGUGAUGUUUGAUUAUGUAGUCCAAGUGGGAGAAUUGUUGGAAUUUUUAUGUGUGGACUUACAUAAUCAAUUUGAUAAUAUCAUAAAUCAAUGUUAAUUUAAUUUUUGCAUUGUGGUCCAUAAUGGGAUUUGACACAUUAUUGCUUGAUUUUUUAUGGGCUCACCCUAAUUCACUUUACUAGCCAUUAAGUCAAGUAGUCCAAAUAAUGUGUGUAAUGUGUAAUAUAUAUAUGAAUUUAUUUACAUAUAUAUAUAUAUAUAUAUAUAUAUAUAUAUAUAUAUAGAUAUAUGUGCAUUUGGAAGGGGUCUCCUUUCUUCUUCUUGGAGAGCACACACUGCACGCACACACACACUUGGACUAAAUUUUGGGAGAAAAAGGAAGAGCUCAUUGAACCCUAAUUCUCGUAUCAUCACGCACCUAGAGCAGCUUCUUGGAUACCAGUGGAGGAAGAAAUGGCUUUUCAUGGCAUAAACCAAGGUAACCAGCUCAUUUUUUGCCGUUCAAUGCAUACUUAAAUGUUAACAUGUGAUCCUAUGCUAUUUCAAUUCUCUUCGGCAGCUGCACCACCAUAGAGGAAUUUUAGAGAGGUUUUUUAUAAUUAUGAUUUUCGGUGGAGAAUAUGCAUGUGAAGACUUUUUCACAUGAUGGAUGCAUAGAUGGACUUUGCCAGUGGGGCUUCAUGAUAUAUGGAAAUUCUGGCACACCACGACUGCAUAUGGAAAUUAAAAAAAAAAAAAAAAAACACUACUGCAAAUGAGAAAAGGCAUUACGCAUCUUGAGAAGAGGUUUAGAUUCAUCCAUGGUGAGGUGUCAUUUCCAAGCUGGUGGAGUCAAUAGAACGUUUAUGGGAAGUAAGGUUGUGAUUUUUUAGAAAAUGGAGAAUCAGUCCGGUGAGCAUAGCGAGAUUCCCUUCUGAAAGAAAAAUUUCCAUAGUUGGUUUUGGCAAGUGAAAAGAGCAGGAUGCAGCGUGUAUGUAGACAGAGAGUGAGGUCGUGUUCAAGGAAAAGAGGGAGAUGCAGCCGCAUGAUUGAGAGGAAAGAAAAAUGAUUUUCGGCACGUGGAGGAGAAGAAUAACAGGCUGGUGGAGGAAUUAAUAUGACUUUUGGGGAAGAUACAGAGAACGUUUUGAAAGACAUGACACUAAUUUUGGGUGAGAUAUUCAUCGCUCUAUUCAAAAAGGAAGAGAGAAAGGUGCAGCCGCAGGAUUAAGGGGAAAAAAGAGAUCAGUCGAGCACCAUUCUGGAGGGUGAAAAGGUACAGUUGCACCAUUGGAAGGGAGAAAGAAACGACCGCACCAAAGAAAGAAGAGAAGGACACACUUUGAAAGAUUUGUGAAAGAAGAUAUUGAGAGAUGUUCUAGGGAGGACAAAGGCUGGUCUUGAGAGAUAUUUUGGCCCCAAGUUUGAUGAUAUUGAGAUCGUGAGAUUAUGAGGAAUUCAAGCCAUGUUUGGAACCUUGUUUUGGAAGAGACUCAGGUAGUUUUUAGAAGGGUUUUACUGUUUUAGGCUACAAUCUGGAAAGUUUUUGGCCAUAAUCUGGAGGUGCACUCCAGGUCGUGUUUGGGAGAGUAUUCAGGCCACUUUCUAAGGCAGUUCAAGACGCAUUUUAGGAAAGGAUAUCGUUGAAAGAUGAUGGAGAGGGGAGCAUGACGAUUAGGAGCGUGAGUGAGAUCGAUUGGGAGAGAAGAGAGAGUUGGGUCAUACCAUAAAAGGCUUCGAGAAGCACUACUGCAUCAGGGAGCCACACCAUCAAAGGGGAUAGAAAAGGAGAACCAACUUCACUACUCAAGGGUUGGCUUGGCUCGAUCAUUCACCGAUCACCAUAACAAGAAAACACCAGUAAGGCCGUAUUGAUCAUCAUCAAAUCGAAAAUUCCAGAUUUAUGUCCAUACUUUCAACAUCAAUUCCUUGCUGCAACCUACAGCUACAUGACCUCCACAGACUGCACCCACCGCCAGUCCAUUCACAAAGCAUAAACCCAUCGAUUCCGACAAGUAGAGAGGUGCAGUCACACCGUUGAGAUAAGGAAAGAGUGCAGUCGCACCAUUGAACUUCCGCGGGAGGCACGACUGUCCGAAGAGCAAGCACCAGUCAACAAGAAAUGAAGUAGCCGCACCAUUACAUGUGAGAGACGUAGCCGGCUAGGGUGAGCAAGGAACAGACGGUGGGUUGCAUAUUGGAUUCCAAAAGAAGUGUAGCUGCACCAUUGUGAGAGAGGAGUGUUUUUUGAUGAACUAAAGUUGGAUGAUGCAAGCCUCGGGAAUGAACUUUGUGAAGUAGAUGGAUGGCAGCUUUUCUGUUAAUGGGGAUGCAUCUGGGUUUUGUUAAUGGAGUGGGGAACACACGUGCUAGAUUAUUGAGAGGGUGGUCUUUGAAUAUAACAAGAGAAUACACGCUGUCAAGGGGAAUUUCUCUCCAUUAACGUGCAGUGCUUUGGGAACUAUGCAGUGCAUUGGCAGUCAUCACACCAUGCAUCCUUGGAAUUGAUUUUAAAAAUCCUACUUGCACUUUGGUGGAAGGUGGCCCAUACGUUUAUGAAAAGGUAAGUUAAUUCUUUUUAUUUUAGUCUUGAUUCAUGAAUAUCCAAUUCAAUUCAUAGUUGUUUUAUAAUUUUAGCUAUUUAGUUUAAUUAUUUCCAAUAUCAAUAUAUUCAUGCUAUCAAUUUAUUAAAUUUAGUUUUAAAUUAUUCCCAUUUAGCCUAUGUAUUUUAAAUUUUUUAUUUAUUUAUUUUUCUAGUUUAAUUAAUCUUAUGUGGUUAUAUUCAUGUUUUCAAGUUAUUAAAUUUAGUUUUGAUUGAUUAUGUUCAGCUUCAAAGUUUCGAGGUUUUUUUAGUUGUUAAUUUUGAAUAGCUAGGUCAGUGUGUGCAUUUCAUAAAAUCAUUUGCUAUUAACUUUAAGUAUCCCUAUUAAUUUAUACUGCUCCUUAAAUUAUUAGUUUUUAGUUUUGAUUGACUCAUAAAUUUGUGUUGUCCUUAAAAUUAUUAAAUUUUUUUUAUCGAUCUAUGUUGAUUUUCAUUUUUUCUCAGAAUCCUUAGUCGUUGAUUUUAAAGAUCCAUGUUAAUUUAUAUUCGUCUCUAAGCAAUAAUUAAUUCUUGAAGAUCUAUGCCUUUAUAUGUUGUUCUUUAAAUUAUUAUAUGUUGUUUUGGCGAUCUAAAUUUUGGUAUCCAUCUAAUUGUGUAACGACACGAUAUAUUUAAGAAUUCUUGAUUGAUUAUUUUUUGUUUUGAGUUUUGAUUUUUAUUGAGAACUUUAACUAAAUAAGUUAAUUAUUAUCGACUCGAUUCUAAGUUUCUGUUUUUAAUUUAUUGAGUUUAAAUUUAAAAAUUUAUUUAAUUGCAUGGAUUACCAUUGUAUGGAUUCCAAGUUUUGAUUUUUCUAGGUUACGUUUUUAGGAUUAUAGGUUAUUAUUCUUAUUAGACCAUUUGAUUAAAUCCAUGUUUUAAAUUUUUUUAGCUUUAGUAUUGAUUGACCCAUAAAUUUGAGUUGCCUUUAAAAUUAUUAAUUUUUAUCGAUCCAUGUUGAUUUUUAUUUUUCCCAGAAUCCUUAGUAGUUAAUUUUAAAAAUCCAUGUUAAUUUAUAUUCGUCUCUAAGCAAUAAGUUAUUGAUUUUUUAUGAUUUAUGCCAUUAUAUGUUGUUGUUUUGGUGAUCUCGAUGACGUUUAUUAUUUCUUUGAAACUAAGUUGAUAAUUUGUGAUAAUCUCGUAUUAUUAGUUUCAUUCUAAAACUCAUUUAUAAGCUAUUGAUUGAUUUAUCUUAAGUUUAAAUGCAUUUAAAGUUCCAACGGUUAGUUCUUGAUCGAUAUCUGGUGAUCUUGCUUAAGGCCAUUGGAAAAUCAUGAAGAUUGGCCUCUACUCUCACCUUUAUCAUUUUUGUUGAUUAUUAAAAAAGUUUACUUUGUGAUUUCGUUUUCUUUUGUUUUGCUUGAUAUUUUGUUUCCUACAUUCUGUUGUUUUUCAAAUUAAUUUCUUUUAUUUUAAAGUAAAAAUACUUUUUCUCAUAAGAUCCCUUUGAAAAUCUAUUUUAAAAAUUCAUUUAGAGUGUUUAGAAUUAAAAUCACAUUUUCUUUUCAAAUAAUAUGCAACCAUGUUUUGAUUGGUUCGCAUCUUUCUCGGUUUUCAAUAAAAAUUAUGGUUUCGAGUAAGACAUAAAUCCAAGCUAGUGGUCCUAAAUAAAUGGGAUAAUUCUAGGCUAGAUUUAUGUAUAUCAAUCGGGGAAUUGGUGAAACCCCUACAUAAAAUUAUUUUUUUAAAACUCAUCUUUGCUGCCACCUUUGCUAUUGAUUGCAAUCAUAUCUAUUUUUUUUAGAAAUUAUAUACAAGAUGUAUGUAAUAAUUGAUGAUUUCGUAUACUUUGAUCAUUUUUGCUAUGCUAAUUAGAUAACAAUCAUGCUAAGAUUUCUUUAUUUUAUUAUUUAUUAUCUAACCCCUCAUGUUUUGCGAAAGCACAUUACAAGUUAUCUAUACUAUCCAGGUACACCCCCUAUCACCUACCUUCUAAAUUACGUAAAUAUGAUUGUCAGUACGAACCACACCUAUGUUUGAUAGUGCUUAGGUGUCUUGAUAUAUAUGUUUCAUUGUUCGAUUAUUUAUGAUAAAACGCAUGUUGGAUGAUAUACUAUUUGAACUAAUUUUGAUGUCUUGUGAUAGCGCUUAAGAAGCAGCCUAGGUACACACCCUAAAUCUUCUUUAUGAUUGUCAUUGGUUUUCUUGUUUGGCAUGCUAUUUUUUGAAAUCACCUUGUUUACCUAAGCACCCUUAAUCAACCAAUUAAUUGUCGCAUUUCCCUCAACUUAGUCAAUAGAGACCUUUGUAAGGCUUAGAGGGGUGCUACAUUUUUAGAGGUACCUUCCCAAUAGGUAACCUAAUCCCUGGACCUAGACUCGGGUUUUUCAAAGACACGUUUUUCCAAAAAUUAUGGAGUCUCUUUUUCAGGGUUUUUUUUUCUUGGUCUAUUUUCCUUUUUAAAAUAAAAUAAAAUAAGUGGCGACUCCGACUUUUUCCAAAACUAAAAUUUUCACCAAUAGAAGCGAGUCUCGCUAAUCGAGUGGGGACGCAUGUGAAAAAUGCGGAUCCACACAUACCCUUGGAUUCGAAUGUUCCCAAAUCUUUUUCCCAAUUUGUAGUAGAAAUCUCAAAUUCAUUUUGAUCUUCUACUUGAUGACUCUCUCUUGGAUCUUGGCUAUAAAUAAGUGUGGAACUCUAUUUAGAGGAAGUGUUGUUUAUGAUUUUUCUCCAAACAAAAUAUAAGAUAGCAGUUAGUCUAACGCUAAACCCUAAGAGGGUUUAUACAACCUCUUAAUUGGGUUUAAGUGACUAAGGCUAAUCAUAUAGGCUUAAGUUGUUUAAUCUUAGCCUAGUGAGUUUUAUUUAAUAAAUUAUCCUAAAUGGCUUCAAUUAAUUAAAUAGAUUAAAAAGAAAACCCAUAAGUCAUUUAAUCAUAAGUCCUUGUACAACCUUUGCUAAUACAAAAGCAUCCUUAUGCAUACUCAUAAUUAAGUACUAAAAAACACUCUCAAUAAAUGCCACCAAAAAGUGUGAGCUUUAGUCGGACCACCAGAACCCAUUGGAAAGUAUGUACUAGCUCUCUUAGAAUCAAAUUCUAAAAUUGACUCAACAUUCCAUUAAAGAGAGUCAAUUGCACUCCAAUAUCUUAUGAUAUUAGAUUGAGAUAUAAAACUUGGGUCCAUGACUUACUAUCCACUAUAUGUAAGUUCCCCAUAAACUAAUGAUUGUAAUCCAAAAAAUGUAGUAGUUAUCAACCUUUAAAGAUCACCUUUCACUCCUUGAGUCUUAAAUCCUCCUAUACCAUGACAAUUAAACAUACUCUAGUCCACAAAGGAUAUAUGUCAAAUUUCAUUGAAGAAAUUGCUAUAGCCAUAUACACUACAUGAUCUGAAAUCCUUGGGAUCGUCCAAGGGGAUACAUUGUCUCAAAUCCAUGAGAUAUUAUAGUGUCUCUAUUGAUCAUAAUAUCUAUUGUUACUUGCCAAAACCGUCGGUCACCCAAUCCUUUGGGAAUAUAUGAUCACUUUAGGAUUUCACCCAUAGGUCAAAGUAAUUGAUGACCUCGACAUUAGCAUAAUAUUAUCUAAAGGUUGAGAACCCAUGCAAUUAAUAUUUGGUAGUUUGGAGAAGUUAUGACAACCCAAUAAUCAUUAGUCAUUGUUGGAAAUCAAGCCCACGUCGCCUUCCUGCCUGUGCAUGUUCCUCCCCAUAUUUAGCAUCCUCUGUUUACUUCCCUGAAUUAGUGUAAUGUACAGCUUUUAUUAUAAUUGAUUUAGGAGUAAUUCUAGCAAGGUAGUUUAUUCACUUUCCAUGUAAGGGAAAUUUCGUCCGGUGAUAGUGUACCAUUCCAGAAUUGUCUCAUAUCUGUAGGCUAUUUAUUUAUGCUUUCAUUCAUUGUAAAAAAAAAAAAAAGGUAUCACAGAAUAAAUUGAGUUUGUGUUCCUCCAUAGUUUGUCUUCAAAUUCUUCAUAUUUUAGUCUUCAAAUUCUUCAUGGUAUCAGAGCAGGUUUAAUCCUGUCUCAUCGUCUUCAUCUUUAGUUAGUAUUUUUUUUCUUACUCAAUUCAUUCUUCUAGUUUAUGCCUAAAUACGGUCCAACCUUUGGAAUGGCUACCAACUCAUCAUCCUCUACUUCUGAUAUCAUCAUCUCAUCGUCUUCAUCCUCUCAUCAGAUGGAAACCUCUCAUCUUCCAAUCACAGCCCAUAAACUGAAUGGGCAAAAUUAUUUGCAAUGGUCUCAGUCCAUAUUAAUGUUUAUACGGGGAAAGGAGAAAGAUGACUACAUCACCGGAGCUUCGGCGGCACCAGAAACCAUAGCAUCAACCUACAAAAAGUGGAUAGCAGAAAAUAAUAUGGUCAUGUCCUGGCUAGUCAACUCUAUGACCAUUGACAUUGGUGAAAAUUUUCUGUCAUUUGAUACUGCCAAAGAAAUCUGGGACAUUGCAAAAGAAACUUUCUCAGACAAGGAAAACACAUCUGAAAUCAUCCAGAUUGAAGGCAUCUUCCACGAUUUGCGUCAAGGAAACCUUACGGUAACUGAAUAUUUCAAUACUCUUACUCGUCUAUGGCGUCAACUUGAUACGUUUGAGGUUCAUAACUGGAAUUGUGUUACAGAUGGUUUGUUGUAUAAAAAGAUUGUCGAAGGGAAACGUGUGUUUAAAUUUUUGUUAGGCUUGAACAAAAAUCUUGAUGAAAUCAGAGGAAGAAUCAUGGGAGUAAAACCUCUACCUAGCCUCAGAGAGGCAUUCUCUGAAGUCCGUCGCGAAGAAAGUCGGAAAAAUCUCAUGAUGGGAUCCCAUCAACAACUGAAUAUGGCAGAAAGCUCGGCUCUUAAGACUCAAUUCGCUCCUUUUGACAACCGUAAAAAAAUUAAAGGAGGUAGACCUUGGUGUGAUCAUUGCAGAAAGCCGGGGCACUCAAGAGAAACUUGCUGGAAGAUUCAUGGAAAGCCAGUAGAUUGGAAGCCACAUCAACCACUUGAGAAAGAAGGACGAGGCAAUCAUGUGGCUACCGAUGAACAAUCGCCACAACCUGAAGCUAGCCCUUUUAAUAAGGAGCAAAUGGAGAUGCUUCAGAAACUACUGUCUCCUCUUUUGUCAGUACAGUCACAAACUGGCUCAUCUUCCAACCAAGUCAUUGGUUCCGGAACCUUGGCUCACAAAGGUAAUUUUUUGAGUGCCUUCACUGCUAGUAAGAAACGUAAAAAACCUUGGAUCGUGGACUCAGGAGCAUCUGAUCAUAUGACGGGAGAUGCGACAAUUUUUUAUACAUAUAGCUCAUUUCCAAAUAAUUUAACAGUCCGAAUAGCAGAUGGUUCACUAUCAAAGGUUGCCGGAACAGGUUCAGUUGUGUUAUCAAGGGAUCUUACUCUCAACUCUGUUCUCCUUGUUCCUAACUUGGACUGUAAUCUAUUGUCAAUUAGUAAACUCACUAAGGAAAAGAGGUGUAUUACUAAUUUUUCCUCCACUCCAUGUGAAUUUCAGGAUUUGGAUUCGGGGAAGACGAUUGGCAAUGUUGAGAAAUGCUCUGGACUCUACAUCCUUAAGGAGCACCACGAUCCACAAGAACAACCUCAAAUGAUAGUUGGUAGUAAUUCUAUUUCGGUUUCAUGUCAAAAUAACGAUAGUGCAAUUAGGUUGUGGCACUAUCGCUUAGGUCAUCCAAAUGUUAUGUAUCUCAAGCAUUUAUUUCCUUCAUUAUUUAAUAAAAAUCCAAAAUCCUUUGAGUGUGAAAUCUGUCAAUUAUCAAAACAAGUCCGGUCUCAUUUUCCCAUUCAACCCUAUAAAGAGUCUAGUCCAUUCUCAAUGAUUCAUAGCGAUAUCUAGGGUCCGUCAAGAAUAAAAAAUGUAACUGGUACUAGGUGGUUUGUCUCUUUCAUAGAUGAUCACACUAGAUUAACUUGGGUAUUCCUCAUGAAAGAAAAAUCUGAAACGAGUCAAAUUUUCAAAAAUUUUAAAAAUAUGAUUCAGACCCAAUUCCAGUCAAAAAUACAAAUUCUAAAGUCUGAUAAUGCUAGGGAUUAUUUCAACUCCAUUCUAGGAGAAUUUCUAGCAUAAGAAGGGAUAGUUCACUUAAGUUCAUGUGUUGAUACCCCACAACAAAACGGAAUCGCUGAAAGGAAAAAUAGGCAUUUGUUAGAGGUGGCUAGAUCACUAAUGUUCUCCAUGAAUGUUCCAAAAUUAUUCUGGGGGCAAGCUGUCCUUACGGCAGCCUACCUCAUCAAUAGGAUGCCGUCUAGGGUACUAAAAUUCCAAACACCUUGUCAAACACUCCUAAAAUCCUUUCCGACUACUCGUCUCAUCUCCACCAUCCCACCCAAAAUUUUCGGGUGCUCUGUCUUUGUUCAUAUCAAUCAACAACAUAGAAGUAAACUUGAUCCUAGGUCACUCAAGUGCAUCUUUCUUAGGUAUUCUUCAAAUCAAAAAGGGUAUAAGUGUUACUCUCCGGUCACAAGAAAAUUCUACAAUUCAAUGGAUAUCACCUUUUUUGAAACCCAGCCUUACUAUCCUAAAAAUGAUAUUCAAGGGGAGAAUUCAACUCAGGAAUAUCAAUUUUGGGAUCUUGAGUCAUUCAAUGAGUCACCCAUCACCACUGAAAAUCACAUUCCUCUAGAGUCAUUUAAUCAGCCCGAGUCCAUUGUUGACUUAUGGGAUAAGGAGCACAUCCAAGAGGAAACGGAGGAAAGAGCACUUUCUCAACAAACCCAUGAGGCUGAACUGGGUCCUAAUCCAAGCAAACUUCCAAGUAACAACGCUCCUGAUGGUACUGUUGAUUCCGAGUUAGAAAAUGAUAUUCUUAAUAUGCCCAUAGCUUGGAGGAAAGAAGUUAGAUCAUGCACUCAGCAUCCCAUUGGAAAUUUUAUUUCUUAUGAUAAGCUAUCACCUACGUUUCGUGCAUUCACUUCUAGCAUCACAGAGAUACAAGUUCCUCAGAAUAUUCAGGAAGCUUUCAAGUAUCCUAAGUGGAAGGCGGCAGUCGAUGAGGAAGUUCGGGCGCUGGAAAAGAAUGGUACGUGGGAAAUUACUAACCUCCCAAGAGGUAAGAAACCAGUUGGGUGUAAGUGGAUUUUCACAGUAAAGUACAAGGCAGAUGGUAAUGUGGACAGGUAUAAGGCUCGGUUGGUCGCCAAAGGAUUCACCCAAUCCUAUGGCAUUGACUAUCAAGAAACUUUUGCUCCAGUUGCCAAGCUCAAUUCUGUUCGUGUACUUUUAUCCUUGGCAGCUAAUCUCGAUUGGUCGCUUCACCAACUUGAUGUGAAGAAUGCCUUCCUCAAUGGUGAUUUAAAGGAAGAAGUUUACAUGGACAUUCCUGUUGGACUUGAGACGACAUCAAAUUUCAACAAGGUUUGCAGACUCCGAAAAUCCUUGUAUGGUCUCAAACAAUCUCCCAGGGCUUGGUUUGAACAGUUCACUAAGGUAGUGAAAGGGUACGGAUUCGUUCAAUGUCAAUCCGAUCACACAUUAUUUGUGAAACACUUCCCAGAAGGGAAGCUGGCAAUUAUCAUUGUAUAUGUGGACGACAUAAUUUUGACAGGUGAUCAUGAAGAGAAAAUUGACUUACUUAAAAAAUUAUUGACAAAGGAAUUUGAGAUCAAGGAUCUUGGAACCCUCAAGUACUUUCUCGGAAUGGAGAUUGCUAGGUCAAAGAAAGGUAUAGCAGUCUCACAACACAAAUACGUUCUGGACUUAUUGAAUGAAACAGGAAUGCUAGUAUGCAAGCCGGCAGAAACACCUAUGGAUACAACUGUCAAACUGGAAGAAAGUGAUGGAAGUGUGCCAGUUGAUAAAGGAAGAUAUCAACGUCUUGUGGGGAAACUCAUCUAUCUUUCUCAUACAAGGCCAGACAUCGGCUUCUCCGUUAGUGUGGUAAGUCAAUUCAUGAAUAAUCCAACCGAAAAACACAUGACUGUUGUGAUCAGAAUAUUGAGGUACCUCAAGAUGACACCGGGAAAGGGUCUCUUCUUUCAAAGAACAACAAAGAAAGAGAUUGAGAUUUUUUCAGAUGCAGAUUGGGCAGGUUUAGUGACUGAUCGGAGAUCAACUUCAGGUUAUUGUUCAUUUGUCUGGGGGAACUUGGUUACAUGGCGAAGCAAGAAACAGUCAGUGGUAGCUCAUAGCAGUGCUGAGGCAGAAUUUCGUGCUAUGGCACAAGGUAUCUGCGAGAGAAUCUGGUUGAACAGGCUGUUAGAAGAAUUACGGGUUCCAUUGAAGCAUCCCAUGGUGUUAUACUGCGACAAUCAAGCUGCCAUCAGUAUCGCUAAGAAUCCGGUUCAUCAUGAUUGAACUAAGCACGUGGAGAUAGAUCGACACUUUAUCAAGGAAAAGAUUGAAGAAGGAGUUUUCAAAGUCAGCUACACUCCGACAAACUGUCAAACGGCUGACAUUCUCACAAAAGCUCUUGCUCGAGUUAACUUCGAAAAUCUGACAGAAAAACUUGGAAUGAUCAACAUUUACAACGCGGCUUGAGGGGGAGUGUUGGAAAUCAAGCCCACGUCGCCUUCCUGCCUGUGCAUGUUCCUCCCCAUAUUUAGCAUCCUCUGUUUACUUCCCUGAAUUAGUGUAAUGUACAGCCUUUAUUAUAAUUUAUUUAGGAGUAAUUCUAGCAAGGUAGUUUAUUCACUUUCCAUGUAAGAGUUUAUUCACUUUCCAUGUAAGGGAAAUUCCGUCCGGUGAUAGUGUACCAUUCCGGAAUUGUCUCAUAUCUGUAGGCUAUUUAUUUAUGCUUUCAUUCAUUGUAAAAAAAAAAAAAAAGGUAUCAUAGAAUAAAUUGAGUCUGUGUUCCUCCAUAGUUUGUCUUCAAAUUCUUCAUAUUUUAGUCUUCAAAUUCUUUAGUCAUGAUUCUCCAAAGGUCAUAUUCAAUCUGUAACCAUAUACACUAGUACACUCAUUGUGGUAAACCUAUCCUAAUUACCAAUAUAAGUUAUUCCACCACUUAAGAGGUAGUGUACUAUGACUUUUGAUGGAUUGACUAAGUCUAAAAAACGAUCGUAAACUAACUCAUCAACUCAUAAGAUGUUAGGAUAAAUCCUUUAAAAGCAUGACAUGAUAUAACAAAAUUUAGAAUUUAUUAUUUGUUAAUAAAGUUCCAGUUUUACUUAUAUCUAUUCUUAUUUCAUGUAUUAUACUUUAUGAAUAUAUAUUAUGGCUUACAUAUCUUGUAUUGUAUAUGAAUUGGAUGCAUUAGGAGUUAUACAGAAGAUCUAAGUUAUGAGUCCCUUGCAAGAGGAUGACUUGUUCAUAGCUAGUUUCUAUGCCUUGACAACCCAUUAGAGACUGUAGUGCAUUACCUUCUAAUUAUAGGGGUUACCGGUUUUGGCUAUCAGAUGGGUUUCUUGUAUUAGUGUGUAUGGUUACACAUUGGAUAUGACCUACGUUGAGUCAUGAUGUAAGACUCUAAAGUAGUCACGACUUCACCAAGUUAUUUCAUUGUGUUAUUUUCAACCUUGAGUGAAUAUUAAGCUUAUAGUAAAAUCAGUAGUGACUUUAACCUACAAGUGAGAUCCUAAAGUGACCAUGUAUUCCUUUAUGGAUUGGAUCACUAUUGAUGGAAACAUGUAACAAUGGGUAUUCUUAAUUAAGGUACCAUCAUAUCUCAUGGGAUUAAGAUAAAGUGUCUUAUUAGGUGAUCUUAAGGAAGUGUGUUUAUAUAAAUUAUGACUAUAGUAGUUUCUUAAGUGGAACUGGACAUAAACUCUUUGUAAGCUAAGAUUGAACAAGCAUAAAAGAAGAAUAGUUUAAUGAAGGUAAACAAAUUAAUUUAAGUUAAAAUUGUUUUUCACAAAAAGGAAAAAAGAGAGGAGUGUGAUGAAUAGAAAAAUAUUAUGUACUAGUAACAAAAUGAUGGAGGGUCCCAAAGAGAAUUGUCCCUCACUUAAGCAUGAAUCUUAAAGAACGUGAUGGCAACUUUUGGCCACUCAUAAUCACAGCUUGAAAUGCUAUUCUUCACCAUACCACCAUAAAAUUGGAUGAAAUUGGUAUCUUUAAUCCGCUUCUUGGCAAACAACAUUUUGAAAAUAAAAAUCCCUUUCAACCAUUUUGGAGAAACACCAUUUAGUUACAAAUGAAAUUCUAAUCCAAGAAUUUAGCCAUAAGUAGUUCUUCUAUGAAAUAGCAUUCCAAACACACUUUCAAAUGGUCAAAAGUCAUCCAACCCAAAUACUAGAAUGAGUAGACUUAGUCUAUUUUAUGACUCCGAAUGAAAUAUUUACUCCUUAGAAUAAAAUAUAAAGAAUGUUUUUCUUUUAAUUUAUUUGAGGGAAACAUCUUUUGGGGUGUGGUCAGAAAGAAAAUUUAAUUUUUGAAGUCUUGUUUGUUAUUGAUAGACAUUUUAUUUUGAACCAAUGACACUCAAUUUACUAUAGAUAUAUUAUUUUUGUAAAAAACUAAUUUAAUGUGUGCAUUAUUAAUUGUUUUAUUAUUUUCAUAAUUUCAUUUAAAGUUUAUAUAAUCAAAUUUCAAGAUUUUUUUAAUCAAAAUUUUCAUUGAUAUUAAUAUUUUCAUUUAUGUAAACUACCAAUAUUUUCAUGGAUAUUAAUUUUUUUUAUUAUGUAGGUUCUAUCAUAUGAAGUUAUAUGGUGUAUCACUCAUUUAUGUCUUAAAUAUAAUUUUCAAAAUUUAUUCAUUUAUCCUAAUUUGAAACUUUAUUAUUAUUAAUAUUGUUAUUAUUAUUAUAAUAAUAUUUUAUUCUUAUUUAUCCAUAACAAAAUACAAAAUAAUUUAACACAAAUUCAAUUUUUUUUUUCAAAAUUUUCUCACAUUCUUUUAAAAAGAAUUUAAGAAGAAAAUCUUUAACCAUUUUAAUUUUUUCUCUCAUUUUUUCCUUUUUUUUAUUUUUUUUUAUCAAGAACUAUCUUUCUUUAUAAAUAAUUUUUUUCCUUUUUCUUAAUCAUUUCCAAAAGUUUUUUGAGCUAUUAAGACUAUGUUUGAUUCCUAAAAAAAUUGAGGGAAAAUGCAAGAGAGAGAGAGAAAAAAAAAAGUGGAAACGUAGAAGGAAAGAAAAAAGAAAGGAAAAUAAAAACUAGAUUUGAAGUUAAUAAAUUAUUUUUAUAUGCUACUUCAAACUUAUUUUAUUGAUUUUAACUCUUUCAUAUGAAGAUUAAAUAAUUUGAAAUUGUAUCAUUUUCUAACUAGUUUUAAUAUAUAUUUGAUUUUCUUUAGUAUUUUUCACAUGACAAUCAAAUAUGAUAAAAUCAAUUUUUUUUUAAUAUUUUUUUCUUUCAUUAUUGCUUUCCGGGAAUCAAACAUAAUCUAAAUUUCUUGUUCUUUUUCCCACAAUAGAUCAACCAAGAGAAGAGAUAAGGGUCGUUGAACUUGACUUGAUGUAGAGAACCUUGAAUUUCUCUCUUUUCUUCCUCCAAUUACCUUGCCAAUUCAAAACGCCUUUAGUAGCAAGACUUUGAGGUCUACAACUAUGUACAAGUCAUGCACUCAAUUAUGCCAAAAACAUCACAUUCACAAGUCUUUUUCUUUCACUCUCCCAACUAACUUAAAUACUUCCUAUUAGAGAAACUACUAUAUAAAUAGUUAUAAAAUGUAUACUUAUUUAUAUUUAUUCAUGAUAAUAGGUAACAAUUAUAAUUAAAACAUGGAUUUUUGAGAUGAUAGCUACAAUAAAUUGAAACCUCAUCCAAUUAUUUUAGGAGAGGCAAAAUAAUGUUUGAUUAACAUAUAAACUAAAUUGAGUAAAUUACAAGAAAAAUGUUAUGCUUGUUAAAGAAUUCGAGCAUUGACUAGUGUGUUGUUUGGGCUAAAGGGAGACUUCCAUUUUCACAUUGGAGGGAAUAUAGACUUUAAUCUACUCAAGUGACAAUGACUUAUCCCGUUGAAUUCAAAUUAAUAAAUUUUAUAAUUAUAGAUAUUUUGAUAUUUUUAGUAAUAAAAUGAAAUAAUGCGGAUAUUGGAUUCAUUUAGUAUCACUUUCUAAAGUUAAUUCAUUUCUCCUCUUGAAACAUCCGUAAAAGUAAUGUUUAAACAUGUCUGGGCUUAGCAGUCUCUCCCAGCUGCUGCCAAUGAGAAUUCUAUUCUUUUUAUGGAUUUUAUUCAUGCCCUUAUGCCCGAUCUUUUUUGGUAUGCAUGUUACUUCUGUGUCCGGCGAAUGUCUGAGUGAUGGGAGGGUAUGCCUGGAAGAUGAGGUGUUGUUGCUGCUGCAACUGAAGAGCAGCCUCAUAUUUAAUACUGCUGCAUCGAAUAAACUUGUUUCCUGGAUUCAAAGCGCGGACUGCUGUUCUUGGGGAGGUGUAACAUGGGACGCCACUGGUCGUGUUGUCUCUCUUGAUCUCAGUAGCGAAUUCAUUUCUGGUGAACUCAAUAGCUCCAGUAGCAUUUUCAGUCUACAAUAUCUCCAGAGCUUGAAUUUGGCUAACAACACCUUCUCUUCUCAAAUUCCAGCAGAAUUCCACAAGCUUGGAAACUUAAAUUACCUGAAUUUGUCCAACGCUGGCUUUUCUGGGCAGAUUCCAAUUGAGAUUUCCUACUUGACAAGGUUGGUUACUAUUGAUCUAUCUAGCCUUUAUUUCAUCACCGGUAUCCCAGAACUGAAACUUGAGAACCCAAAUCUGACAACGCUGGUCCAGAACCUCAAGGAGCUUAGGGAACUUCAUCUUAGUGGUGUAAACAUUUCGGCCAAGGGAAAGGAGUGGUGCCAGUCAUUAUCAUCUUCAGUGCCAAAUCUCCAAGCGCUAAGCUUGUCCAGAUGUUUUCUUUCAGGCCCCAUUGAUUCUUCUCUGGAGAAGCUUCAGUAUUUGUCAAGAAUUCGUCUGGAUGGCAAUAAUUUUUCCUCUCCAGUUCCAGAAUUCCUUGCGAAAUUUCAAAAUUUGACUUGCUUGCGGCUCAGUUUUUGUGGAUUAUAUGGAACAUUUCCUGAAAAGAUCUUUCAGGUACCAACCCUUCAGAUUCUUGAUAUCGAAAACAACAUGUUACUUGAGGGUUCUCUGCCAGAAUUCCCUCUGAAUGGAGCUCUGGAAACCCUGAUCCUCUCAGAUACAAAAUUUUCAGGGAAAGUACCUGACUCAAUAGGCAAUCUCAAGAUAUUGACCAGGAUAGAGCUUGCAAGGUGUAAUUUCAGUGGGCCAAUCCCAAACUCCAUGGCCGACCUCACUCAAUUGGUUUACUUGGACUUGUCUGAAAAUCAGUUUUCUGGUCCAAUCCCGCUGUCACUGUUUUCCUUUCCAUCACUGCAGACGAUACAACUAACCAACAACUAAUUUUCUGGUCAGUUCAACAUUUUGCUUAAUGCGUCUUCAUCUGUAUUGCAUACCCUUGAUUUGAGUAGCAACAAUCUGGAAGGCCCCAUACCAGAAUCUGUUUUUGAACUACAGGGUCUUUACAUCCUUGAUCUAUCUUCCAACAAAUUCAAUGGAACAGUGGAGCUCAGCAAGUUUCAAAAACUUGGGAAUCUUACCACUCUCAGUCUUUCGUACAACAAUUUGUGGAUAAUUGCAAGUGGUAGUGAUUUCAUUCCUUCAAAAUUACCGCAUUUGACCACAUUAAAAUUGGCUUCUUGCCAGCUGGGGACAUUACCUGAUCUUAGCAGCCAGUCAAGAUUGUCAUAUUUGGACCUUUCCGAAAACCAAAUUCAGGGGGAGAUACCUAAGUGGAUCUGGAAAGUUGGUAAUGGCUCUCUUAUCCAUUUGAAUCUCUCUCUUAAUUUACUGGAGGAUCUGCCAGAACCUUCAUCUAUUCUUUCUACUAAUCUUUUGGUCCUUGACCUACACUCCAAUCAGCUCCAUGGGCGAAUUCCCACUCCACCCUCAUGUUCCGCCUAUGUGGAUUACUCAAACAACAGUUUCACCUCUUUCAUCCCAGAUGACAUUGGUACUUAUAUCUCCCUCAAUAUUGUCUUCAUGCUUUCAAAGAAUAAUAUCACUGGAAUUAUCCCUGAAUCAAUAUGCAAUGCCAGUUAUCUAAGCGUUCUUGACUUAUCUGACAAUGCUUUGAGUGGCAAAAUACCCUCAUGCUUAAUUGAGAUCGAGACUCUUGCAGUGCUGAAUCUAGGGAGAAACAAGUUUAGUGGCAUUAUAUCUGGCGAAUUUCCAGGAAACUGUGUCUUACAGACUUUAGAUCUGAAUGGGAACCUUUUAGAAGGAAAAAUUCCAGUGUCUCUGGCCAAAUGCAAAGAGUUAGAGGUUUUAAACCUUGGGAACAAUCAGAUGGAUGAUAACUUUCCUUGCUGGUUGAAGAACAUAAGCAAUUUGCGUGUCCUUGUUUUGCGAGCCAACAAAUUGCAUGGACCCAUUGGAUGUCCAAAUAGCAACUCCACCUGGCCAAUGGUUCAAAUUGUGGACCUAGCUCACAACAAUUUCAGUGGUGAGUUACCAGCAAAGUGCUUCUUGACCUGGAGAGCAAUGAUGGCAGGCGACGAUGAAGUCGAAUCCAAGCAUAAAAACCUCGAAUUUGAGGUCUUAUUAGGAUGGUACUAUCAGGAUGCUGUAAGAGUUACCAGCAAAGGUCAAGAAUUGGAGUUGGUGAAGAUCCUAACGCUCUUCACCUCUAUUGACUUGUCACGCAACAAUUUCGAAGGGGAGAUACCAGAAGUAAUGGGAGACUUGACAUUACUUUAUGUUCUCAACUUAUCUGGCAAUGGUUUCACAGGGCGCAUCCCAUCAUCACUAGGACAGCUCCGACAGCUUGAGUCAUUAGACCUCUCAAUGAACAAGCUGAGCGGCGAGAUCCCUACACAGCUUGCGAGCCUAAAUUUCCUUUAAGUGCUGAACCUCUCAUUCAAUCAAUUGGUGGGAAGAAUCCCAACAGGGAGUCAAUUGCAAACAUUUUCAGAAAAUUCCUUCCUGGGUAACAGAGGAUUAUGGGGCUUCCCCCUGAACCCAAGCUGCAAAGAUGCUACACCACCACCGGCGUUUGAAAGCAGGCAUUCAGGUUCCAGGAUGGAGAUUGACUGGGACUACGUGGCUCCGGAGAUUGGAUUCGUGACAGGGUUAGGCAUCGUGAUUUGGCCUCUAGUGUUUUGCAAGAGAUGGAGGAGAUGCUACUACGAGCAUGUUGAUGGAAUUCUCUCAAGGAUUCUCCGCGGCUAAGACAAGGAAGAGCAAAUAAUGGGAGCAGGGAUCUAGCGACCACUAGUGAGAAGGAUCUAGUUGGAGUGUAUUGUAUUUCUAUUAGAUAGAAACUAUCUUUUCUACCCAUAUGCAGAAAAGCUUUUUAGUUUUUACUCAAAACUAUAGUCUAUGACCCAGUUAAACCUACACAAAAUAAAAUUCUAAUUUCGGAGAUUCAACAAGUCAUUCAAGAUGAGCAAGAGGUUAAGAUAUGUUGGCUGGAUGUGGGCCCGAGUUGGGUUAAACUUGGUUGGCCUGAUUGGUACAAACCAAGACCAACUAUGGUAGUUAGGCCCAUGUUCAGCCCAAUCAACACAUCUGAAGCCAUUAGGGAGUUUAGAUUGAUAACCACUUAAUUAUCAUGCUAGCUAGUAAACCUGCUGCACAUCCACUUAUAAAAGUUUCAUUUGGAAAUGUUUCUCAUUUUACCCUUUUUUUUUAAUCACAAUUUUUAUUAUAUUGUUAAUUUAGAGGAAGAAAAAACUUCAAUCAAUUUUUUGUAAUCCUUUCUUCCAACAAUCAUUUAUGAAGAUUAAACAAUGAGACAAGUAUGAGAUGUUUUUAGAGUAAAUGGCGAAUUAAUGUAACUUCUUAGGUCUUCGUUCUUAAUGGAAUUUGAAAACAAUGAAUAUUUUUAUUCAGGUGAAAUAACAUUUUUUAAAGAGUCCACGAUCCUUCUCAUCAUACCCUGCAAAUGCUUGUACAGUUUUUUGGGUUGUUUUUGCCUUCACUCACCAUAAUUCCUAAUCAACUUUCAUGUGAAGAUUAAGAAGCACCGAAACUGGGCCAAACCUGUUCAUGGGGAAAGAAUAGUCUUUGGUUUCCGAUACGUCCUCAACAAACAUAAAAGAAGAAUAGUAAUCAAUUCAGAGUAAACAGGUCCAAUUGAUCAGUGAAUUGAGAGUGAGAGGACAGUUUGUAAGGGGACCUUUUUGGUCUCAUUCAGAGUAAUCAAUUCCAUUUCAGUAGGGGUUCUGCUUCCCUUGUUUUCUUUCUCUUUCACAAGGACUGGAGUGGGUAGACUUGAAGCCAAGCUGAACAGCUCUUAGCUCUUCCCAACUACCAGCCCCUCCCUCACCAAUCACUUCCACUUGCAACUUACAUUAUCGCUACAUUUGUCAAAGUGAAGGCUAUGAAUUUUUGUAGAAUAAUUGUAACAACAUUUAUUGUACUAUAACGAUGCCUAAGAGAGGAUGAAAAAUGGUAUUAAAAGCAAAAAAGAUAGAUGUCAUCUUUCUGUGGAUGACCUGUAAUCGGCUUGUUUUUUCGUUUAAUUUUUUGCAUGAAUUUGCGCACUCAACAUUUCUUGUUGGGUUUGAUUAAAAAGCCAAUGAGAGAAAGAUCGGUAUAUAUGAAUUGGAUACGAGCAUUGUAUAUAAGAUGAGUUUCUUAGGUGGUGUUUGUUUUUUUUACUUUUGCUGAAAGCAAAUUGUUUUCAGAAUUUAGGUUGUUUGUUUAUCUACUUUUUUAUGACUUAUUAUAAACUUUUUAUUAAAUAGAAAAAGACAAAAUAUGUAGCUUUUUUAAAAUAGAAUAAAAAUAUCAUAUUGGUUUUUCUUUACCUUUUAAUACUUAAUAGAAAUAGAAUACUAUAAAAACAAACAAUCUAAUAUUUAACACUAUUAAACAUUAAGGUUCUAUUUAAAAUUAAGUAAAAAAACAAACACCACUUUAGUCUCGUUCAAAGUAAUCGAAUCCAUGUCAGUAGGCAGUUUGAUUUUUCAAUGGAUUAAAAAGUUUGUAAUCAUUUCUAAAUAUUACAUGAAAUACAUGAAAAGGAAAAACUUGUAGUGGAACUUAAUGCUCUAAAAACGAAAUCAAAAGGCAAAUGUUGAACACACUCUUAAACUCUUUCUCCACUUAUCCAUUUAUUUUUCAAAAAAAAAAAAUAUAUGAAUGGUUAAAAAUACCUCUUUUUCAUCUUCUCGACACCACUCAUCACCAACCUUGGUUUUUUUUCUUCCAUUUUCUUUUCUUUCGAGUCUCUUACCUUCACCUACUAAAUAUAUGAAUUUGAUUUUCAUCAAACCCAUCAACAUAGGGUAAAAAAACCUUAUGUUGUUUUCUAUUCCAAAAAGCAUUGGGGAUAGAAAAACAUAAAUUUGUUUCAAUUUGAUUUUUAAUAUUUUCUAUUCUUGUUUGAAUAUCUUUUUGUAAUAGAUUUUCUUCCAUUCUUUUAUAAUGUAUUUCUUUGCUUAUGUGUUUGAUAUGUUGUUUUUUCUUUUGAAUAAGAUUUACUUCAUUUUCUUGAAGUGUAUUUAACUCUUUAAUUUUUAAAGAACUAAUAAAUUUGAAACAAAUACUUUGUCCUUUAUAACUAGUUUUAAUUCCUUCAUCAUCUACUUUAAAAGGAUAAAGUAGUGCAAGGAAUGGUGUUCCCAAGAUUAUAUCUUUAUUCAUAUCUCUGACAAUUUAAAGAGAAGUCUUGUAACAAACAUUUUGAUUAUAGAUAUGAACAUUUGAAAUUUUGAAAUCUACCAUCAAAGGCUUCGAGUUUGUACUCACACACUUGGUAAGUCUUUUCAAAGUAUAUAGUUGGGAUUAAUCCUUUCUGUACACAAUUAAUAUUAGCACUAGAAUCAAUUAAUGUUAAAAACUCUUUUAAAAAAAUCAGGUUUUAUAAAACGUUUUACUUUGAUGUGCCAUUUUUUAAUUAACAUUUUAGUUAUACUAUUUACAAAAAAUUGAGAAGAUUCUCCUUCUUCUAAUUGUUUAUCUUCAUGUUGUUCUAAUUUUUCAUUUUCUAAUAUUUGGAGUCUUGUUUUUUAUUUCUUGAUUUUGACUUAUCAUGGUAUUAAUUUGAAGUUUUAUCAACUUAUUUCAUUUUGAAGGUCUUGAAUUCCUAUUGGUUUUAAAGCAGAAAAUUGGUUUAAUACAGUUUUUAAACUGUAUUGAUUUGUAUUUUCUAUUUGUCUUUCAUUCCUUUGUUCAACAUGGAGGUAAUUUGAUUCCUACUUCCUGUUCUCAAUUAUUAUUCUUUAUAUCAAGAUUUCAAAUUCCAUGGAUCUUGUGUUGGGACUUUGUCCAAACACAAUUAAUUCCCCCUCUCUUUCCUCCGCAUUUGGCGGUUGAAUUCAAACUCAAAUGGUGGUCAAACUUUUCUCCUUCUUCCACCCAACAAAUUCCUCAUAUUCGUCAAUGGAUAUCUUCAAAAUAUUCUAACACAAGCAAAAAAAAUACAUUAUAAAUAAAUGGAAGAAAAUCUAUUACAAAAAGAUAUUCAAACAAGAAUAGAAAAGAUUAAAAAUCAAAUUGAAACAAAUUUAUAUUCUUCUAUCCCCAAUGCUUUUGGAAUAGAAAGCACCAUAAGUUUUCCUUACCCUAUGUUGAUGGAUUUGAUGAAAAUCAAAUUCCCACUAAGGCAAUACCAAUUCAAAUGAAUACUCAAUUAAUUACUUGAGUAUUGUAAGAAAGAAAUCAAGGAUCUUUUAGAAAAAAAUAGUAUUAGAAAGAGUCAUUCUCCUUGGAGUUGUGUAUCUUUUUAUGUUCAAAAACCUUUGAAAAUUGAAAGAGGUGCUCCAAGACUUGUCAUAAACUAUAAGCCUUUAAAUAAGGUUCUCAAAUGGAUAAGGUAUCCAAUACCUAAUAAGAGAGACCUUAUUGGAUGCCUUUAUUAUGCUUCAAUUUUCUCAAAAUUUGAUAUAAAGUCUAGAUUUUGGCAAAUUCAAACUCUAUCUCUUACUCUAAUUCAACCUAAUAUUAAACUUAUACUCUAAUUCAAACUAAUAUAUAAUAAAUAGAUAAAUACUAAUAUUUAAAUUAAGGACAACAUUAACUCUCUAUGAUAUUCUUAAAGAGAAAAAAGAAAAAAAAUUAAAUACAUUAUCCAUACUUUCAUAUUAAUUUAAUUUUUGAAUGAAAUUAACAAAAUAAGUUCAAUAGCAUUCACUUUCUAAGGAACCAAAAAAUAAAAAAUUUGUUCAUGCUUUUAGAUUUACAUAACGAAAAAUACUUUAUCAAUAUUUCAACGAUCAAGAUUCUUCUUAUUCAACUUGAAGAAUAAAGUAAGCUUACUGCAAAGCUAACAUAUAAAUUAUAUUUUGACCCAUAAUUUUAUGGCCCCAACUAUGUCUUUUUCUCAAAUUUCAACAAACCAAAAAAAUGUUUCAUAGAAAACGCAAUGUCUAAUUUAUUUAUUUUUUUUAUGGUUAAUUUGAAUGUAUAGAAAAUCAAAAUUUAAAACUAAAUUCUUUAUAUCACCACAAAUAAAUAAAUUUCAAUUAUUUCAUCAAAUUUAAUCAAUUUGCAUGUUAUAUACAUAAAAAUAAUCAUGAUAUUUCUAUCAAUAAUUUUUUAAGAUCUUUUUUAUGUAGUAAUUUAGUUCAAGUUAAGUAUAACUUGAAAACAAAAGUACAAAAAUUUUGAAAAUGUAUUAAAAAAACACAAAAAAUUGAUAGCCAUAGAUUAUUAUUUUUAUAUUAAAUAUAUUUUAAUGUGUUUUCAUGUAUUGGAAUUCAAUGAAAUACUAAUUUUAUUUCCACAUUAAUAUUUUGUAUUAAUUUUUGAAGUCUUGUUUCUCAUAGAUAGACAUUUUAUUCUAAACUAAAGACACAUAAUUUACUGUAGAUAUAUUAUUUUUGUAAAAACCUAAUUUAAUGUGUGCAUUAUUAAUUGUUUUAUUAUUUUCACAAUUUCAUUUAAAGUUUAUAUAGUCAAAUUUCAAGAUUUUUUUAAUCAAAAUUUUCAUUGAUAUUAGUAUUUUCAUUCAUGUAAGUUUAAACUACCAAUAUUUUCAUGGAUAUUAAUUUUUUUUAUUAUGUAGGUUCUAUCAUAUGAAGUUAUAUGGUGUAUCACUAGUGUAUGUCUUAAAUAUCAUUUUCCAAAUUUAUUCAUUUAUCCUAAUUUGAAACUUUAUUAUCAUUAAUAUUGUUAUUAUUAUAAAAUUUUACUCUUAUUUAUCCAUAACAAAUUAAUAAAAUAAAAUAAAAAUUAAUACAAAUUCAAAUUUUUUUUUUCAAAAAUUUCUCACAUUCUUUUAAAAAAAUAUUAAGAAGAAAAUAUUUAACCAUUUUUUUCUCUUUUUUUUUUCACUUUUUAAAUCUUUUCUCAUGAUACCUAAACAUCAAGAAAUAUCUUUCUUCAUAAAUAAUUUUUUUUCCCUUUUCUUAAUCCUUUCCAAAAGUUUUUUGAGCCAUUAAGACUAUGUUUGAUUCCUAAAAAAUUGAGGGAAAAUGCAAGAGAGAGAGAGAAAAAAAAAAGACAAAACAAAAAGAGUGGAAAAAUAGAAGGAAAGAAAAAAAAAAAGGAAAAAAAAAAAUAGAUUUGAAGUUAAUAAAUUAUUUUUAUAUGCUACUUCAAACUCAUUUGAUUGAUUUUAACUCUUUCAUAUGAAGAUUAAAUAAUUUGAAAUUGUAUCAGUUUCUAACUAGUUUUAAUAUAUAUUUGAUUUUCUUUGGUAUUUUUCACAUGACAACCAAAUAUGAUAAAAUCAAAAUUUUUUUUAAAUAUUUUUUCAUUCCUCAUUGCUUUCCGAGAAUCAAAUAUAACCUAAAUUUCUUGUUCUUUUUUCCAUAAUAGAUCAACAAAGAGAAGGGAUAAGGGCCAUUGAACAUGACUUGAUGUAGAGAAACUUUAAUUUCUCUCGUCUUGCUCUAGUUACCUUACCAAUUCAAAAUGCCUUUAGUUGGAAGACUUUGAGGUCUACAAACAUAACCUAAAUUUCUUGUUCUUUUUUCCACAAUAGAUCAACAAAGAAAAGAGAUGAGGGCCAUUGAACAUGACUUGAUGUAGACAAUCUUGAAUUUCUCUCGUCUUCUUAUAGUUACCUUACCCAUUCAAAACGCCUUUAGUUGGAAGGCUUUGAGGCCUACAACUGUGGAAAAGUCAAGCCCUCAAUUAUGCCCAAACAUUACACUCACAAGUCUUUUUCUUUCACUCUCCUAACUAACUUAAAUGAUUCUUAUUAGAGAAACUACUAUAUAAAUAGUUUUGAGAUGUAUACUUAUUUAUAUUUAUUUAUCAUAAUAGAUAACAAUUAAAAUUAAAACAUGGCAUUUUGAGAAGAUAGCUAAAAUAAAUUGAAACCUCAUCCAAUUGUUUUAGGAGAGGUAAGAUAAUGUUUGAUUAACAUACAAACUAAAUUAAAUGUGUAAAUUACAAGAAAAGUGUUAUGCUUGUUAAAGAAUUCGAAAAGCGUAUUUUUUGGGCUAGAAAAAAGGUCGCAAAGAAAAAAGAAUUAUGGAAAGGAGAAUUCCAUUUUCAUGUUGGUGGGAAGAUAGACUUGAAUCUAAUUUUCCAAGUGACAAUGGCAUAUUCCCAUUGAAUUCAAAUUGAUAAAUUUUAUCAUUAUAGAUAUUUUGAUAUUUUUAGUAAUGGAAUGAAAUAAUGUGGAUAUUGGAUUAUUUUGAUAUUUUUACUAAUGGAAUGAAAUAAUUUAGAUAUUGGAUUCAUUUGAACUAUGUUUGGAUCCCAGAAAAUACUAGGAAAAGAAAAAAAUGUUAAGAAAAAUGGUUUUCUCACGUUUGGUUUCACUAUAGAAAAUAUAAAAGAAAAUCAAAUAUAAUUAAAAUUAAUUUACAAUUUAGAUAUUUUAAAAUUAUUUAAUCUUGCUAUAAUAGAGAGAACUAAGUAAAUUGAGUUUGCAAAAACAUAUAAACAUAAUUUAUUAAAUUUAAAUUUUUCUUCAUUUUUUCUUUCUUUUUACUUUUCCUCUUUAUUUUCUUUCCUUUGCAUUUUCCUUCAAUUUUUUUGAGAACCAAACAUAGUCUUAGUAUCACUUUCUAAACUUAAUUUGGUAUGUAUACAUGCAAAACUCUAUAAAAUUGAAUUUGUUGUUUAUGUUGUAUGCCAUAAAAUUUGCAUAGACUCUUUGGGAAGCUUCCCUCCAUGUGUCCUUCACAGGCUCAAGGCCCUUUGGCCGUCCAAGGGAAGCAAAUAAUCUGUCUAGGAGAAAUCCAUCUGGACCAAGACAAUCUCCGUUUGGCAUAAAAGGAAAGACGAAUUUCCUUUUUCCCUAAUGCCAGACAGAAUGGACAAACUAAACCGACUGGGGGACUUUCAAAUGGACAAACUAAGCCAGUCGAAAAUUCCAAGCAUUGAGUAGAUGAUUAACCACCACCAAUGCCUAAGCAACAAGCAAAACAACAUUUACACCCAGAAAUCAAUGUCCCUUAGUCGUUACGUGCAAUCGGUGACAUUAAAAAACGUAUAUGCACAACCAACAACAUGGUUCGAGAUACAAAAAAUAAAUGACGCCAAUUAGUAACUCUUAUUUGGUAUGAUUGUCCAAUCCACACUAAGCUAAUGACAUUGACUACCUUAUUAAGGCAUAGUAUCCGCCAUGACGACAAUCAUCAGCGCAAGAAAUGCAUGAAUGCACAAUCAAUGCUAUGAUGAUGAUGUCAUACGUUCUAUAAAAACUCAUCUAAAAGCAUGAAAAAGGUAUGCACAUACAUAACCAUUCAAAAAGUUGGAUUCAUUCUCACUAGAUUCUGACUUAAGCUUCGAAGGGGCAUGCUCGGACCACCUAUCUGAACAUCCUUUUGUGUUGGGAACAAUCCAUCUAACUCUAAUGAAGUCAGAUCCUACAUGCAAUUGGCACAACACCAACAUUGGUGCAGUCUAUGGGAAACAACUAAGGAUGUUAAUGCCCUUUAGAAACUAAUCAUCAAUUAUUAGUGAUGAAGACUAUUUUGUCUAAUGCAAAAGAAUGGAGAAAGGCCAACGAGAAAAUGAGCAGCAAAUACAAACUUUGCUCUACUAAACAGAACGACUAAGAGAAAAGAACGAGGAGUUGCAGACUCAAAUGUCAAUAGUGAGCCCCUCUCAAAGUCGACACACUCAAAGCUGACAAACAGCCUCACGACGAACUGUUGAGGCAUCUUUCCUUGGGGGCACAAAGUUCUCCUUCGACAGCUACUCAAGACAAUACAAGAAGGAGUCUUCGCCAACUCAUCAAAUUUAGUCAGACGAAGGCAUCAAUUCCAUCUGGGCAUCAAGGAAAAAGAGGCGCGACAAAGGGUCGCAUUUGUCUAAUGCGAAGCGAGCCAGACUAAGACCUUAAGCACUAGGCGUGGAGACACAACCGCACAUGUUAAAAACUCUAAGGGCACGUCUAAGUCAGCCAGCCAUAACAACCACAUCUAGAUGCCCCCCCUCAACCACCAAGGCAAUAGCAGGCAGGAGUGUCAACAACGCGAGCCACACCUUACUCUAUUAGUCGAAGGUUGGAUGACAUGCUCUCCAUGUUGUUCGUCACUCAUAUCAUUAGCUAUGAACCACCCAGAGGGUUCGUGUUGCCCAAAUUCAUAAUGUACGAUGGAACGAGUGACCCAUUUGACCACAUCAUGCACUUCAGGUAGCUUAUGACCCUUGACAUAGGGAAUGAUGCACUGAUGUGCAAGGUCUUUCCGGCCAACCUACAUAGCCAAGUUCUCUUCUGAUUUCACCACCUUGCAUAGAAUUCUGUGAACACAUUCCAAAAUGUCUCAGAAGCCUUUGUGGGCCACUACUUAUGUUUUGCUCGCCAAAAGCAGAACAUAAGCACCUUAUAGAACAUCAAGUUACAGGAAAAUGAAAUGCUAAGGGAUUUCAUGAAGCGGUUUGGACAAGCAGUUCUUUAAGUUAAAUCAUAUAGUAUGGACGUCAUCCUAUAGAUCUUCAAGCAAAGUAUUAGCCUAGGCACUCCAUUUUUCGAGUUCCUUGCAGAAAAGCCACCCAUAACAAUGGAUGACCUAUUCAAGCGGACAGACAAGUAUUCUAUGCUCGAAGAUGAUGUCAAAGCAACCUCUCAACAAGUCUUGGUCACCAAUCAACCGGCCAAGAAUGAUAAAGCAAGGAGUUGUAAGCCUUCUAACCAAAUGAGACAGGUAGCAAAAAAUAAGACAACCGACAACAACAGUAGGAGAGUCUCACUUCUUUAAGUAUCUCUUAUAAGAAACUCCUCCCAUAGAUCUGUGACCCAUCGGACUUCAGAUGCUUGGAUCUAAUUAAGAUAGAUUCGGAUAGAUGGGACUAGAACAUAAGGUGCUCUUACCAUAGGGAAAAUGAAAACACCACUAAACAAUGCAAGAGUCUACAUUACUUGGCGAAAAAACUCAUCAAGAUUGGACACCUUAAGCAGUACUUUUGCACAACAAGCCAGCAAAGAAAGACAACACUAGAGGUACCCGCCCAAGCCCCUAUAUCUCCGACAACCCCCAAACUAUAAUUAACUAUAUACACGGAGGUCUAAUAGAUGACAAACACAACUCUAGGUGACAAAGGCGAAGGUUUCUUCAUGCAACUUCUAUAAGAAAAUAGAUUAGUUCCGUCUAGGACACCUUUGUAGAAGGAAGUGUGCAUCCAGUCGAUUACACAAUCACCUUUCCUCUUAUAGGUGUCAAUUGGGUGUUGCAACCCCAUAGAGAUGCCUUGAUCCUAACACUAGGGAUGGGCAAAUUAGAAGUGCGGAGAAUCCUAGUUGAUCCAGGCAAUUUAGCUAAUCUCUUGCAAAUGUCAACCUACAGGCAAAUGGGUCACUCACCAUCUGCCUUAGAAAAUCCAAGGCGUCUACUAUCCAGAUUUAAUGGACUUACAAUAACCUCCCUAGGUGAUAUUGUGUUACACGUCCAAUCCGACUCGAUCAUAACGAGUGUACAAUUCUCGAUGGUUAAUGAUCUGUCUCCAUACAAUGCCAUUAUGGGACAUGCAUGACUUCACAAAAUGAAAGUCAUUCCUUCUACGUACCAUCAAAUGGUAAGCUACCUCACAGAAGUGGAACAAGUCAAUUUCCUUGGUAGCCAACUAGCCGCAUGAUAAUACUAUCAAGUGGCGCUAGAGUUUGUACAUCCAACCAACGAUGAGGCACAUCUCGAACCAUCGAACACAAGGUAACAAUAGCAGUUACUAAGCCCGAUGGAGAAAUAUCCAUCCGCGGUUGAUCCGCUUCAACCACUGCUUUUUUCACAUGACACAAAUCAAAUCACCUACAAUCAGUUUUUUACUUGCGCAAGAUGAACUAGAACUGCUAGGGAAUACGAUUUAGUGCAAUAAAAACAUUUUUUCCUAGACUCACUAGGACAUGUAAGAAAUCCAUCCGGUCGUGGCCUCCCAAAAGCUCAAUGUCUCACCCACAUCGUAUCCUAUCUAGUAGAAGGUCUAAUGCUUUCAUAUGGAUUGUCAAAAAAUCAUCUAGAUGGAAGUUGACAAGCUAUUGGCAAUCAGAUUUAUUAGAAAAGUCAAAUAUUCAGAUUGGUUGGCGAACGUGGUGGUAAUUCCAAAGAAAAAAGGGAAAGUGGUGAGUUUACGUUGACUACACUAACCUGAAUAAUGCUUGUCCAAAGGAUAGUUUUCUCUUACCUAGAUAGAUUAGAUAAUCAACGCCACAAUCGAGCAUGGGGUGCUAUCCUUUUUAGAUGCCUUUUUCGGAUACCACCAGAUCCCUAUGUUAUAGCCAGAUGAGGAGAAAAUAGUCUUUGUCAUGCCACAAGGACCAUAUUGUUAUAGAGUCAUGUUGUAUGGACUCAAGAAUGUUGUCGCUACCUACCAGAGACUAAUGACAAAAAUCUUCAAGCCCUUGAUCGACAGAACUAUGGAAGUCUACAUUGAUGACAUUCUUGUAAAGAAUGAGACCCAAGUUGAGCAUGUUCAGCACCUAGAAGAAACAUUCCAUUUGAUACGAGCAUACAACAUGAAGCUCAAUCUAGUUAAAUGUGCCUUCGACAUCAAUGUAGGAAAAUUUCUAGGGUUUAUGGUAACCCAAAGGGGAAUUGAAGUUAAUCCAGCUCAAGUGAAAGCCGUCUUGGAAACACCUGCUCCAAAUAACAAAAACAAAUUGUAGCACCUUACAGGCCAUCUCACAACUUUGGGUCGUUUCAUAGCUCGUUUUAUAGACAAGAUGCAACAUUUUUUCCUCACAUUUAAGGGGGCAAGCACGUUUGGCUGGACAGACGAAUGUAAACAGGCAUUUGAGGCAGUCAAACACUACCUCAUUGAACCACCUAUUCUAAUCAACCCCAAAUUCGACAAAGAACUUUACAUGUAUCUGGUCGUAUCUAAUUACACUGUCAGUGUCAUCCUAUUUCGACAUAUACUAGACAAGGAACAGAAACCCAUCUAUUAUGGGAGCAAAGUAAUGGUGGAUGCUGAGACAUGGUAUUCCUAAGUAGAGCAAAUUGCUCUAGCACUAAAGAGUGUAGCUCAAAAGCUCCACCCACACUUCUAGGCUCAUCAAGUGAUCAUACUUACAAACCAGCCGCUUCGAGUCACCUUGCACAAGCUAUCCGGAUGAAUGUUGAAAUGGGCAAUCGAGUUGAGUGAGUAUGAGAUCAAGUAUCAAUCGUGGUUAUCCUUAAAAAGACAGGUUAUGACCAAAUUUAUAGUUGAACUCCAUGAAAAAAAAAAAAACCACAUCCGGUCAAUCGCCCUAGAAAGCAAUGGUGGAUAUUUCAUGUAGACGGAGCAUCCAAGGUGUCUAGAUCCGGAGUGGGUCUGCUCCUGCAGUCAUCAACUGGGAAACUAGUAUAAAAAACUAUCCACCUUAGCUUCUCGUUUUCCAACAACGAGGCAAAAUAUGAAGCUAUGCUAGUCAGGCUAGAUCUUACCCUAAUGUUAGCCAUAACCAAGUUGGAAAUCAUGAGCAAUUCUCAGCUAAUUGUUGGGCAGAUUCAAUAAGAGUAUGAAACAAAGGAUGAAUGUAUGACGCGAUACCUUGCCCUGGUGGAAAAACACCUGAAAAAGCUAGACGAAUGGAUUAUCAAACAGGUGCCGUAAGAGGACAAUGAAAAUACCAACACACUAGUCGAGCCAGCUGCCACUUUCCCCAUAAAUGGGACGGUAAUGCUACCCAUUUACCUCGAAAUCAAGUCUUCCAUCACUCCUAGGCUAGUAUGCAAUAUCGGUUAAAUAGACUCAGGAUGGAUGCUUGACAUCAUAAAAUACCUCCAAACAGGGGAUGUACCAAAAGACAGAAAGCAAACACACAAACUUUGCAUACAAGCAACAUGCAUCACUUUAAUUAAUGAUCAACUUUAUAAACGAUCAUUUGAAGACCCAUAUCUAAAGUGUUUGAGCAAGCCAGAGUUCAAGUAUGUCCUAAUCAAACUCCAUGAUGGCAUAUACAACAAUCACCUAGGGGGGCAAACUUUAGCGCACCGUGCCUACACGUAAGGAUAUUAUUGGCCCACCAUGAAGUGGGACACUGAAAGCUAUGUCAAAAGAUGCGAUCGAUGUCAAUGACACAUUCCCAUUCCCUGUGUACCUUCGAAAGUCCUCAAUUUGGUCACAAGUCCUUGGCCAUUUGUGUAGAGGAAUGGACAUAGUCAACCCCUUACGUAUUGGAGCAUCGCAAAAAAAGUUUUUGCUCGUUGCAAUCGACUACUUCAGCAAGUGGGUGGAGACAGAAGCUUAUGUCAGUAUCAAAGACAAAGAUGUUUCUAGAUUUGUCUAGAAAAACAUCAUAUGUCAAUUCGAAAUUCCACGAGCAAUUAUCAUGGAUAAUAGGCCCUAAUUUGAUAGGAUCGUCUUCUGAACAUUUUGUUCAAAGCUAAACAUUAAGAACUUUCACUCAACACCCCACUAUCCGCAAAGCAACAGACAUGCCAAGUCAACAAACAAAGCCCUAUUAAAUGCUUUGAAGAAAAUGUUGGCAAGAAUAAAAGGAAAAUGGGUAAAUGAAUUGCCCAAAGUUUUAUGGGCCUACCAGACAACAUCUAGACGGCCAACAGGAGCCACUCCCUCGCCUUUGCUUAUGGGAUGGAAGCCAUCAUUCCAACCAAAAUUGGCAUGCCUACUACCAAAAUAGCAGUGCAAGAUAAAAAAGACAACAAUGAACUCAUAAGGCAACUAGAUUGUGUUGAAGAAAAGUAAGAAACUCCAGCUAUCCGAAUAGCUUCUUACUAUUAGAGGGCAAUCACUCAGUACAACAAAAAGGCACGACUACGGUUUUUUCAGUUAGGAUCUUUGGUUCUUAAAAGAGUCUUAAAAAACACAAUUGAAAUGGGACAUGGAAGCUAUAAGCUAAUUGGGAAGGACCUUAUGUUGUAAUUAAGGUAGGAGACUUGGGGGCAUAUCACCUCCAAACACUAGACGACGUGUCUCUGCUCUUCCCUUUGAAUGUAACUAACUUAAAAAUAAUAUAGCAAAGACAAAUUGCUAAAAAGAGCACACUAGAAGGAAAAUUAAUAAGUGUAUUCAUAAUUGAGCAUACAUUGUGUAUAUAGGCAUAAAAAUCUAGGCCACAAUUGGCUAAAGAAAAGAAAAGUAAAAGAAGUCAAGUCUGCUCAUCAUGGGAGCCGUCUUCAACGGAAGGGUCCGUCUCCUAAACCAUGUCCAUCUCUUAGUGCAGGACUACCCGAAAACUCAUCUUCCUCAUCAUCAGAAGGGAACCUAGGAGUAUUGUUUGCAAUGUCAUGCUUCUUCAUACAACACCGGUAGCCAUAGAAGAAUAUGUCAUCAACCUGCUUCUAAUAAUCUGUUUCUAUAUCAUUCUUUUGAGUGGAAAACCCUUCCCGAAUAUCUUAUAGCUCACUUCUCAACUGGGCAGUCUUCUCUUGAACCUUCUCUUUUUUGGCCGCAAUAACAACCUUCUCCUUAGCCAGGCAGCGAGCCUUGGCCUGGGAUGCUUUCUUCUCUUCCUCGACUUUCCUCAGCAGGCAGACACCCUUUCAACCAACUUUUGGGUAGUAACAACCUUACCCAUUGCCGUCUUCAUGACGACUAAGAGCUCCUCAUUUUUGUCCAUGUUAUGGGCGAUAUAUGCCAUCAUGGUUUCGAUUGCUUCUAGUCGUUGGAAAAGGUGCGCUUGUUGUCGUAUGAGGUUACAAACCUCGACUAUCAUCUAGGGGUAGCAAAGAUCAUUAUGAAAUAAGACACUAAAGGAAAAAUGAGAAAAGUCACAAGUGAAAAAGAGGGGGACGACUAACCACUUCCACUGUCUCAAAAGCAGUGUAGUCCCUCAUAUGAAUGAUGCGAACAAUGGCAAUGUCCGGAGUACCAUAAAGAAGUCGCGCCAUGAAAGACUAAUUAGGGUCUUCAUCCACCUCAACCAGAAUUCGUUGCAUAGCUGGAAAGAGCUCUUUAUGUCCUACACUAGAGGCUCCAUUUCGGUAAAGGUUGGGAUACGCCUUAUAAGCUUAGACAAUUUCUUCAUGCUGGGAACAUAGGCUGGCUUUGGGCCGUGAGGAGAAGGAUUUAGACACUUGAAUGAAUCCUCAUUGAUGUUCCCUAAGACGACAAAGGGUUUCCUCAUCUCGUGGUUGGGAAUAUCACCAACAUAUGAGGGUUUAUCAUUCAAACCUGAGUCGACAAUGUUGGCUUGGACGGAGAGUCCAAACCGGGAGCUGGAUGAUCCUUCUUUGAAGAAGAUGGGCCAAUAGCGAUAGACUCAGACAGGCACUUACAUUGCCUCUUACGGAAUCUGGCUCUCAAAUUGGUAGCCAUCUCCUCUUCUUCGUUCUCAUCGUAAAUAAUUAAGGGCACCAACUGACUCUCUUGCUUCUGUCUCGUCAUUGGAAGAUGAAAAGGACAAAAAAAAAAAAAAAAAAAACGGAGAAGGCGAUGAAGACAGCAAGGCAGGAGGUGGAGUUCUCGUUUUUUUGAUGGAACGAGUCGCGGGCUUCUUAUUUUGGGCAUAAAGACGAACAACGAAGUUGGAAGCCGGACGACUAGCAACUUGAGCUUGCUUCAGUGUUCCCUCCUAGUGUUUCUUAUCACGUUCCUCUAAAAAAGCCUGAUGUGCUUUAGAAUAAGCCAAACAAGCAACCUUGUAGAAAAGUACAUCAUUCAGCACGAAAUGUUUGUCAGGCACUAAAGACGAAGAAGCUAGCCGGGAAUACACUAGGAUGAUCAAGACAUUGAAUUUUCAAUUAAGACCUGGAGGUUUUUAUCUGAUAGAAGAAAGUUGUGAGCCCAUUCAACAGCAUCAAUCUUGAACAACUUGUUUAAAUAGGCAAAUGAAGCCUUCUCCACCCACUCCGCAAGACGUCCCCACCUCUCUUUGCAUGUAUUAGACAAACAUGAAGAUCGUGAGUAGGUUAGCAACAAGGAUAGAAUAGUAGCAAGACAAGACGAAAAUGGUAAAAUCAUAGUCUACUUGGAAUCUUCAACAAAUGUUGCGGAGCAAAAACUUUAUCUAGACCCUCAAAAGAACCACUCUAGGGGCCAAACACCAAAACAUGCCCCUUCGCUCAGCCUUUGCUUGAGUUCAAAAAAUUGGUCACGAAUUGGAGAGAAGGGAUGUGGGCAAAUAAGUUGAACCUUUCCUUUGGGUUCAUCUUGACAGUGUAGAUGAGUAAGACUUCUAGUAGAGGAAGAUCUAAUUGGAAAAGCAUAUCCAACACAUUGCACCCCAUCGAUAUCCAGAUUAUGUUCGUAUGAAGGAAAGUAGGAGGAAUUUGUGUGAAGUGAAGAAAUUGUUUAAGAAGAAAAGGAAGAUGAAGACGAAGCCCCACGGAAAACUGUUCUUUAGUAAAGUAUAUCAUGUUAUUCAGGAUAUCGACUGACGAUAAAGCUUCGUCGACUGAUAGUUGAAUCAAGAUGGUGUCCAGAACUCGAAAACGAGCACGAAACUCCUGCUUGGACAGGUCACCAACUGGCAAUUUAGCUUAGAGUGCCCGACUCUAGCAUUUUUUUCAUCUGCCUUGCUGAGGCCUUCUGUUGGUAUUAGUAAUUCAUCCUCUAUCCAUUAUAUCAUAGGGAUCUGGGUUGUGUGGAAACCUGCACGGAUCAAUGUAGUUGGCGGAACCAAUCAAUCAACCCAUUCGUCGUUUGGUGUUGCCCUAGUAACGGACAUUUAAAACUAAAUGAACUAUAAUCUAAAUCUAGAUGGAUUUGAUUGUGAAAACUUGUAGAAAAAACUCCUUCGCCAAUGACGAACGCUGAAUCGCAUACAUCACACCUUCGCACCAUCACGAUGAUAGUGAAAGCAUGAGACAACAACACAAAUACAAUGACGACAUAGAAGCAAACAAGAAGUCUAAAACACCCAAAAUCUGGACAUUGAUAUGUCCAUUUUCUCUCCAAACAAACAACACCAACACAAUCAGAAAAGCAAAAACUAGCCCAACAAAGAAUCAAAAUGACAGUAAAAAACUUACCUAAGCUAAGACCAAAACGCUUUUAGGCGAGAAAAGAAAUCCUCUAGUAGCAUACUAGUUGACGACGAUGGAAGUGAAAAGACGCAAUCGAUGGUAAGCAAAGUAAUGACAAAGAAGCAACAUAGACAAGAGAACACUAUGUAUAGGAAAUGCACCAAAUGACACGCAUCCCUUGGCGCCCAAAAACUAAAAAAAAACAGAUAAUCCAUCAUGCCCCAGUUCAUCAGCAACCUGACCAAACAGAGGUAGACGGAUUAGGAGGAAUUGUGGGAAGCUUCCCUCCACUUGUCCUUCAUAGGCUCAAGACCCUUUGGUCGCCCAAGGCAAGCAAAUAAUCCAUUUGGGAAAAAUUUAUUUGGACUAAGACAAGCUCUAUUUGGCGUAAGAGGAAAGACAAAUUUCCUUCUUCCCCAAUGCUAGACAGAAUGGAUAAACCAAGCUGACUGUGGGACUUUUAGAUGAGCAACCAAGCUAGUAGGAAAUUCCAAGCAUUGAGCGGAUGAUUAACCACCAACAAUGCCUAAGCGACAAUCAAAACAACAUUUACACCCAAAAAUCAAUGUCCUUCAAUUGUUAUUCGCAAUUAUUGACAUUGAAAAACGUAAAUGCACAACCAACCACAUGGUCCAGGAUGUUUGCAUGAUAGACAACAAAUGGCGCCAAUCAACAACUUUUAUUUGGUAUGAUUUCCCAAUCCACUCUAAGAUAAUGGCGUUGACUACCUUAUUAUGGCAUAUUAUUCGCCAUGACGACAAUCAUAAGUGCAAGAAAUGCAUGAAUGCACAAUCAACGAUGUGACGAUGGUGCCAUACAUUCUAUAAAAACCCCUCCAUAAGCAUGAAAAAGGUAUGUGUGUACAUAGCCAUUCAAAAAGUUAGAUUUACUCUUGCUAGACUUAAGUUUCAGAGGGGCAUGCCUGGACCACCUGUCCGGACAUCUUUUUGUGCAAGAAAAUAAUCCAUCUGACUUUGGUGAAAUUAGACGAGCCUGCAUCUAGUUGGCACAACACCAACUGACUCCAUUUUUUUUAUUGAAAUGAUAUAAAAAAAAAUACGUACAAAAAAAAUUCUCAUAAAAUCUUGAAAAACUAAUAAAUUUUUAUAUGACUUGAAAUUACAUGAAUAGUGGUGAGUUUAUGUCUUGAUAUAUGAAACUAUCUUAAAAUGGGCAAAUAGGUAAUCUAAGCUCGUAGUUCAUAAUUUUUAAAUUAAUUUAAUUUGUGGAAAUCAAUAGUUUUCAAUCACAAGACAUAUUACAAGUGUAGGAAUUCUAAAGUUCUAUUCCAAAAUCAGAGAUAUUACCUCUUACUUGAAAUCUUCAAUUUAUCAACCUUCAUUACUUCAAUAAGUUAAUCCAAGGUCACUCAAACUAAAUAUUUAUAAUUAAUGUAUUAAAGCCUAAAUACAUGGUAACCUAUAUUAAGAAAAACUAAAGAUGAGAUUACCAUGACUUGUAGCAUCUAGGUUGUCAUCCCCUAAGAUCCAUAUACUAGACUAUUCAACAAAGCAAAUCCUCUAUCUACAUUGAAAAUGUCUAAAAGUAAAGUUUUUUAUGAAACUAAUUCUUUUUCACACCACUAUCAUGAAAGUAAUAAAAUCUAUAGUAAAAACUUUUGAAGAGUUCAAAAAUCUAAUUUUAGAUUCAUAGAUUGAGAUAGUAACUUUUAACCCUAAGACAAAUAUCAAAGUUCACUAUGAUUGAAUUAGAUCUUAAGAUCAAUUUGCAUCUAGUGUUAAUAUUUAAGUUUAAGGUACUAUUCUCUUAAACAAAUUUAACAUGUCUAUUAUUUCAAUUUUGAGUUUAUAUACUUUCAUUACUAAUAUCCAUCAUGUAGGUUUGAUUCCUAGAGUUUCUCUCAGUGGAUCAAAUCAAGUUGACUAGUGAUCAAUGUAUCCCCAAACAUCACUAGUACCAUAGUAAGAAUCCUUUGUACUUAACCUAAGCCAAACCACAUAGAGGAUUAUUCUAAUUAAUUUAAACACAAAAUAUUUAUAAACAAUCCAAAUGAACUUUAAUGUUCUAUCGCACAUCUCUCUAUAUAUGAAUCAUCUAUCUUUAUGUUACUAUUAGGAAAACAACCUUUAGAUCUAGAUUAAAGAGUGCAUGCAACUAAGAUCCCAAGUGUAGUGAAAAGAUGCCUAUUUUUUCAAAAAAUUAUUCUAAGGUGUUCUUAAAAAACAUACCCUUGGAUUCGAUCCAAAUCUUUUUCCUAAUUUGCAGUAGAAAUCUCAAAUGCAUUGUGAUCUUCUACCUGAUGACUCUCUCUUGGAUCUUAGCUAUAAAGAAGAAUGGACCUCUCUUUAGAGGAAGUGAUGGUUAUGAUUUCUCUCAAAACAAAUUAUAAGACAACAUUUAGUCUAACCCUAAAUCCUAAGAGGAUUUAUAUAAACUAUCAAUUAGGCUUAAGUGACUAAGGCUCAUCAUAUGGGCUUAGGUUGUUUAAUCUUAGCCUAGUAAGUCUUAUUUAAUUAAUUAUGCUAAAUGGCGUCAAUUAAUUAAAUAGAUUAAAAAGAAAACCCAUAAGUCAUUUAAUCAUAAGCCCUUGCACAACCUUUGCUUAUACAAAUGCACCCUUAUGCAUACUUAUAAUUAAGUACUAAAAAAGUUCUCAAAAUAAAUACCACCAAAAAGUGUGAGCUCGAGUGGGACCACCAAAACCCAUAGGAAAGUAUGUAUUAGCUCCCUUAGAAUCAAAUUCUAAAAUUCACUCAACAUUCCAUUAAAAAAAAAGUCAAUUGCACUUCAAUAUCUUAUGAUAUUAGAUGGAGAUAGAAAACUUGGGUCUAUCACUUACUAUCCAUUGUAUGUAAGUUCCUUAUGAACUAAUGUUUAUAAUCCAAAAAUGUAGUAGCUAUCAAUCUUUAAAGAUCACUUCUCAAUCCUUGAGUCUUAAAUCCUCCUAUACCAUGACAAUUUGACAUACUCUAGUCCAGAAAGGAUGUAUGUCAAAUUUCGUUGAAGGAACUGCUAUAGCCAUAUACUACAUGAUCAUGAAAUCCUUGGGAUCAUGCAAAAGGAUAUAUUGUCUCAAAUCCAUGAGAUAUUAUAAUGUCUCUAUGGAUCAUAAUAUCUAUUGUUACUUUCCAAAACAGUCAGUCACCCAAUCCUUUGGGAAUAUAUAAUCACUUUAAGAUUUUACCCAUAGAUCAAAGUGAUUGAUGACCUCUACAUUAGCAUAAUAUUCUCUAAAGGUUGAGAACUCAUGCAAUUAAUAUUUAGUAGUUUUGACAACCCGAUAAUCAUUAGUCAUGAUCCUCCAAAGGUCUUGUUCAAUCUGUAACCAUACACACUAGUACACUUAUCAUGGUAAACCUAUCCUGAUGAGCAAAAUUAUUUAUUCCACCACUUAAGAGGUAGUAUACUAUGACUUUUGAUGGAUUGCCUAAGUCUAAAAACCAGUCAUAAACUAACUCAUCAACUUGUAAGAUGUUAGGAUAAAGCCUUUAAGAACAUGACAUGAUAUAACAAAAUUUAGAAUUUAUUAUUUAUUAAUAAAGUUCCAAUUUUACUUAUAUCUAUCCUUAUUUCAUGCAAUAUACUUUAUAAAUAUUCUGGUUUACAUCUUUUGCAUUGUACAUGAAUUGGAUGCAUUAGGAGUUAUAUAGAAAAUCUAAGUCAUGAGUCCCUUACAAGAGGAUGACUUGUUCACAACUAGUUCGUGUUCCUAGGCAGCCCAUUAGAAAAUGUAGUGCACUACCUCCUAAUUGGAGGGAUAAUUGGUUUUGGCCAUCAAGAUGGGUUUCCUGUACUAGUGUGUAUGGUUACAUAUUGGAUAAGACCUACAGUGAGUCUUGAUGUAAGACUCUCAAGUAGUUAUGAAUUCACCAAGUUGUUUCAUUGUGUUGUUUUUCAACAUUGAGUGAAUAUUGAGUUUAUACUAAAAUUAGUAGUGGUUUUGACCUACAAGUGAGAUUUUAAAGGGAUCAUAUAUUCCCUUAUGGAUUGACUCACUAUUGAUGGAACUUAUAACAAUAGGUAUUCUCAAUAAAGGUACCAUUUUAUCUCAUGAGAUUAAGAUAAAGUGUCUUAUUUGGUAAUCCUAAGAAAGUGUGUUUAUAUAAAUUAUGACUAUAGUAGUUCCUUAAGCGGUAUUGGACAUAAGCUCUUUGUAAGCUAAGAUUGAACAAGCAUAAAAGAAGAAUAGCUUAAUAAGGGCAAACAAAUUUAAGUUAAAACUGUUUUUCACAAGAAGGAAAAAAGAGAGAAGGCCACACAAGAGUGAUAAUUAGAAAAAUAUUAUGUACUAGUAACAAAAUGAUGGAGGGUCCCAAAGAGAAUUGUCUUUCACUUAAGCAUGAAUCUUAAAAAAAGUGAUGGCAACUUUUGGCCACUCAUAAUCACUACUUGAAAUGCUAUUCUUCACCAUACCACCAUAAAAUUGGUAUCUUUAAUCCACUUCUCAGCAAACAACAUUUUGAAAAGAAAAAUCCCUUUCAUCCAUUUUGGAGAAACACCAUCUAGUUACAAAUGAAAUUCUAAUCUAAGAAUUUAGCCAUAAGUAGUUCUUCUAUGAAAUAGCAUUCCAAACACACCUUCGUAUGGUCAAAAGUCAUCCAACUCAAAUACUAGAAUGAGUAGACUCGAUCUAAUUUUAUGACUCCGAAUGAAAUAUCUGCUCCUUGGAAUAAAAUGUAAAGAAUAUUUUUCUUUUAAUUUAUUUUAGGGAAACAUCUCCUAGGAUGUGGUCAGAAAGAAAAUUUAGAAUGCAUUUGGGAGUGAUUCUAAAAAGCGUUUCUCACAUUUUUAACCCUUGAAUGAUAAAAAUUUUCAAGUAUUAGAAAUAUUAAAAGCGCUUCUUAUAAUCACUACCAAAUGGGCUUUUAAUACAAGAAUAUAGUUAAAAUAAUCUAGAAAGUUGUAUUGGAAACAUUCCUUCAAUUAGAAAAAAAAAUUAAAUUAACAUUUUUAACAAGAUCAACUUAUUAUGAUUAAUUAUAAAUUUAAAAUUUUGUAGAAAUACAUAAUCAAGAUCCGAUUAGACUAGCGUUGCCAAUACAUGUCUGAUCCAAAAUGAAUUCGGAGUGAUACUUCUUUUCAAACCCAACUUAAAUUAUAAAUUAAGGAAUCCAAGAUUCUAAAAGAUGGUGCCAAGGAGCACGUAACAAUAAUGAUGAGAUAAGAAAAUAAGUGUAGACUGAAUACAGAAGAAUUGGAACCAAGUAGAGUUGAAAGUGAAUUGAGAGUGAAAGGACAGCUUGUAAGAGGACAUUUCUGGUUCUCAUUCAAAGUAAUGAAUUCUAUGUCGGUAGGCGUUCUGUUCUGCCUUCCUUGUUUUCUUUCUCUUUCACAAGGACUUGAUUAGGAAGACUUGAAGCCAAACCGAAGCAUUCCCACUUGCAACUUAGAUUAUCACUACAUUUGUCAAAGUCAAGUUGGACCAAGUGUUCAGUUUGGGUGUGAAUACAUUAACCAAUAAUUAUAUCAGCAAUAGCUUGAUAGGGUUUAUUCAGAGAGGACAACUUAAAAGGUGAAACGCAUCACACUAAUUUAGGAAAUUUUAGAAAAUGAUUGGACUAUAAUAAUACCCAAGCGAAGAAGAAAAAAUAAAUGGUAUUAAAAGCUAAAAUGAUAGAUGAAAUGUUUGUGGAUGACCUCUAAUCAGUUUUAUUUUUCUUUUUAAUUUUUUUUUAAUUUUAGCACUUAAAUGUUGGGUUUGAUUAAACAAUUAAUGAGAGAUAGAUAAUAGAAAUGAAUUGGAAACAGGCAUUGAUUGCAUGUCCUUAGACGGUUUUAUUUUUUAAAGGAAAGACAAAUGUUAAAACACACUCUUAAACUCUUUCUCCACUUGUCCAUUUUUUUUUUCAAAUAAAAAUAAAUAUGAUUGGAUAAACAUACCCUCUUCUUCAUCUUCUUAAUACCACUCCCUCACCAACCUUAGUUCUUCAAUUUCCUUCCCUUCCCUUCCUUCACCUACUAUAUAUUAUUGCUAUUACAGAAAGGGUUUUCCUUUAAGGUUAGGAAAGAUCAAACCAACUUAAUAUUUAUGCAAGUAAUGGAAAUAAAUUAUAUUAAGGCUACUCUUCCCAAAAUCAAAAGUAUUAAAAAGUUCAUGAAAUUUAAGGAAGAACAUACCAAACUAGUAACAACUCUUUUUUUAGGACAUUAAUGGCUCAGUUGAUCACCAUGCAUGAAAUUUAAUGGUUCAUGGAGGAUAAGUAUCUCUUAAUAUAUUUCAUAUUUAAUUCCUUGUCUCUUAAACAAUAUGGGUCAUUUCAAUUGAAUUAUAAUAUUUUUAAGGAUAAGUAGAAUGUUAAUAAAUUGGUUACUACCCUUGUCCAAGAGGAGAUAGGGCUAAAGCAACAAAUGAACUCAUGCACUUCAUUUUAUAAGCUUUCAACUAGCUAGAAAGAAGUCUACAAAGGGCACAAUCCAAUGACCAUAAUUGAAAUUAAAUGAGUCUUAUAAAGAUUCCCAAAAGAAUGAACAACAAGAAUAAUAAAAUAUCAUUUUUGAAAGAAAAUUGGGCAGUAUAAAAAAGAUUGCUAGCUAGAAACAUAAUGCAUCAUUUUUUUUAGAAAGAUAAGUUGAGUACUUACAUACAUUUUGAAUCAAAUUUAACAGAAGAUCCUUACAACCCUUAGUGGAUUGAUUCACACAUAACUACUCAUAUUUCUAACACAGCACAAGGAUUCUAUAAAAUCCAAAUCAUAAAUCUAAAUGAGAACUUAAAUCCAAUCAAAGCUCCAAUUGAAGCCGCUAGAAUUUGGCAUUUGAAUUUUAAGCUCCAAUUAAAUACAUUGGGAUUUAUUGUUUGAAUUUUAAACAACCAUUAGACUUGUUCUAGACACUUCAUAUAUAUUGUUUUCAAGCAAUUUGAUUUCUUUGUCUAAAAUUGAUGCUUCUGGAUACACUUUCAAAUUUAGGAAUAGGUGUUUCAAUUUUUCUAAAAAUAAUCAUCUCCUAAAUUUUAGUAUCUUACAUGAUGAUUUGUACAAGUUGAAAGGUGAGAAUCUUCUAAAUUAUAAAAAUUUUAGUACCAGAAUGUUUAGUAGAUAAGCCUUUAGCUUUCUUGUGGCAUAAAUGUUGGGGAUUAGUUAAUAAUGAAAUUCCUCCAAACUUAAAUUUAACUGAUACUCAAUGUGUAUGUGGAUUAUAUUAGAGUAAAACCAACUAAACUCCCUAAGAAAUGAGGUACUAGGAGAAUAAAACUUCUUGAGAUUAUAUACAUGAUAUAUGUAGGCAUUUUGAUACCCAUCAUUUGGUGGAGAAAAAUAUUUGUCAAUUUUAUUGAUGAUUUUCCACGUCAUGAUUAUGUUUACCUAUUGCAUAAAAAAAAAAAAUAAAAAAAUAAAAAAUCUCAAUUAACGAGCAUCUUUGGGCCAUACACUAGUGGGGUUGAAAGAUAUAAAAAAGAUGAAAAUUGUAAAGUCAUAUGUGGGUGGUGACUAUUAUGAUAAUUACAAUGAAUCAAUAAAUGUCUUGGAUCAUUUGCUAAAUUCCUUGAAAGAGAUGACAUGUGUGCUCAAUAUGUUAUGUAAGGCACACUAAUAAAGUGAUGUAAUUGAAAAACAUAAUCGUACUUUGAUGAACAUGAUUAAAAGUAUUUCAAGUAAUUUGUUUUUAUCCUUUUUAUUGUAGUUACAUUUUUUGAAAACCAUCAUUUAUUUUUUGAACUGCAUUCCUAGUAAGGCAUAUCCAAAGUUUCCUUUCAAACUAUGGACUAAAAGAAAACCUAGGUUAAGGCACAUGCACGUUUGAGGUUGUGAUGGGGGUUAGAAUAUGUAAUUCAAAGGGAAAGAAAUUAGAUUUUAAAAUGAUAAGUGGAUAAUUUAUUGGUUGUCCAAAAUAGUCUAGAAGUACAAAUUAAAUUUAUUGUCCAACUUAUAGUCCAAGGAUUUUAGAAAUUGGAAAUGCUAGAUUCAUAGAAAAUGGAGAAAUUAGUGGGAGUGGAGAACCGUGUAAUAUGGUUAUUAAUGAAGAAGUUAGGAUACAAGUUCCUUUACCCAAAACUUCAAAGGUUGUUGUUCCUAUAUAUACAAUUGUCAAACAAUUUGAUAACAUUUAAGAACAAAAAGUGAAUGAUCAAGCUUUUCAUAAUGAAACUAUAUUAAUUAACCCGUAGUAGACGAACCACAUGAAAUAGCAUUAAGGUCUCAAAAGAAAGGAGAUUAUGAAAAUCAUGUGGUACAUUUAUAAGUCAAUAUUUAACUUAAGAAUCAAUAAAGAUCCUACUUCAUUUUCACAUGCCCUAAAAGGUAUUGAUUUAGUUAAUUAAAUGGGUCGAUGCUAUGAAAUAAGCUAAAAUCAACAAAACAAAGUUGGCAUCUUGUUGAAUUGUUUGAAAGUCAUAAAAAUUUCUAUGUAAAUAGGUCUUUAAAACCAUGAAUAUAGUAGAAAUUUUGGCAAUAUAAAACCAUAUUGUUUGCCAAAGGUUUUAAUAAAAAGAAAAUGGCACAAAUAACGUAUUUCAUUGACAAGGGAGAGAUCUAGAGUAUUCACUUGCCAAGGUUAAAAGAUUCCCCCACAAUAAUAAUCACCUUCAACAAUAAUUAACAACCUAACAAGAAUCAAGAUUGAUAAUUAAGAAAAUUCAACCAAAAAGGGGACACCAAAUAUAACAUGGAAAAACCCUCCAAAUGGAGAUAAAAAACCACUGAAUUCUACUUUAAUAAGGGGGGAUACUAUAAUUAAGUCCUCAAAUUUCUUCGUCUUGAAAAGUUAUAUAAAUAUCUCAAUACCUAAGGUGGGAAUCCAUCACCUUAGGAAACAUGAACAGAAAGAAAUUAGGGAAAAAAAAUAUACCAUAGGGACUUCCCAAAAAGGUUGAUGAAAAAAACUUGUAACUUCACUUUGAGUCCCAAAAUAGUGCCCAAAAAACAACCCUAAUUUUAUUUUUAUUUUUAAAUCAAAUCUUCCUUCUCUCAUAAUACCAAAGAUCUAAUGCUCAUGGGUUAAACAAACAUAGCCUAACAAUCUCCCCCUCUAGCACAUGAGCGAGGAAUGCCAAUCUAUAACUCCAACACAUGGAGUUUAAACCCUGCUGUCGUAAUGGACAAUUGAAGCUUCUACUGGGGAACAACCUUUAUAAAUAUAUCUGAGGCAUUGUUGUUUCUAUUAAUCUUCUUCAAUUUGGCUACAUUUUCUUCAACUAUAUUGUCCUUUCACAUAUAUUUUUCUUAAUUUUUAUGUUUUUUUUAAAUAAAAAUAAAAAAAGAGAUGUGGAUAUAAAAAGAGAAAUGAUGGAUGUGUUUAAAAUUUAUCUUCCCUAAAACAUUCUCAUAUUAUCUUUUUAAAAGAAUUCAAAAAUACUUUCUACUAAUUUUUUUCUUAUUUUCAUUAUUAUUAUGAUUAUUAUUAUUAUUUUUCAUGAUAUUCAAAUAUAAGAAAACAUCUCCCUUAAUAUGCAAAAUUUUCAAAUUUUCAUAAUUAUUAUUUGUAAAAGGUGGGGCCAUUGAAUAAGACUUCCUUAAGAGAGCCUUGAUUCUCUCUCUCUCUCUCUCUCUCUCUCUCAUCCUUCUAUUUUCUUGCCAAUUUAAAAAGACUUUAGGAAGACCUUGAUGCCUAAAACUAUAUACAAAGUGAACCCUCAAUUAGGCCGAAACAUCAACCUCAUACUCUCAUGAUCAAUUCAAUAAUGUUUCCGACCAAUAAAACUCUUGUAUAAAUGGUCGAAAAAUGUCUACAUAAUUAAAUUUAUUUUUUAUCAGAUGAAUUAAGAAUUAUAAUUAUAGUUGAAACAUGGUCUUUGAGAAGACAACUGAAAAUAAUUGAAACCUUAUGAAAAUAUUUAGGAGAGGUGAGAAAAUGUUGAUCACCAUACCGAGUAAUGUGAAUAAAUGGAAAGAAAAAAUGUUCAGCUUAAAGAAUUGACCAUUCACUACGUGUUGUUUGAGCUAAACAAAAGGUAGGCCAAAAAAAAUGACUGAGACUUCCUUUUUAUGUUGAUGGAACGCACAAAAGAAUUCCGAAUUUCCAAGUGAUAAUGACUUUAUUAUUAUAGAUAGUUUUAUAUUUUCAUUAUAAAAUGAAAUGGUGCAAAUAUUGAAUUCAUUCAAUAUCACUGUCUUUCUAAAUUAAGUCAACUAUACAUGUAUAAGUCUAUAAAAUUGAAUUAAAUAUUUAUAUUCUUUUAUCAAAAUAAUACAAAAUCAUAGUUAAUAUGUUUUUUUAAGAACAAAAGCAGGAAAUAAAUAAAUAAAUUUCCACACAAAUUGUUGUGUGGAAAAAAUGAAUAAAUUUUUGAAAAAGAAAAUAAUAAAUUGUUGUGUGACUUGGAAUAACAUGAAUGGGAAAAUAAUUGAAAGAAAAAGCAAAAAUGGUCAAAUUAAGGUGAUGUUUGUUAUUUUACUUCAUUCUAAAUAGAACUUUAAUAUUUAAUAGUAUUAAGUAUUAGACUAUUUAUUUCUAUUAAGUAUUAAAAGGUAAAGAAAAUCAAUAUAUAUUACUUUUUAUAUUUAGAAAAAAAAACCAAAUAUUUUGACUUUUUCUAUUUAACAAAAAAUUUAUAAUAAGUCAUGAAAAAAAUAUAAAAACAAACAACCAAAAGUUUGAAAAUAAAUUGCUUUUACAAAAAACUAAAAAAACAAACACCCUCUAAGAUUUUGAUUAAUAAUGAUAUUAAUGGUCAAGAGUGAAGAGAUUAAAAGGGAACUCACUCCUCCAAAAGGUUUAAAUUGGAUCAUUCUUAAAACUUCACUUAAAGAUCAAUUUUAGCGUUAUGAUGGUUGAUUGAGAAGUGGAUUAAUUUUCUAAUAUUAAUUGUCCUAUGAUGAUGAUGAUGAUGAUUAUUAUUAUUAUUGUUAUUAUUAUAUUUAAAAUAUGCUGUGGAAAAAUGUAUAUAAAGAAAAAAACAAGAUAUAUAAAGUGAGGUGUCAUCUUAUGUGUAACUAUAUAACCGUUUCUCAUCUUGAAACAUCCAUAAAAGUAAUGUUUAAACAUGUGUGGGCUUAGUAGUCUCUCCCAGCUGCUGCCAAUGAGAAUUCUAUUCUUUUUAUGGAUUUUAUUCAUGCCCUUAUGCCCGAUCUUUUUUGGUAUGCAUUGUACUUCGGUGUCUGGCGAAUGUCUGAGUGAUGGGAGGGUAUGCCUGGAAGAUGAGGUGUUGUUGCUGCUGCAACUGAAGAGCAGCCUCAUAUUUAAUACUGCUGCAUCGAAUAAACUAGUUUCCUGGAUUCAAAGCGCGGACUGCUGUUCUUGGGGAGGUGUAACCUGGGACGCCACUGGUCGUGUUGUCUCUCUUGAUCUCAGUAGCGAAUUCAUUUCUGGUGAACUCAAUAGCUCCAGUAGCAUUUUCAGUCUACAAUAUCUCCAGAGCUUGAAUUUGGCUAACAACACCUUCUCUUCUCAAAUUCCAGCAGAAUUCCACAAGCUUGGAAACUUAACUUACCUGAAUUUGUCCAACGCUGGCUUUUCUGGGCAGAUUCCAAUUGAGAUUUCCUACUUGACAAAGUUGGUUACUAUUGAUCUAUCUAGCCUUUAUUUCAUCACCGGUAUCCCAAAACUGAAACUUGAGAACCCAAAUCUGAGAAUGCUGGUUCAGAACCUCAAGAAGCUAAGAGAACUCCAUCUUGACGGUGUAAUCAUAUCAGCCCAGGGAAAGGAGUGGUGCUGGGCAUUAUCAUCUUCAGUACCUAAUCUCCAAGUGCUGAGCUUGUAUAGCUGCCAUCUUUCAGGCCCUAUACAUUAUUCCCUGAAGAAGCUUCAGUCCCUCUCAAGGAUUCGUCUGGAUGAUAACAAUAUUGCUGCUCCAGUUCCAGAAUUCCUCUCCAAUUUCUCAAAUUUGACUCACUUGCAGCUCAGUUCUUGUGGAUUAUAUGGAACAUUUCCAGAAAAGAUCUUUCAGGUACCAACCCUCCAGACUCUUGAUUUGUCAUACAACAAGUUGCUCCAGGGUUCUUUGCCAGAAUUCCCUCAGGGUGGAUGUCUAGAAACCUUGGUGCUCUCGGUUACAAAAUUUUCAGGGAAAUUACCCAACUCCAUAGCGAAUCUCAAGAGGUUGGCUAGAAUAGAGCUUGCAGAUUGUGAUUUCAGUGGUCCAAUCCCAACGGUGAUGGCAAACCUUACUCAAUUGGUUUACUUGGACUUCUCUCAUAAUAAGUUCUCUGGUGCAAUCCCAUCUUUUAGUUUGUCCAAGAAUCUAACCCUAAUAGACCUUUCUCAUAAUAAUUUAACAGGUCAGAUUUCUUCCUCUCACUGGGUUGGUUUUGUGAAUUUAGUGACUAUUGACUUUUGUUACAAUUCACUGUAUGGAAGUCUCCCGAUGCCCCUGUUCUCCCUCCCGUCACUGCAGAAGAUAAAACUUAACAACAACCAAUUUUCUGGUCCAUUUGGUGAAUUUCCAGCUACGUCUUCUCAUCCCAUGGAUACCCUUGAUUUGAGUGGCAACAAUCUGGAAGGGCCAAUACCUGUAUCCCUCUUUGAUCUCCAGCAUCUUAACAUCCUUGACCUUUCUUCCAACAAAUUCAAUGGCACUGUUGAGCUAAGCCAGUUUCAGAAACUUGGAAAUCUUACUACUCUUAGUCUUUCGUACAACAACUUGUCCAUCAAUCCAAGUCGUAGUAAUCCCACUUCUCCUCUUCUGCCAAUUCUUUCCACGUUAAAAUUGGCUUCUUGCAAGCUCAGAACAUUACCUGAUCUUAGCAGCCAGUCAAUGUUGGUAAUUUUAGACCUUUCCCAAAACCAAAUUCCGGGGAAAAUACCAAAUUGGAUUUGGAAGAUUGGUAAUGGCUUUCUUUCUCAUUUGAAUCUCUCUCAUAAUUUACUGGAGGGUUUGCAGGAACCUUUGUCCAAUCUUCCUCCGUUUCUGUCUACCCUUGACCUUCAUUCCAACCAGCUCCGUGGGCCAAUCCCCACUCCACCAUCUUCCACCUAUGUGGAUUACUCAAACAACAGGUUCACCUCUUCCAUUCCCGAUGAUAUUGGUACUUACAUGAACGUCACUGUUUUCUUCUCUCUUUCAAAGAAUAACAUCACUGGAAUUAUUCCUGCAUCAAUCUGCAAUGCCCAUUACCUGCAAGUUCUUGACUUUUCUGACAACAGUUUAAGUGGCAAAAUACCCUCAUGUUUGAUUGAGAACGGGGAUCUUGCAGUGCUGAAUCUACGGAGAAACAAGUUUAAGGGCACUAUACCUGGGGAAUUCCCAGGUCACUGUCUUUUACAGACCCUAGAUCUCAAUGGGAAUCUUUUAGAAGGAAAAAUUCCAGAGUCUCUGGCCAAUUGCAAAGCAUUAGAGGUUUUAAACCUUGGGAACAAUCGGAUGAAUGAUAUCUUUCCUUGCUGGUUGAAGAACAUUAGCAGUCUGCGUGUUCUUGUUUUGCGAGCCAACAAAUUCCAUGGACCCAUUGGAUGUCCAAAUAGCAAUUCCACCUGGCCAAUGCUUCAAAUUGUCGAUUUAGCUUGGAACAAUUUUAGCGGUGUGUUGCCAGAAAAAUGUUUCUCAAACUGGAGAGCAAUGAUGGCAGGUGAAGAUGACGUCCAAUCCAAGUCCAAUCACCUGCGAUUUAAGGUCCUAGCAUUCAGUCAAUUGUACUAUCAGGAUGCAGUAACAGUUACCAGCAAAGGUCAAGAAAUGGAGCUUGUGAAGGUCCUAACUCUCUUCACUUCCAUUGAUUUCUCAUGCAAUAAUUUCCAAGGGGACAUACCAGAAGAUAUAGGAGACUUGAAGUUACUUUAUGUUCUCAACUUAUCUGGUAAUGGUUUCACAGGCCAAAUCCCAUCAUCACUAGGACAGCUGCGACAGCUUGAGUCAUUAGACCUCUCACUGAACAAGCUGAGCGGGGAGAUCCCUGCACAGCUCUCGAGCCUAAAUUUCCUUUCGGUCCUGAACCUCUCUUUCAAUGGAUUGGUGGGAAGGAUCCCUACAGGUAAUCAAUUGCAAACAUUUUCAGAAAAUUCAUUUGCAGGUAACAGAGGAUUAUGCGGCUUCCCUUUAAAUGUAAGUUGCGAAGAUGCUACACCACCCACGUUUGAUGGCAGGCACUCAGGUUCCAGGAUAGCGAUUAAGUGGGACUACAUAGCUCCUGAAAUUGGAUUUGUGACAGGGCUGGGAAUCGUGAUUUGGCCUCUUGUGUUGUGUAGGAGAUGGAGGAAAUGCUACUACAAACAUGUUGAUGGAAUUCUUUCAAGGAUUCUCCAUCAGAAAAACCAAGGAAGAGAAAGUGGUGGAAGACGAGGUCACGGAAUUCGGAGGCGGAGAAUGUAGCACUGAUGAAGAGGGAUGUGACCACUGGCCAUGAGUCUAUUUCCAUUAAUUCAAUCCGAAACAUUAAAAAGGGGUCCAUAAUAUUAUUUAAGUAAAUGUAUAAUUUUAUAUUUGGACAAUGCCAUGGUGUAGAUUUUUAUAGUAACGUUACUCUUACCUUUAGUGAUGCGAGUAUCAUGGUAUAUAAAUAAACGGUUUUUAUAUAAUAAAGAAUUUAAGUUGUAAAACCACUCCAUGAAAGCUUUCCUACAAAUAUAACAUGUUAUAUUUAAGAAAUUUGAAACAAAGCUAUAGAAAAUUGUUUUUACAUAUUAAAUAGAAAAUAUCUUUUCUACCCAUGUCCAGAAAUGCUUUUUAUGUACAGCCACAGUCUAUAACCAUUUUAAACCUACCCAAAUUAAAAUUCUAACUAGGGUGAUUCAGGGAGCCACUCAAGCUGGGCUGGAGAAUGGGUAAAGAUAUGUUGGCUGGAUGUGGGCCCGAGUUGGGCUAAACUUCGUUGGGUGGAUUUCUGUUGGUAUUAAAAAAUAUGGGCCUGGUUGUUACAAACGAAGACCCCCAAUGAGGGAGCUAGGUCCAUAUUCAGCCCAAUCAGCACAUCUGAAGCCAUAAGGGAUUUAACAACAUGAGCUUGAAAACUAAAACCCAAAACCAUUCCCUAAAUUAUCAAAAUCCAUGUCCAGCUUGGCAUUCAAAUUGAAUUUCCCUAAGCAGGUUCAAUCUCUCCUUCCCUAUUUCACCCUUUAUGAAUCCAUGACCUUCACAUCAUACCCCGCAAAUGACUGUACAGUUUUUGGGUUUGUUUUUGCCUUCCUAAUCAACUUUUAUGUUAAGGUAAAGAAUUCAUUUGGGUCUUCACAUAGUAGUUUAUCUAUCAUUUGUAAUUAUUGUGAGAAAAGAUUAUAUAAUUUCACUUCUUUUUUUUUUUUUUCAUCUAGUUUUAGGAUGCAUUGGUACAUGGAAAUGAAAAUGGAAAUAUGAUGGAAAUGGAGGUAAAUAAUAAGUGAGAGUAAAAUUUAGUUUCCAUGAUAAUGAAUCUUUUUAUUCCUAUUUUCAUUCUAAGAAACUAUUCAACCACAUUAAUGAAAGGAAAAUUGAAUUGAUUUCUCAUUCCUUAUUUUGCUAUUCCAAACAUGGCUUUUAAUCUAUUUUACUUUUAAAAGAAAGAAAAACUUAUCUUUAAGGACUCAAGGAUGUACCAAACGUAAUUAGAGUUGGUAAGUAGUUAAUAGAUUGUCCAUUGUUUGUAACUAAUUAGAAGGUUGUAAGUUAUAUAAUUUGUGGCUACUUAUUAGUGUUGCUGUGUGGUUGUUCAAUUUUUUAGUUUUUAUUUUUUUUAUCAAUUUUCUCUCAAACAAGUGCUCUGGAUCUCUUACGUACUCUCUCCAUAUUGAUUGUUUUGUACGUAGCUACCAAAGAGUUUUAGAAAGUGUAUGCUUGAGGCACAUAACAUGAGAUCUUUCAAAGUUUGCAAAUCAUAACAAAAAAAGAUAUGUAGAUUUGUGACACUUUGAGGUAAUGAGACAUUGGAGAUGGAAAUAUUGAAAAUGAUGUCUCUUCUCUCAUUAAAAUUUUUCUCUUGGUUGAAAAUUUAUAGCACAAUUUAUUGAAUAUUAAUUAAUUUUGUGACAAAGAUUUUUAUAUUAUUUUUUUUUUUACUUAAUUUGUUGUAUUAUUAAAGAUAUUCAAAAUGAUGAAAUCAUUUCCUGAGGGUCAUAAAAAUAAAACGGUUUAUACUACAAAACAUAAUAAAAAAUAUAAUUAAUGACCAUGAAAUUUUUUUUCUAUAUAUGAUUAAUUCGAUUUGAAGACUAAUAUAAGUGUUUAAUCAUCUCUAAUCUUACAUAUUCAUCCCAAUGUUACUUUUUAAUAAGCCUUUUUCCUAGAGUCAACAAUCUCUCCCCUAAGAUAGAGCUCCUAUAAUUCGAACUCAUGAUCUAAUUUUGAUAUCACUUGUUAAGAUCAAGAACUUAGCUAUAUUAUCUUUGAAAAUCAAUUUGCUAUCAAUGAGGUCAUCCUAAUCCUUUUUAUGUGGUUCUCGUUCGUACUCAUCUUGAGACUUAACCAUCUCGAGUGAAAUAUUGGUGCCUUAGCAUCUUCCGCUUUACACAUUUUUCAAUAGCCAUUUUUUGUAAGAAGCAACAAUAUUAUUGCACACUUAACAACUUUCUCCUUCCUUUGUCUUACGUAGUUUGAUGCUUUGAUAGGACAAUGACCAGAACCGGAGAUUAGAGGAUGACCAACAAUGACCACCUUUUUGAUGCCCUAAUUCAUGAAUAACUAACAUGCUUUGAUACUAUUUUGAAUCUUUGAUACUCUGAUUCACCAAUGGCCUUCAAACUGACGAGUUGAUUCCAUUUCAAAUUAGUGUGUUAAUGAUGCUGAUGCUGUUCUGAUUAGAGGAAGCUGAUGGUGCUCGAAUUUGAAGCUGGGGAUUCUGUUGCAGGGUACUGAUUAUACCAGUGCUAUAAUAUGGUAGUGAUUUUGUUUAUUGGAGAAGGAGAUUUUGAAUAUUUGAUCGAUGCUGCUAGUUGAAAGGUAUUUUUGAUAUUUAAAUAUUUUUGAUGAAUAUGCUCCAAUCCAGGACAUUGUUUGAUCAAUAGGCCCAAUACGUAAUUUCCUAGUUUGUUUUUUAGUAAUUGGAAGUAAAGAGAAAUUUGAGGGUGUGCAAACUUAAGGGUAAGUGAGUUUGACAUUACAAGUGGCUAUUGUGAAAAUUUAUGUAGAAUCUAUUAUUUUUUAAUUUUUUAUAAUUAUUUUAAUUUUAAUAAUAUAUAAAUUAUGUGUUUAUAGCAUUAUCAAUUUGAUCAAAGUUCAAUGAAUAGUUUGACUGUUGAACCGUAAAUCAAUGACUUUUUCAAUUUAGUUCUCUAAAAUAUUAAACAUUGCAAAUGGGAGUACAUAUUAAUUAAAAAACAAACAAACAAAACUUAUCUUUACGUCAAGAACUUCAUAUUUGCUCAUUUUAGGACUUUUAAUAAUGGAGGAACGUAUCAUGCAUUUGCCAUAAUGAAUGAUUUAGGUACAUAUGAGUUUUAUUUUUAAGUUAUAAAAAUGAACCUUCUCUUUUUCUGUCAAAAUCUUGCAAAAAGGUUAAAAAUGAAAAACAAAAAAAAAUUACAAUCACUUAUAAUCUGUAUUGAUCAUGGACAUAAUUUUUCUAUUUCUAAAACACCUUAAUAGAUAGGUUGUUGAAGAGAAAAAUAAAUCUAUAUAAGAAACGACAAAAACUUGGCUUAAUGAAAACAAUUUUUCUUAAUGAAAAUAGUUUUCUAAUUAUUUUGGGUGAAAGCAUUUAAUAUUACUUGCUAUAUUUUAAAUAACGUUUGAUAGAUAAACUCAUCAUUAGAGUUUUCAAGGUCUUUAUGUUCUUUACGUAAACUUUUUAAGAUGAUCUUUAAUAUUCUUUAUUCAGUAAUAAUGUUUUUGUUUUUAUUACUUGAUUUGUAUAUUAAAAAAGUAAUUAAGCUCCCUUACCAUAUGCUCAUUUCAAAUUCAUUUUCUAUAUAUAUACUAAGAGAAUUAUUGACAAAGAGAGAUGCUAGUAGCACUAAAUAUUAUGUUGUCAACAUAAAUUUAAACUAAGAGCAUGUCAUUACAUUUGGUUUUAAUAAAUAUUUUAGUGUCCAUUCUAUCCAUUUUUAAUCUAUUAUCAAGCAUAGUUUUGUUUACCCAAUUGAAUUAGAAGUGAACAUCAAAAUAUUUUUUUCCAAACUUUAUGAAAGUCACAAUAUGUAGCAUUUAACAUGUAUGAGGUUUACAUGUAACGGUCAAUAUUUUUACUCAACCUUGUUUGAAAUUAAUAUAUAAACUCAUAUUAUUUCAAAUGGGUAGAAUUUGUUUUGUGAAAAUUUCAAGGCAUGAAACAACUUCUCAUAUAAAUUAAAAAAGAAUAUGAAAAAACUUAAAUACAUCAUCCAUACUUUUUCAUACUAUUUUUUUUUUUAAUGAAAUGACUUAAAUAAAUUCAAGAGCAUUUACGUCCUUAAAAACGUGUUUAAAGAAAAUAAAAGAAGAAAAGAAAGCAAAAUAAAACAAAACUUAAAUACAUUAUCAAUGUAACUCAAAAAGAAAAGGAAAAAAAACUUAAAUAUAAUAUCCAUAUUUUUAUAUUGAACAAUUUUUCAUUAAAAUUAACUAAAUAAGUUUGAAUGCAAGUUCAAACUUAAUUUAAUCCUAAAAUUAACUAAAAUUUAAUUUUAAUGCUAGGUUCAUAGAAAAUGCUAGGUUCAUAGAAGAUGGUGAGGUUAAUUAGUGAGAGUCAAGAACUAUGUAAUAUGAUUAUUAAAGAAGUUAGAAUGCAACUUCCUUUAACCAAAACUUCAAAGAUUGUUGUUCCUUACAAUUAUUAAACAAUUUGAUAACAUUUAAAAACAAAAAGUGAAUGAUCCAACUUUUCAUAAUGAAAUUGCACUAAUUAACCCAUAGUAGAGGAAGGGCACGCGUGAAAUAGCAUCAAGGUCUCAAAACAAAGGAGAUUAUGCAAAUCAUGUGGUACAUCUAUAAGUCAAAAAUUUAACUUUUUCAUUUUUACAUGCCCUAAAAGAUAUUGAUUUAGUUAAUUAAAUGGACCAAUGUUAUGAAAUGGGCUAAAAUCAAUGAAACAAAAGUUGACAUAUUGUUGAAUUGUUUAGAAGUCAUAAAAAUUUCAGUGUAAAUAGGUCUUUAAAACCAUGAAUCUAGUAGAAAUGUUGACAAUAUAAAACCAUAAUUUUUGCCAAAGGUUUCAACAGAAAAAAAAAAAAAAAUGGCAUGAAUCACGAAUAUCCCUGUCUCACCCCAUCUCUAAAACACGUUCAUUUAGAAUCUUUAUGGCAUUGAUAGACUUGGAGUAACACAUUCAUUUUAAAAUGACUUAACGUAGCUAGGAAGACUUUGAGGUCUAAAGUUAUAGAGAAGUCAAUAAGCUCUUGGGAAAAACAUGAAGCACAUACGUCUUCUAUAGGACAAGAUAGGAGUAUUGUAUGUUCUCUUUGCCACAGCGACUCCUGUCACUCUCACAGCCAACUUCCAUGAUCCUUCCCACAGAAGUAUCAAAGUCGAGGUGGUCGACCAAGAUCUCUGUUAUAGUGUGAAUACCUUUACCACAAAGAGUUGUAAGAUAAGCAUGAAGAAUGUGUUCAAGAUACAUUUAGAAUGCUGUGUUGUUUAUGCAUAACUAGACACCCCCCUUUCUUUUUUCUUUCUGUUCAAACAUCUACAAAAAAAUAAAAUAAAAUAAAAUAAAAAAUCAUAUUAAACAUGUUUUGUUGUAGCAGUAUCUCCCAGCUGCUUCCAAUGAGAAUCCAAUUCUUUCAAUGGCUUUAUUUCUUGCCCUUAUGCUUAAUCGUUUUUGGUAUCCAUGUUGCUUUGGUGUCCGGGGAAUGUCUGAGUGAUGGGAGCACAUGCCUGGAGGAUCAGAUGUCCUUGUUGCUGCAACUGAAGAGCACCCUCAAACACAAUGUUGCUGCAUCAAGUAAACUAGUUUCCUGGAAUCCAAGCGGGGAUUGCUGUUCUUGGGGAGGUGUAACCUGGGACUCCAGCGGUCAUGUUGUCGGACUUGAUCUGAGUAGCGAAUUGAUUUCUGGGGGGUUCAAUAGUUCCAGUAGUCUUUUCAGUCUACAACAUCUCCAGCGCUUGAAUUUGGCUAACAACAGCUUCAACGAUUCUCAAAUUCCGUCUGGAUUCGGUAAGCUUGGCAAUUUGAUUUACCUGAAUUUGUCUAGCGCUGGGUUUUCUGGGCAGAUUCCAAUUGAGAUUUCACGCUUGACGAGGUUGGUUACUAUUGAUUUCUCUAUCCUUUACUUCCUUGGACUUCCUACGCUGAAACUCGAGAACCCAAAUCUGAGAAAGCUGCUUCAGAACCUCAGAGAGCUUAGAGAACUCCAUCUUAAUGGUGUAAAUAUAUCGGCUGAGGGGAAGGAGUGGUGCCAGUCAUUAUCAUCUUCAGUGCCUAAUCUCCAAGUGCUGAGCAUGCCAAACUGUUAUCUUUCUGGCCCUCUUGAUUCUUCCUGCAGAAGCUUCGGUCUCUCUCAAGCAUUCGCCUGGACAAUAAUAACUUCUCUGCUCCUGUUCCAGAAUUCCUUGCGAAUUUCUUGAAUUUGACUCUAUUGCGGCUCAGUUCUUGUGGAUUACAUGGAACCUUUCCAGAGAAGAUCUUUCAGGUACCAACCCUACAGAUUCUUGAUUUGUCAAACGACAAGUUACUACAAGGUUCUUUGCCGAAAUUCCCUCAGAAUGGAUCUCUAGGAACCUUGGUGCUCUCGGAUACAAAAUUCUCAGGGAAAGUACCAUACUCCAUAGGCAAUCUCAAGAGGUUGACUAGAAUAGAGCUUGCAGGUUGUGAUUUCAGUGGCCCAAUCCCAAACUCGAUGGCAGACCUUACACAACUGGUCUACUUGGACUUAUCUAAUAACAAGUUUUCCGGUUCAAUCCCACCUUUUAGUUUGUCCAAGAACCUGACCCGAAUAAACCUUUCUCAUAAUUAUUUAACAGGCCCGAUUUCUUCCUCUCACUGGGAUGGCCUAGUGAAUCUAGUGACUCUUGACUUGCGAGACAAUUCACUGAAUGGAAGUCUCCCCAUGCUCCUGUUUUCCCUCCCAUCACUGCAGAAGAUACAACUGAGCAACAACAAAUUUUCUGGUCCCUUGAGUAAAUUUUCAGUUGUGCCUUUUUCUGUACUGGAGACCCUUGAUUCGAGUAGCAACAAUCUGGAAGGGCCAAUACCUGUAUCUGUCUUUGAUCUCCAUUGUCUUAACAUCCUUGAUCUUUCUUCCAACAAAUUCAAUGGCACUGUUGAACUAAGCAGCUUUCAGAAACUUGGAAAUCUUAGCACUCUUAGUCUUUCAUACAACUUCUUGUCCACCAAUGCGAGUGUUGGUAAUCCCACUUCACCUCUGCUGUCGAAUCUUACCACAUUGAAAUUGGCUUCUUGCAAACUCAGUACAUUACCUGAUCUUAGCACCCAGUCAAGAUUGACACAUUUAGACCUUUCCGAUAACCAAAUUCGCGGGAGCAUACCUAAUUGGAUUUGGAAGAUUGGUAAUGGAUCUCUUAUGCAUUUGAAUCUCUCUCAUAAUUUACUGGAGGAUCUGCAGGAAACUCUCUAAUUUUACUCCUUAUUUGUCCAUCCUUGACCUACAUUCCAACCAGCUCCAUGGCCAAAUCCCCACUCCUCCCCAAUUUUCCAAAUAUGUGGAUUACUCAAACAACAGUUUCAACUCUUCCAUCCCAGAUGAUAUUGGUACUUACAUGUCCUUCACUAUUUUCUUCUCUCUUCCGAAGAAUAACAUCACUGGAAGUAUUCCUAGAUCCAUCUGCAAUGCAACUUACCUGCAAGUUCUUGACUUCUCUGACAAUGACUUUAGUGGCGAAAUACCAUCAUGUUUAAUUCAGAAUGAGGCUCUUGCAGUGUUGAAUCUAGGGAGGAACAAGUUUGUUGGCACUAUACAUGGGGAAUUGCUGCACAAGUGUCUUUUACGGACGCUAGAUCUCAGUGAGAAUCUUUUACAAGGAAACAUUCCAGAAUCUCUAGUUAAUUGCAAAGAGUUAGAGAUUUUAAACCUUGGGAACAACCAGAUUGAUGAUAUCUUUCCUUGCUGGUUGAAGAACAUAAGCAGUUUGCGUGUCCUUGUUCUGAGAGCCAACAAAUUCCAUGGAACCAUUGGAUGUCCCAAGAGUAAUUCUACCUGGGCAACGCUUCAGAUUGUCGACCUAGCCUUCAACAAUUUCAGUGGUAAGUUGCCAGCAAAAUGCUUAUCGACCUGGACAGCAAUGAUGGCGGGUGAAAAUGAAGUCCAAUCCAAGCUCAAAAUCCUGCAAUUUAGGGUUCAACAAUUCAGUCAAUUGUACUAUCAGGAUACUGUAAGAGUUAUCAGCAAAGGUCAAGAAUGAGUUGGUGAAGAUCCUAACUCUCUUCACCUCCAUUGACUGGUCGUACAACAAUUUUGAAGGGGAGAUACCAGAAGUGAUAGGGAACUUCACAUCCCUUUAUGUUCUCAACUUAUCGCAUAAUGGUUUCACAGGCCAAAUCCAAUCGUCAAUAGGGAAUCUGCGACAACUUGAAUCAUUAGACCUCUCGCAAAACAGGCUGAGUGGAGAGAUACCUACACAGCUUGCGAACCUAAAUUUCCUUUCAGUCCUGAACCUCUCAUUCAACCAAUUGGUGGGAAGGAUCCCUACAGGUAAUCAAUUGCAAACAUUUUCACCAAAUUCCUUCGUGGGUAACAGAGGAUUAUGCGGCUUCCCCGUAAACGUAAGUUGCGAAGAUGCUACACCACCGGCGUCUGAUGACGGGCACUCAGGCUCCGGGAUGGAGAUUAAGUGGGAAUACAUAGCUCCUGAAAUUGGAUUUGUGACAGGAUUGGGAAUCGUGAUUUGGCCUCUAGUGUUGUGCAGGAGAUGGAGGAAAUGCUACUACAAACAUGUUGAUAGAAUUCUUUCAAGGAUUCUCCAAGGAAGAGCAAGUGGUGGAAGAAGAGCUCACAGAAUUCGCCUCCGGAGGCGGAGAAUGUAGCCGUGGUGCAGAGGGAUGAAGUGAUUAGUCAAGAGUCCAUUUCCAUUAAUCCAAUCCUAUGUUUCAUUGAAGGAAUAUUAAAAAGGGGUCCAUAUUAUUGGAUGGGCCUUCAAUCCGUGUGUCAAAUGUAAUUCUGGCUUGCUUCUUAUAAAUUUAAUCGAAUGCAUAAUUUUAUAUUUGGACAAUGUCAUGGUGAAGUAGAUUUUCAAAGUAACAUUUUUCUUACCAUAUUCAGCCCAAUCAACACAUCUCAAGCCAUAAGGGAUACAACAUUGAUAAGCAAGUAAUUAUCAUACUAGGUGGUAAGGUGGCUGCCCAUCUACUUAUAAAAGUUUCAUCCUCUUACAGGCUUUCACAUUAAAUUUGGCAAUGGUUCUCACUUUAUUUUAUUUUUUACCACAUUUUUUUAUUAUUUUGUUAAUUUAUGGGAAGAAAAAAAUUUAUCAAUUUUUUUUAUAGUCCAUUGUUCCAAUGAAAUGAUUAAACAAUGAUAAGAGUAUGAGAUUUUCAAAAGUAGAAGGUCAAUCGAUAUAACUUGUAAAUUUUUAGAUUUUAAUGGAAUUUGAAAAGUACUAAUAUUAUCAUGCAAGUGAAAUAACAACAUGAACUUGAAAAAUUAAACCCAAAACCAUCUCUAAAAUUAUCAAUAUCCUGACCCAACUUCACAUUCAACUUGAAUCUCUUUAAACAAGUUCAAUCCUUUCUAUUUUUCAAUUUUCUUUCACUUUUUUUUUUCUUUCUAGAAUUAGACUCUUUAUGGGUACCAUGAAAAAGAUUGCUAGCUAGGAAUGUAAAGCAUGGUUUUUAAGAAUGAUAAGUGCUCAUAUAUAUUUUGAAUCAAAUUUAAGAGAAAGUUCAUUACAAUGAAUUGAUUUUCACUUAACUACUCAUAAUUCUAGUAUGAUACAAGGAUUCCAUAUAAUCCAAAUCAUAAAUCCAAAUAAGAACUUUAUGUCUAUGGGAAAUCUAAUAAGCUCUAAUUGAAGUCAUCUAAAUUUAUCAUUUGAUAUUUAAGCUCUAAUUGAAUCCAUUAGAAUUGUUAUUUGAAUUUUAGACAUAUUAGAUAUCAUUUAGACUUCUUUUAGAUAAUUCGUAUAUCUUGUUUUCCAGGAAAUUUGAUUUCUUUGUCCAAACUUGAUGUUUUCGAACAUACUUUCAAAUUUAAUUAGAAACAAAUGUCUCAAUUUUUUUCAAAUAAUCAUCUUUUCCAUUCUAAUAUCUUACAUGAUGAUUUGUAGAAGUUGAAACUCGAUAACCUUUUUACCAAGAUCCUUGUUACCUUGCACUAUAAUGUUUAGUAGAUAAGCUUUUAGUUUUCUAGUGACAUAAAUGUUGGAGAUUAGUAGAGAAUGAAAAUCUUCAAAACUUAGAUUUUAUUGAUACUCAACGUGUAUGUGGAUUGCAUUAGAGUAAAACCAACCAAACACACUAAGAAAUAAGCUACUAGGAAAAAAAUAAUAAAAAUUAUAUUAGAAAAAAAAAUCCAUAUGCAUUCGUAUAUAACGGAGCUUACAACCAAUCUACAAAUAUUAAUAAAAUAUUCGUAUACAAACGGAUUUUUCACUAGCCGUUGGAGCAUUUAAUGCUCCGUUAUCUUUGACCAGACAUCGAUCAAGAAGGCAAAUACCUCGACCAGGAAGGAAAGGCUAUUAGCAGAGAGAGAGAGAGAGAGAGAGAGAGAGAGUGUGUUUUUUGCUCCUCUCGACUAGAUCUCAAUCAAGAAGGAGUAAUCGGUCAACCAGUACCCUGGUCGGUUGAGCCGGUUUGGCCAGUGUCUCGACUGGUUCACCAUUUUUGGCCCAAAAAACCUAUAUUUUUUUGCUAUUUUCUCUUCUAACACUUAGGCAAGGUAUUUAGGUAAAUUAAUUUGCCAAUUUUGAAAUGAUUUGCCUAAGGUUCAUUUGAUAAAACUCGGGUUUUGAUGGAAAUGUAACUUUAAAGCAUAAACUGAGUUUUUCAAAUAUGCAUGAAAUGAUACGUAAAUCCUAAGUGCACCCAUGCAUUCAUCUUACAUAUGUUUCCUAUGAUUAAAGGUCUUCCAAAAGUCUUAAUCUUGCAUCCAUUAGGUCAUUUGAUGAAUUUCCAAACUGACAUUUGAAAUUGUUUAUAAUUCAAACCAAUUAGUAACUUAACCAUAAUUUGUUAUCAUCAAAACAUGAUUAGGAGAACCCUUGGGCUAACAAUCUCCCCCUUUUUUAUGAUGACAAACCUUGGUUAUCUAAGAGAAAAAGAAUCUCCCCCUCAAACCAAUCAUGGAUCAACAAUCAAAAUUUACGAAGUUAAAACCAAGAUAAUCAAGACAUACUAGAGAGAAUUUGCAAUAAGAAACAACGUAAGUCAUCAAAAAUAUAAGAAUAUCAUAUAUAAGUCAAUGUAUCAAUAUCCAGUAUAUACGAUCCAAGUGAUAUGACAAUGAUAUGCAUGUAAGUCUCCUAGAUCCUAAAAUAUCUCCCCCUUUUGGCAACAUAAAAAAUGAACUAAUAGGGUCUCGAAGGAAUCAAGGAUGAGGAAGUGGAGGAGAAAACACAGAGCGCAAAUAAGCCAUCAUAUUCUCAUGUUGACUCUCCAAACGAUCCUCAAUACGCUCAAUCCCCUAUUGGAGAUACUCAAACUGUGAAGUGAAGCCAACCUGAUGAUCCAUGCAAUCCUCCAUAAAGUAGAACCGUGUGUCACUGACUACAACAAGCUCCUCCAUAUGAGUGCUUAGAGAGCUAAUCUAAGCAGAUAAAUCCAUCCAUGGAGCAUGGUCAAGAGCAAGAGGUGUUUAAGCAAAUGGUAUCUCAAAAAGUGUAGGCUUAGUGAAUGCAAGUUCAAAGGAAGACUUAGUGAAUGACAAUUAAGUAUAUGGACCCGCUAUAAAAGUUGGCUCAAACAUCAUUGGCUCAGAGAAAGUAGUCUCAAACUGAACACCACUAACUGGAGUGGAGGAAUGUCAAGCUCGGGCUCUCUCUGUUGAUAGCCACUCUGAGGGUCUACUCCACACUCCAUCUUUUUAAUCUCUACCUCCUCCUCAACUCCGGGAUGUGCCUGUCCCUGUCCCCGAGCUUGUGUCGUUGCUCUCUUUGCUUUCCUUACCCAAGAACCAUUUGUGGCCUUCUCAAAUUUCAUCUUCCCCAUGGACUGAUCAUCAUACGUAUCAUAAGCGUUGGGGACCUCAAAGUUUGUCUCUCUGCUCAAGUCAAUGCCGACAUCCUUGCACACUCUAGUAAGGAAGUGACCAUAGGGGAGUACGCGAGUCGUGCUCUCGCAACAUGAGAUCAAGUGCAUCAUCAUCAAGUACCCCAAGUGGAUUCGUCUUCCAGUCAAAAUAGAGUCAAUAAGGAAUGCCUCAUAAUAAGAGACCUCAUCUCGGUGUCCACCCCGUGCAUAUGAUGUAGCACUUUGCUGAUGACCGUCAGGUUGUGUGCUGAGGGUUUGUCCAUCCCGUGGGCAUCUACAAGUUCACAAAUCCUCUUAAUGGCUCUAGGCUCAAAUCUUGGCACAAUGGGCCACAUUUUGGACUCAUAUACUUUGAGUCCAACUGGAGCAAUAUCGAAAAUACUACAAAUGCUCUUUAGUCCAGACGAAUCUUGACGCCUUUAACAGUAGAAAUGAUCGAGCCACCUGAUGAGAAUCAACAAGCAUUCGAGGAUCCAUUGUAUGUUCCAGUUGGGCCUAUUACUAAAGCAAGAUCCAAGAAGAUUAAAGAAGCAAUUAAUGGGCUAAUUCAAGAGAUUUGGGUUGAUUCUAACGUAGGACAUUCCAAGCUUGGCCCAAAGGAAGAUGAAGGUGUAAUAAAUUUAAUCGAAGCUAUUGAGGGCUAAUCUGGCUUGAUUGGGCGUGAUUUAUGGCGUGGAUUAAUGACUGAUUGACUUUCGAACUCCAUAUCAGUUAAUAGACAUUUUUCCUAUUUUAGAGCUUCUAAUUUUAGGUUAAAUCUACCUUAAUUUUAGGCUUUUAUUAUUUAGAACGAUUUUUAGCUAUUUUCCUAUUUUGGAUUUGCUAAUUUCAGACCAACUAAACUUUUAUUUAGGGUUUUAAUAUUUAGUAAGUUUUUAUUUCAUGACAUAUAAAUAGCAUGCACUCAUUGUAAUAGAGGAUAAUUUGAUUGAAUAAAAAAUUAGAAAAGGUGAGGCUUUGCUCUUCUUUUGGUUCUUCAAGGACUAUGAACUUAUCAGGGAUUCUUCUUUGUGGCUUUCAAACUUUAUACUUUCGGUUCGUGAUUCCAUUGUAAUCAUUGGGUCAAGGUUGUUACUUAUACUUUUGGUUCACGUUUCACUUAUAAACGUUGGGUGUUCUAUCAAAAAUCUGUAUUUUAGCUUUCUUGGGCAAUUAUUCCAAUACUGUUUGUUGGGUCUCAAAGCGUGUCGAUUGAGGUUCACAUCAUUUGGUAUUAGAGCUCAGGUUCUAAAAUCAGUCGAUUGAGGUUCGCAUCACCACCUAUGCCAUAAGUCGCCUUUGAGUAAAAAGCUCACACCAAAGUCGAGAAAAUCGACUCCAAAACAGUGACCACAGGAAACCAACCCAUCCUAGUGAAUAAACCCUCGAAUCCGAAGUGCUCAAGUUGGGGAAAAUUAAUAUUUCUCCUCAGAACUACUCGUCCCAAAGCAAAGUGAUGUUUGUACCGUUGGUAGUCCACCACGAAGUUGAACAAGGCAGUAUCAAACCUUGCCUUUCGGGUUUGACAAGGUUCCAAAAGCUUGAAUCCUAAAUCCUUAAGAGGGUUUAUAUAGGAUUUCCUAUGGACUUAAGUGACUUGAGCCCAAAUUUGGCUUGAGUCACCCGAUCUAGCCCACUUGGGUCCUAAUUAAUUAAUUAUUUUAAUGGACUCCAAUUAAUUAAUUAGCUCAAAACACCAAUCUAGAAAAAUUGUUCAUAAGAUCUUGUGCAACCUUGUAUUUUUACUAAAACACCCUUAUGUGCCCUUAUGAACUACAAAUCUAAAUCUCUCAAAUAAAACAUGUCACCAUGAACUAGGAGCUCAAGCGGGGACCAUUGGGACCUAUAAGAUUAUAUUGGCUCCCUCAUAAUUGAAUUCCAAAAUUGAUUCGAGAAUCCACUAAAGAGAAACAAUUGUACUUCGGUAUCCUACAUUAAGACAAAGCUUAGGUUUGUAACCUACUAUUCAUUGCAUGCAAAUUCCUCAUGAAUUAGUGUUUGUAAUCUAAUAAGGUAGUGUUAUCAACCUAUCAAGAUUAGCUCUUUAAUCUUUAAGUUAUAAAUCCUCCUAUUAUGUGAUCAAUUGACAUACUCUAGCUUAUAAAGAACAUAUAUCAAAAUUCACUUAAAGAAUUACUACAACCACAUAUUUCAUAAUCAUAUGCCCUUUAGAUCAUCCAAGGGAACACUUUGUCCCAAUUCUAUGAGAUGCCAUGGUGCCUCUAUUGAGAAUAUGUAUUAUCACCAACCUCCAUCAACAAUUGCAAUUCAUAGGGAAUCUAUAUAUAUAAUCACUUUAGGGUCUUACCUAAUGGUCAAAACCUCCUAUUGAUUUUUAGCAUAGACUUAAUAUCUUCUUAAAGUUGAGAGUCCAUGCAAUAUAGUAACUUUGUGAAUCAUGACAACCCAAUGACCUUAUGUCAUGAUUCAUCAUAGGCACGAUUUGAAAUAUUGCAAAAUUUCAGCGAAAUAUCGUCGAUUUUUCGCUUAUCGGAGAGAAUCAACAUGACAUUCGUCAUUGAUAAUCAAUUGACGGAUUUAUUGCGGAUUUUUUUGGGAAUAUCGGUAAUAUUUUGGCAUUUAUCGACAUUUUUGCCUAUUUUUCGAAAAAUUUCCCGAUUUUUUGGUGCCAACCACUUUGGUCAACACGAAAUCAACCCUCACAUUUUUUGUUGUAAUGCCUAGGGGAUUUGAACCUAGGUCAAAAGGCUUGGGUUGAACCCUGGUUACAACUGGGCCAAAAUGUCAUUUGUAAAUAUAUGUUCAAUUUAAAUAUGUUAAAGUUCAGCAUUUAAAAAAUAAUUUUAAUUAUUUUAUUUUAAAUUUUAUGUAAUUGAUUAAUAAAAAUAUAAAAACCAACAUUAUAAUUUUUUUAACAAGUCUUUUUUUAUAUCAUUUAUAUGAUAAUUAAAUAUAAAAAAUAUAAAUAUUAAAAAAUCAUAUAUGUAUCAUCAUUUAUUUUACAUUAUUGAAUGCAUUUAAAUUAAAUAAAUUAUAGUUUUAAUAUUAAAUGUAUUAUUAUUGAUCUCAUUAAUCUUAUUUUAAAAAAUAAUUAUCACUUCACUUUUAAAUUUUUUAUAUUUAUUUGUUUAUUUUUUAAUAUCUUUAUUUUAAAAUAUUAAAAAUAUAAAUUUAUUCAAAAUAUACUAAAAUAUAUAUAAAAAAAUUAAUAAUGAAGUUCUAAUAUUUUAUAAAUUAAAAUUAAUUUGAUAAGAUAAAUAAUAAAUUAUAUAUUAUGAUUGAUAUAUCCUUGCUUAGAGAUAAUUUUCUCCUUAAUCAUACUUAUGUCAAUUAUACUUACAAAUUAACUUUAGCAUGUGCCUUUUUACUUAUUUUAUCAUUUUUUUUUGGAGUUUUUCCAAAUAUUUCAAUGAAUUUUGAAUAAUUUUCACCUCACCAAAAUUUUUGUCAAAAUAUUCACCAAUAUUUCUCCGAUAUUUUCAAUAUAAUCGUAAAAUUCAAGUAUCAAUAUAUCCAUAUUUUCCAAUAUUUCAAACCAUGAUCAUAGGUCUUGUCUUAUGUAUAACCAAUACACACUAGUGUACUCACAAUAGGAACCCUAUCUCAAUGGUCAAGAUAAGUCAUAUUUUAUAACCAUACACACUAGAUUUUAAAAGUGUGAGAUAAUGCUCAUAAAAAUAACAAAGUAGAGAAUUUGUUGAUAAUUAUUCCCAAAUAAAUGUCAUUAAAACAAUUUGAACUAGAAUUUAAAAUAAAAAGAUGUCACAUGGAUUAACCUAGGAUUUGAGAAAUUUGGCCUCAUCAUAGGCCAUACUACAAACCUUAGAUGAAUUUUAGGAGAAAAUGAGUAGAAGUUAGAAUAAUAAAACAGUUCUUUUAUUUUCCAAAACAAAAAAAUUGGAAAACACAUUUUACAAUCAAAAAAUAUUUUAUGCUUUUUGUUCUCAAGAACAGAAAACAAAGUGUUUCAGAUAAUAUCUUUUAGUUAUUUUAAUUAUUUUCACUUAUUUUUUUAGAGUUGUUUUAAAAAAUAAUUAUAGAAAUAUGUAUCAUGAUUAAAAAUAAAGCUCGAUCUAGAUAUAAAAAUAAUUUUUAAAACUUACUUAAAAAUAUUAAAACCAUUUCAAAUUCUCAAACAGACUUUUAGUUUACAAAACAUCAAAGAAUAGUUUUUAAAAAUUGUUCUUAAAAACUAUUUUUCAGAAUUAUUUCAAAAACAGUUAUCACACAGGUCCUUAAUUUCUAGCCUGUGAAAGAAGAGACAAAAAUGAGUAAUUUUGUUUAAUAUAAAUAAACAAAGAGUCAUGUGAAUAAAGGGAUCCUUGAUAUAACAACAAAAAUCAACCUUUCCAACUUCUCAAGUGAUUCUAUCUCUUUGUUGACCAUCGUGACAACCUUAAUCUCUUUUCAUUAGCAGUAGGAGUAAGGUAGAUUAGCAGUAGAUUCAUCAAUGGGGAAACCAUUUUAUGCUUGUUCCUAUCAUUUAGGUUUACAUCAAUGAGUGGUUUGGAGGGUGUACUACCUAUAGUCUAUUUAAAUUUGAGGGGAAAGGCUUUUAUCCUUUAAAGGACUUCUUGCCACCCUUCUUCAAUUUUGGGGAGAGUUCGAUCAAUAUUCAAUAACCAUUUAGCAUUAUUAUCCAAGGGGUCAUGGGAGAGAAGUUUCUCUAGCAUUGGUUAUGCCAUAUCCAAUAUACACAUCACUAGAGGGUGACAUUAUCCCAAUAAUCACAUCAUGCCCUUCAGUACCAGUAUAGUUUUGAUCAAUGCAAUUUGCUGUGAAUUUCUGUAGUGGUAGAAUUAUAGCCAGGAGGUUCUAGCCCCAGUAUCCACCAUAGGCCAGCAAAGUGAAUAAUCCUAGGAGAAUAAGCUCAGAAGCACAAGGAUUUGAUCAAUGGAACCUGGUUUUUUUUGUUUUAAUUUCUUUACUGAUAUAAUAAACCUUCUGUUUAUUUGGUUCGCUGUCAUUAUUAUAAUCUCUAGUAGUUGCACCAUCCUGGGUGAAUGAGCUAUUACCCCUACCAAUUGAACUUUUUUUUGGUUAUAGUCCUUGGUAUUCUCUUGGAAUUGACAACCAUUUGGAAAAUAAAAAUUCCUUUAUUUAGACAUAAAAAGAAUCCACAAGCAUGGACCAUUGCUAAAAGAAGAUUGAUAUGAGACUAUUCAACCCGAGACACUAUUUGCCUAGGUAUAUUUCGGGAUGGUGAUUAAUUCCUCUAAUAGGACUAGAACAAAUGGCUAAAUUGCUCUGAUAUGCUCACAUCUUUAAUCAAUAAGUUUACACUAAAUCAGUAUAACUCCCUACCAAAACGCUAGGUGAGAGAUCAGGGGCAAAGCUAGGUAGUGUCUGGGAGGGGCAAAUGAAAUUUUAAUAAAAAUAUUAGGGUUUAUUGCUAACUAUUUGGUUACUGGUGAAGUUCCAAGUGAGUGGAAAACACAAGACAGGAAGCACUUUUUUGCAAAGAUUCAUGCUUAUUAUUGGGAAGAGCCCUUCCUUUUCAAGUAUUGUGCAGAUCAGAUCAUAAGGAAGUGUGUCCCUGAAGAAGAGCAACAAGGGAUCCUCAGCCACUGCCAUGAGAAUGCCUGUGGAGGCCACUUUGCCUCUCAGAAAACAGCAAUGAAGGUCUUGCAAUCAGGGUUUACUUGGCCAUCGCUUUUUAAAGAUUCCCACAUCAUGUGUAGGAGUUGUGAUAGAUGCCAAAGACUCGGGAAGCUUACAAAAAGAAACCAAAUGCCCAUGAACCUGUGGACCCGCAUUUUUCACGUGCGUCCCCACUCGAUCGGCGAGACUCGCUUUUUAUUUAUUUGUGAAAAAUUGAUUUUUGAAAAAAAAGUUGGAGUCGCCACUUAUUUUAUUUUUAUUUUUGAAGGGAAAAUAAAACAAGAAAUAAAACCCUAAAAAAAAUGACUCCAUAAUUUUUGGAAAAGCGUGUCUUUGAAAACCCAAGUCUUGGUCCGGGGAUCAGGUUACUUAUUGGGAAGGUACCUCUAGGAGGUAACACCCCUCUAAGCCCUAAAGAGGUCUCUACUAAUUAAGUUAAGGGGAAUAUGGCAAUUAAUCGGUUAAUUAUGGAUACCUAAGUAGGCUAGGUGAUUUCAGAAAAUUUGCAUGCUAAACAAGAUCAAAUUGCCNNNNNNNNNNNNNNNNNNNNNNNNNNNNNNNNNNNNNNNNNNNNNNNNNNNNNNNNNNNNNNNNNNNNNNNNNNNNNNNNNNNNNNNNNNNNNNNNNNNNNNNNNNNNNNNNNNNNNNNNNNNNNNNNNNNNNNNNNNNNNNNNNNNNNNNNNNNNNNNNNNNNNNNNNNNNNNNNNNNNNNNNNNNNNNNNNNNNNNNNNNNNNNNNNNNNNNNNNNNNNNNNNNNNNNNNNNNNNNNNNNNNNNNNNNNNNNNNNNNNNNNNNNNNNNNNNNNNNNNNNNNNNNNNNNNNNNNNNAACAAAGAAUUAAGAUCAACUAAUGCAUUUAAAUUAAAAAUGAAUUGAAAUCAAACUAAUUGGGAUUAAAAAUACAAACUUUAUUCAAUACAAUUAUUUAAACUUAAGAAUUAAAAUCAACAAAAUACAUUUAAACUAAAAAAAAAAAGUUAAAAUCAAACUAAUUGGGAUUAAAAAUACAAACUUUAUUCGAUAUGAUUAUUUAAACUUAAGAAUUAAGAUCAAUAAAAUGUAUUUAAACUAAAAACGAAUUGGAAUCAAACUAAUUGAGAUUAAAAACAUAAACUUUAUUUAACGUGAUUAUUUAAAGUCAAGAAUUAAGAUCAACAAAAUACAUUUAAACUAAAAAACAAAUUAAAAUCAAACUAAUUGAGAUUAAAAAUACAAACUUUAUUCGAUAUGAUUAUUUAAACUAAAGAUUUAAGAUCAACAAAAUACAUUUAAACUAAAAAACGAAUUGAAAUCAAAUUAAUUGGGAUUAAAAAUACAAACUUUAUUUAACGUGAUUAUUUAAAACAAAGAAUUAAGAUCAACAAAAUAAAUUUAAACUAAAAAACAAAUUAAAAUCAAACUAAUUGGGAUUAAAAAUACAAACUUUAUUCGAUAUGAUUAUUUAAACUUAAGAAUUAAAAUCAUUAACAAACUUAAACUAAAAGAUAGAUUAGAAUUAAACUAAUUGGGGAUUUAAAAAUAAAAUAAUAUAAACUUUAACACAAAGAAUUAAUCAAAAACUAAAAUUUCCAAAAAAUAAAAAAAAAAAUAAAAAAAAAUCUAGGCUAAAUAAAAGUACUAUAUAGAAAACUAACCUUUGAAGUGAAAGAGAAAAUCCUCUCUUGAUGAUUAAAUGACAGCCCGAUCUCCGUUCGAAGUCCCUUGCUUUUUUCCCAAAAUUCCGUGUGCUCUGCCCCCCCCAAGAAAAAUCUCCUAUUCUUUUCCUUUUCUCACCUAUAUAUAUCACCCCUCAAGACCUAAAUUUGUUUCCAAAAAGGAAAAUUCUCCUCCUUCCUUUCUUCUUCUCUUCUUUUUUUAAAUCCUCCAAUCAAAAGCAAUCUUCCCAAUUUCAAAUUCCCCUCCAAAACCUUCCAAGGAGAGUCCCAUCUUCCUUAAACUCCAAUGGUAAGUUUCCUUGCAAAAACAUGAAAUUUUUGAAGUUAAAUAAUUGCAUGUAUAGAUAAAUAAGUAAAUAAAUUAAAAAAUGGUAAAAAUAAUAAAUAAAUAAAUAAGUUAAGGAAAAUAAUAUAAAGAGGAAGAUAACCAAUAAAAAGUGAAUGAUAAUCAUAAAAUUAAAAUUAAAAACAAAAUAAAUAAAUAAAUAAAUAAAAUAAAAUAAAAUAAAAUAAAAGUCUUCGUAGGCCUAGUGUGCCUAAACGGGCCUAAGGUGAGACUAAGUGGGCCUAGGGUAGUGCCUAAUGGGCCAAGUGUAUCUAAAAGCUAUCCUAAAAAAACAAGAAAAGCCUAAAUCUAAGUUAGGGCUGCCAAGGGUCACAAUAAGGGAUCAAAUAAUCCCUCAACCAAAAUCUCCGAGGUGACUCAGAAAAAGGUAAGUGGUAUGAGUAGCCAUGGGCCACCAAGGAACUAUUGUGGAGCAUUGAAAAUGAAUUUUAAAGACAUGUGCUAAAGGGACAAAAUUGAGGGUCUACAGAACCCCAUCCUUAUAGUUGAUCUUUUUGAUGUUUGGGGUAUUGACUUCAUGGGACUUUUCCCAAUGUCUUUUGGUAACUCUUAUAUAUUGGUGGGGGUGGACUAUGUUUCCAAAUGGGUGGAGACAAUCCCCUGUAAACAUAAUGAUCACAGGGUGGUUCUCAAAUUUCUCAAGGAGAACAUCUUCUCAAGAUUUAGGGUGCCCAAGGCCAUAAUCAGUGAUGGAGGUACUCAUUUUUGCAAUAAACCUUUUGAAGCACUAUUAGCCAAGUAUGGAGUGAAGCAUAAGGUAGCUACACCUUAUCAUCCUCAAACUUCCGGGCAAGUGGAGCUAGCAAACAGAGAAAUAAAAAACAUACUGAUGAAAGUGGUGAUUACAAGCAAAAAAGAUUGGUAUAUUAAGCUGCAUGAUUCAUUAUGGGCAUAUAGAACAGCUUAUAAGACUAUUCUUGGCAUGUCUCCCUAUCGUCUCGUCUAUAGCAAAGCAUGUUACCUCCCUGUGGAAGUUGAAUAUAAAGCUUGGUGGGCAAUCAAGAGGUUGAACAUGGACUUGAUCAGAGCUGGGGCAAAGAGGUGCUUAGACCUUAAUGAGAUGGAGGAAUUAAGAAAUGAUGCUUACAUCAAUUCCAAAGUUGCAAAACAGAGGAUGAAGAAAUGGCAUGAUCAGCUAAUCUCCAACAAAGAAUUGAGGAGAUGACAAAGAGUCCUACUCUACGACUCAAGGCUCCAUAUUUUUCCAGGGAAGCUCAAGUCAAGGUGAAUAGGUCCUUUCAUUAUUCACCAAGUACAUCUUAAUGGAGUGGUGGAAUUACUAAAUUCCAAUGGCAUAGAUACCUUCAGAGUCAAUGGUCAUCGCCUCAAGCCAUUCAUUGAGUCGUUCAAGCCAAAAAAUGAGGAAAUCAACCUCCUUGAGCCACAAAAAUCCUGAUCAGAGAAGGGUUAGAUGGACUUGGUUUCACCAAAGUCCAUAAUUUUGUUAAAUAUGUUAAUUUUUAAGUUUUGUAAAUUAUUUGAUUGUAAUUCUGAUCUUAAAUUAUGUUAAUUGUAACUAAUUUUUUUGAAUGAUUAAAAUCAGGAGGAAUUACAAGAAAAUCGAAAGAAGCUGCUCCCAGCUCCUCAGAGCCAUCACAGGCCCCUCUUUUUGUUAAUCAGCCUUUGCCUCAUUCAGAGCCUCCUAUAGGAGAGACAGCUAAGCCAUUAUUUCCACAGCAUCACUUCAUGUCACUCAGGAGGUACCACUUCCUCCCUAUUUUUCAAUUGCUUCUGUCACAUUGAGGACAAUGUUCAGUUUGGUUGGGGGGAGAGUUGAGGAAGGAAGUUUUUGUUAUUAAUGCUAAGUUAUUUUGGUAAUUUAGUUGCUUUUUGCUUAAUUUUAAAAUUUUUUAAGUUUUUAUUCUACUCUCCAUGGUUAUUAAGGAAAAAUUCUCAAAAAUGAAAUGAGAUAAAUUAAAUUUUUGUCUUUUUACUUGACUUAGAUUUUGUAUUAUGCUUACUAAAGUUGAUGAAUUGUUGAAACUUCUAUUGAAUUCAACCUUAAUUCUUCCACUUUAAGCUAUUCACACACUGUGCACAAUAGGUUCUGAUUAUAAGAUGAAGAACUAUUUCCCCCUUAACUUAGGAAAAUUUUAGACUUGGUACCUUUGACCUCAUUUAAUAGUGUUGGGACACCUUAUAAAAGGCCAAUGAGCCUUUGAAAAAAAGAAGAAAGAAAGAAAAAUGUUUACUUGCCUUGAAACCCGAGCAAGGUUUGAGGGGUAUAUGGUGAAAAUCUUAAAAACCUGGUGCCCUAAGCCUUCAGUGGUUGGGAGUCACCGACCUCAAUGCUCGUUACAAGGGUGGAUAGGUGGAGUUUAACAUACUGUAGGUGCUUGGGUAUUAAAAAUUCAUUCUCAAAAGUCCGGGGUAAAAUCCGAGUUAGUGGUUGAAAAAUCCUUAAAGCUUGAUGCCCUAAACCUUAAUUGGUUGGGAGUCAUCGAUGGACCCCCGUUACAUGGACAAUUUAGAAAAGAAUACCUUUAGCCUUGUACUCCUACAAUGAAAAAAAAAUUGUGAAAAAAGAGGUGCGUUCUUAGCCUAUUGGAGGUUGAUUAGUUUGCUAAGCUUUGAAAAAGAACUAGGUUGGGGGAGAGAUUAGUUUAACAUACUAUAUUCAGAAACUAAUAAAUAACACUUAGAUUUUUGUGGAAUAGUAAGGUUUGACCAUCUGGGAGUGGAAACUCUUUUAAAGCUUAAAUUUGCAUAAUGUCGUCUCUAUAAGAAUUGUGAUUAAGACAAGUUAUUUGAUAACUCUUGUUGAAGCUUGAGUUUUAUUUCUUUAAUGUUCCAUGUGAGAGUUAGAUCAUCAUGCCACUUGAAAAUUGUUUUUUGAUCAGCAUGAUGUUGUAAAUUAUAGUACUGUUUAUUUUUAUUUUUUUCUCUCCUUCAUUGCUAAGGGACUAGCAAUAUGUCGGUUGGGGGGAGUGAUUACUACUCAAAAAGUGCUAUUUCAUAGCUUGUAAUAAACUCUUUUAAACACUUUUGAGUAGUAGUUAUCACCUUUUAACCCAAUUAACAUCUUAAGGACCCUUGCAAUCAAUUCUAAUCAAAUUGUGUUAAGUUUUGGUGUUUUGAUAGCUUUUUUAUCACCAAAGCAAUCAGAGAUUGAGGAGAGUUCUUUAGAAUCCAUGACAAAAGAUGUUCGGACAGGGCGUCCGGACACACCAUUGGAGAGCAGCGGAGCGUGGGCUGUAGAAAGGCUUGCUCACUGUAGUCAAUGAUCCGGACAACAUAUCCGGAUAGGAUAUGCUAUCAUCCGGAGUGUGAUGUUCGUGAGUGCCGGAUAGCAUGGCGGCGCAUGUCCUCUUGGGGAAUCCGGAUGAAGUUGAGUCGGAUGGGUCCCUACACCUUACACACGCAGACAGUCCCUCUUGCGCAGCAUAGCUCAGUCCACCCGGGGAGGAAUUCUGUGCGCCAACAUUUCACAUCCGGAAUUCCGUGCGCCGACAUUUCACAUCCGGAAUUCCGUGUGCCGACAUUUUACAUCCGGAUAUCUCACAUCCGGAUGGGAGAGGAAGACGCUUCAACUUCUCCGGAUAUACAUAUCCGGACCUUUUGAUAACGCUUACCCACAGAGUUCUUCUCUCAGUAUACAGUGCAGCGGUGUUCUCCUGAAGCUUCCUGAUAUUUCCGACCGACAUUUUGAGAUAUUUUGGGAUAUUUUUCUUUAGAUAUUUGUUGUCUAAAUCCCCAAACUCUCCUUGUAAUCCACCUAUCAUAGGAUUCCUUAGUCUUUAAGCAAGAAAAAGGGUGAAUAACCUCAUAUAUAUAGUUUGUAAUUUUCUUUACAAAGAGAAUUAUUAUGUAAUCAGCAGAAGGAAGAAAUAUAUUUUACAGAGCACUUGCUCUGUUUUUCCUUCUUAUAAUUGUUUUCUCGUUAGUUUUCUUACUAGCCAAACAAGCUCUGAGGAAGUUUCCUCAGAGAAUGAGUGGCUAGACUUUUAGUUCCUUGGAGUUAAGGUUGCCGGGAAAGGUUCCAAGUGCAUGAAUUAGUAGCUUUGUGGUUUCAGCCAUUAAUGGAGAGAAAGUGUGAUCCUUUAAUGAUUUCUAUGUUUUUAGUUAACUUAAAACACUUUCAAUUCACUUGAGCCAACACUUGGUAAGGCAAGUGAGCUCCGUCCAUGGAGAUGCACUAGUUUACCUCUUGCGAGCUUUUGGGAAGUGACUUGGAGGUAGGAUUUUCUAGAAUUGCCAACACUUGGUAAGCUUUUGGACUCCAAGGAGACAUCCAUUAGUUAUCUCUUGCGAGCUUGAGAAGGGAAGUCCAAAGUUAAAGAUCACCUUGAAUGGCAAAUGCUAGGUGAGAGGCACGAGCCAUUGCAAGUUGCAUCAGUGAGAGGGAAUUAGAGCUGAAAUCCAUUUAAAUGAUACAUCUGUACAGCACUGGUUAGAGAAUUGACUAUAUGUUAAUUCUCUAAUGUGAGGAAAUGAACCAAAUGACCGGAGCUCUGUUUUUGCAUAAGGAACCUCCCCUGUGAACCUAAACCUCCAAGGAAUGUUUUUCUUCAUAAGUAAUUUCUAUUACUUUCUUUUUAGUUAGCUUUAAACAAAACCUCAUUUAAACAAAGUUUGUGUUUUAUUUCUUAAGCUAGCCUUGAAAUGAAAAAGCACCAAUUUACUUUGAAUUGGUAUCAGUUGUGAGUUGAAAGCCCUUCCUAGUGAACGAUCCUAGAGCCACUAUGCUAUAUUAGCUAAGCUAUCCUAAUGCAUGGUGAUAUAGGUUAUAAAUUUUGUUGAUUACUCUCUCAAUCAAAGAGCACCAGCUGGACAUGAAUCAACUGAGACACCAAUUGGGAAGGAAUCAGGAGGUGUGACCUGGGAUGCCAAUGGUCACGUUGUCGGUCUUGAUCUGAGUAGCGAAUCAAUUUCUGGUGGAUUCAAUAGCUCUAGUAGCCUUUUCAAUUUACAAUAUCUCCAGAGCUUGAAUUUGGCUGGAAACAGCUUCUGCGGAGGAUUGAACUGGCCUAACAACAACUUCUGCUCUUCUCAAAUUCCAUCAGGAUUUGACAGGCUUGCUAAUUUAAUUUAUCUGAAUUUAUCCAAUUCUGGCUUUUCUGGGCAGAUUCCAAAGGAAUUUUCGCUCUUGACUAGGUUGGUUACCAUCGAUUUCUCCAGCCUUGGUUAUCUCAUUGGAUUUCCUACACUGAAACUUCAGAAUCCAAAUCUGAGAAUGUUGGUUCAGAAUAUCAAGGAGCUUAGGGAACUUCAUCUUAAUGGUGUAGACAAUCAGCCGAGGGGAAGGAGUGGUGCCAGGCAUUGUCAUCUUCAGUGCCUAAUCUCCAAGUGCUUAGCUUGUCCAGCUGUCAUCUUUCAGGCCCAAUCCAUUCUUCCCUGCAGAAGCUUCGAUCUCUCUCAAGGAUUCGUCUGGAUGACAACAAUUUUGCUGCUCCAGUUCCACAGUUCCUCGCUAGCUUCUCAAAUUUGACUCACUUGCAGCUCAGUUCUUGUGGAUUAACUGGAACGUUUCCAGAAAAGAUCAUUCAGGUAACAACCCUACAGAUUCUUGAUUUGUCAAUUAACUUACUUGAAGAUUCUUUGCCAGAAUUCCCUCAAAAUGGAUCUCUAGAAACAUUGGUGCUUUCGGAUACAAAACUUUGGGGGAAACUACCCAACUCCAUGGGAAAUCUUAAGAAGCUGACUAGCAUAAAGCUGGCACGUUGCUAUUUCAGUGGCCCAAUCCUAAACUCAGUGGCAAACCUUCCUCAACUGAUUUACUUGGACUUGUCUGAAAAUAAGUUUUCCGAUCCAAUUCCAUCUUUUAGUUUGUCCAAGAGACUCACCGAAAUAAACCUUUCCUACAAUAAUUUGAUGGGUCCAAUUCCUUUCCACUGGGAAAAACUUGUUAAUUUAAUGAAUCUUGACCUGCGGUACAAUGGAAUUACAGGAAAUCUCCCCCCGUCCCUGUUUUCCCUCCCAUCCUUGCAGAGGUUACGACUAGACAACAACCAAAUUUCUGGUUAGUUCAAAAUUCUUUUAAAUGCAUCUUCUUCUAGAUUGAGCACCCUUGGUUUGAGUAGCAACAAUCUCGAAGGCCCGAUACCUAAUUCUGUCUUUGAACUGCGGUGUCUUAGCUUCCUUGACCUAUCUUCCAACAAAUUCAAUGGAAAGAUUGAACUCAGCAAGUUUAAAAAACUUGGGAAUCUUACUGAUCUUAGCCUUUCAUACAACAACCUGUCCAUCAAUGCAACCCUUUGUAAUCUGUCCCCUUCUAUACUGCCUAUGUUUACAACAUUAAGGUUGGCUUCUUGCAGGCUGACAACUUUACCUGAUCUUAGCGGCCAGUCAAGCUUGACACAUUUAGACCUUUCCCAAAACCAAAUUCACGAGAACAUACCUAGUUGGAUUUGGAAGAUUGGUAAUGGCUCUCUUGUGUAUUUGAAUCUCUCUCAUAAUUUACUGGAGGAUCUCCACGAACCUUUCUCUACUUUUACUCCUUAUCUGUCCAUCCUUGACCUACAUUCCAACCAGCUCCAUGGCCAAAUCCCC